rnacentral:lncRNA from 1 species
CUUUUUUUUUUUUUUUUUUGGUCAUAUAUUUUUAAAGCCUCUUCAUUAUCAGUUUGGACUUGAUUGACCUCUAGGUUGGACACAUGACGAUGAAUACUUACUUUGUUUGCUCUAAUUAAGGAUAAUCCCAACCAUGGAAGAAAAUGCCGAUAAUAUCGGCGAAAUAUCGCCGAUAUUAUCGGUUUUUCGGGAUGGCGAUAUUAAAAGUGGUAUCCGAAUGCUUUUCGGCCAAAUAUCGCGAUAUUAUCGAUAAUAUCGAUAAUAUCGCGAUAUUUUGGAAAUAUCGGCGAAAUAUCCAUGGACGGUGGAAUCGGAAUCCGAGGCGACGUCGGAGAAGAACGCCGGAGACGGUGGGGCGAUUCCCGGGCCGGUUUCGUCCCAAAAACCUUGCAAAAACACGAAUCUUAACAUCAAUUUCACAUAUAUACAUCAGAUUUCACGCAUGCAUAAACGAUUCAAGGCAGGGUGAAGUCGGUUUAGGGUUUAGGGUUUCAUGGAAUCUCACCUGACGAAGACGAAGACGAACGAUCCUUGCUCAGCGGCGCACCUCUGACUUCGCCUGAGCCACGAUCAACGGCGAAGGGAGAAGAGAGAUCGAGAGAUCUGUGUGUGUGUGUGUGUGUGUGUGUGUGUUUGGGAGAAGAGAGAUCGGAGAUCUCUCUUUGUAUGUGGGUGUUUGGGAGAAGAGAGAUCGGAGAAGGGAGAAGAGAGAUCGGAGAAUGGAGAAGAGAGAUCGAGAGAUCUCUGUGUGCGUGUGUGUGUUUGGCAGAAGAGAGAUCGGAGAUCUCUGUGAGUCCGAUCUCUGUGUGUGCGUGUGUUGGACUUGGAUCCGAUGUCAACCUGUGGAGCUCUCUGUGUGAGUGUGUGUGUGGGAGAAGAGAAGGGAGAAGAGAGAUCGAGAAGGAUGAUCGAGAGAGAGAGAGACUGAGGAGCUCUCUGUGUGAGUGUGUGUGUGGAAGAAGAGAAGGGAGAAGAGAGAACGAGAAGGAUCGAGAGAGAGAGAGACUGAGGUUGUCUGCGUGCGUGCGUUGUGUGUGCGUGCGAUGUGUCUUUUGAGUGUGUGGGUUCCUCCUGUCAGGAGGAUACAACUCACUCAAUAAUCCCUGACAAGUUGGGAUGGAAUCGAGCGACUCAUGGAAUCAAUCCCAGCCUCAAUCUUCAAAUGAUUUUUCUUAUGGACAACCUCAACCAAUCUCGGAUCCAUAUGGGUGGCAUAUUAACAAUUACAUGCAAAACUAUUUUGGGGAUUUAUCAUUUGAUAACUACUCUUCACAAUACACUCAUUCUACACAUAGAGAUGAUGACGAUAGUGACAAAUUAGAACCUCAUAGGAACUCUAUGUGGUACUAAAGUGUAAAAUAUUGUACUAAUUCAUUAUAUAUAAAUGAUUAUGGUGUGUUUAGACUUCUUUCAUUAAUUACUACAUAUUUUCUACACUCAUAAUGUUUGUCAGAUCGCUAUAUAAUCAACUUGAUAAUGUUAAAUCCAUCAUGCAAUGCAUUUCCUUCCAAUUUUUUGUGAUAAACUAAUAGAUAAUUGACUAAAUAAACAUCCUACAAAGUUUCAAUAAAAAUUUCCAAGUUUUUUUUACAAUUUCCAUGGUUUCCAUGUAAUUUUUAUCGAUAUCGAUAUUUUACCGAUAUUUCCAUCGAUAUUUCCGUGUUUUCGGACUACCGAUAUUUCCGAUAUCACCGAUAUUUUCUUCCUUGAUCCCAACAACAUAAUUGUUACCAUAUUGUUAUAAUGUUUCAUGGAAAAACAAUGAUAAAGGAAUGACAACUAAGUGCUAGCUAUAUGCACCUAAGAACUUAUGAUUCCAUAUACAAGAUACAAUGAAUCAAAGGCUCACAAACAAACAUGUAAAUCUUAGGUUUGAUUGACUUCGCUCCAAACUCCACAUGUUUGUUAAUUUUACCAUCUUUUCAAUGCGCCGCAUAUAUACCUUCACAAAUUUCUCAUAUAUAUUAGGGGUUAGGGUUCAUUAACCUUCGUAGGAAAAGGAAAUAAUUAAGCCACUUAAUUAUUUUGUCAAAGAAACAAGAACUAGCCAGUCCGCUUUAGUUCAUAAAACUUUUCAUUAUAUGUAGCGUCCUGAUGAGGACUAGAUUUAUAUAAAAAUCUCUUUAAAAAAAUGUUCUAAAAACAAUCAAUCCCCUCAAACAAAGAGUGAAUGAUCUUUUGUAAUCGAAAUUUUGAUUAAUAGUCGAUCAGCUUUAAUCACAAGAUCGAAGUUUUGAAGGCCAUAACGUUUCCACAUCAAAUGAAUAUAAAUUUCCAGGACAUUACAUUUAAAAGAUCAGUAAGUUUAUGGGAGGUUUAUACUAACAUAAUAAUUUUGCAAUAAAACGUGUGCUAAUUUGAGUGCAAUCGAAACGCAUACACAGACUCAUGUUCUAUUCAAAUCAUCACUGUUAUGUGAUCAUUUGGAAACAAAAUAAAACCCACAGAACACUGAAUACAAUCAAAAUACAAGAAAUAAACAUAACCUUUCAUAACGAUAUUCUAACUACAAAUGAUCUGUGGAUGGAAAUACAAAUAAAAGCACUCAAACAAACUAGCAACUAAUCGAACUUAAACCAAACACUGUGUCUAUGUUCUACACAAAUAAAAUUUAACAACAACGACAAACAAACAACAACAAAUUUAAAGCUUAAGAGAUAAAUCGAGUCCAGAAGCAUCUGUAACGGGUUCCAGAGGCUCAUGGCGGAGAACAUCAUCAGCAAUGAUUGGCCUGUUGAUUCCGAAGUUUGAACCACCAAAGUUGCGAGAAGAACCAAUUUCCUGAUCAAACCUUGAAGCACUGCUGGUUCCUGGAAUCCCUAACGUUCCACUGGGAGUAGUAUUAGCAUGAACGCCAUGAAGGUUGAGCCUAUCAAUGGAGGAUUGAAAGUUAUUAAUGAGGCCUCCUGGCCUUGAUGAUGACCAACCCCCAGCACCAAUACCAUGGCCAAAGCGCCCGAACCCGGACGUCGAGGCAGACCAUGGAUAAGAAGGCUUGUGAAUCAUGGAGUCCAUCCUAACCCCAAGAGAUCUACCAUAAGAUCCAUAGAGAGGGUGUUGAGUGAUACUUAAAUAUGGACUAUAAUAACGAUAGGAAUGUCCGAAUAGAUUGUCCAUUCCUAUUCCUCCUUGGCGCCUUUUGGCCAAGGCACGCUCUUGUUUGUGAGCGUUUUGAUGACCUCCCAAUGCUUGGGAAGUAGAGAAAUCUCUCUUGCAAAAGUUGCAUGUGAAAACCCUAGUUCGGGGUUUUCUCCCAUCACUACCACGCGGGCUCUCGCUCCUUGGCUCAUUGUGUUGAGACAAUAACCCUAAUCCCCCUGGGUUCAAUGAUGAACCCUGAUUCAGAGGGUUGAACAGAACGAGUUCGUUCGAAGACCCUGACGCAUGACCAGGGUCGUUGUUGGAAAGCUUCAGAUCAAGCAAGGCACGUGAACUUGGUGUUAGUGAUGAGGAUGAUCCGGCUGCCGGGGGUGGCUUUUUGAGUUUGGGUUGGGGUUGUUCAUCAUCAGAAUCAUCGAUGAUGAUUUUUUCUUUCAUUUUCAUCUUCAUUUUUUGGUCAGGAAGGUCAGGAGGAGGGGGAGGAGGAGGGCUAUCUUUUUUUGGUGGUGGAGUGCCAUCUGAGGCCCCUGAGAUGUUAGAGGCUUCGGAAGGGCUUUGAUGUUCUUCAGCCAUCUCCUGAACUAAUUAGAAAAGAAACUUUGGGUUUGAUGAAAAGAUUUGAAGACAUCAACUCCUUUUUAUUAAGGGUUUGAGUUAAUGCUUAUCGCUCUUGUUUGGAAAGAAAUCCCAUAUCGUAAUUGUAAUAUGCAUUAUAAUAGCAUAGGAUUAAAGUGGUGACUAAGCUUUCGCUGAGAUUUGGCUUUUGCUGAGAUUUGGCUUCAUAGCCAAGACUUUUGCCCUCACAAUAAUUAUAUCAUUCAAACAAAAAUUGCAAGUACAAUGUAAUUCCGGCUAUUUAUGUAGAUAUACAUGUCAACCUUCUAUACUGAUAAGUUUUCAUACGGGUGGCAAUAUCGACUUUUUAAGUAGCUUUAUACUGGAUUUGAACAACCAAAACCCUACUUGGUAAUAAGUUACGACCAUGCAUUGCAAAAUAAUAAUUAAUUAAUAAUAUUAUAUAGAAAAUUGGUAAACGUUCCUGUUUAACAUAAUUGCAUGUACAUCCAUCUAGUUAAGUGUAAAAUUUUAAGUGAAAAAAUGCUAGCAUCGGUUCUCCACGUAUACUACAUUAAUCAAUAAACGGGCUCAGUUGAAAAUUGCUCACGUGGCACACAACUAAUGGUGUCGAAAAAAAAAUUAACCUCCUCUUUAAUGUACGAUUAUGAUAUACAGUUUUUUUUUUUCAUGUUGUAUUAGUUAAGCAUUGUAAUUUUUCUUGAAUCAAUAUUAUACCGUUCAUAAAAAAAACAAUAAUAAAAGUAUUUAGUAGUUUGAUCAUAACAAAUGUAUUAUAUCAUCAAAUGGUCACAAAUAAAUCCCUCUUCCUCUAGUUUUGGGCUUGAAAGAAAUAAACUUGAUCGAUUACAAUGAAACAUUUAAAAUCUCUUAGUUAAAAAAUAUUAAAAGAUAAAUAAUUUAUUAAACAAGGAUAAAAAAAAUUAAAUAAAUAAAUAACAGAGACAAGUUAAAAAAUUGUUCAACAGCAGCAGUAAAAAAUAUAUUGCAUUGAACUAUUAAUUUACCCCUUCAUUAUAAUUACCAUGUUACAUUUCCAAUCAAGAGUUCAAACUUUGAAGGUUGUUUUUCCUUCUACCUAGUUUGGCUUUAGCACAAAUCAUGCAACUUAUUACUGGGAAAAAAAAUUAAACAGAAAAUCCAGCUUUGAUUACAUUAGAUAUGACAAGGUAUUAAUUUUGAAGGUUGUGAGUUGUAUGAAGAUAAGUUCAAGAAUUUAACCAAACACUUGCAGGUAAUUUCCAUAUCCAUAGGUUAAUGCAUGCACAGUGAAAACUAGUUGUCACUAACGUUCGUAUCCCAAAAAGAUAGUAUGUAUAUUUCCUAAAACGUAUCAAUAGUAUUCAUUGUAAACAUGGAAUUAAGAUCUAUGUACAUCAACUUAUUUGCCUUCCAAUUCCGAAGGAUAAACUGUGUCCUUUAUUGGUUUAUGAAAUUUUGAAAUAUCACGACUGUUCGAAUGUUUGUUUUAUAAAUUCUAUAUUUUCUUUAAGAAAGGGUUUAAAUUGUAAUAAAUAUUAGGCUGCUAAGAAAAUGGAAGAAUAUGAAAUAGAAUUUAACUUUUGUGAUCUGUGUGCCAUAAGAGGUGUUCCAUACAACCAUGGAUUCAAAAAGUUGGGUUUAAUUUAGACCAUUUUCGUUAGAACAAGUAAUUAAUCAAGACUGUCCAAUCAAAUGGAUGCCAUGUUUGCCAACCUUCUAUUCUGAGUGUUAUAUGGGUGGCAAUCAGUGCAUCGAAUUUUUAAGUAGCUUGUACUGGAUUUGAACCUGGAAACUGAACUUGGUAAUAAGUAAUUACUGCGUGCAUGGAAACCAAGAAUGUUAUGUACAUUCCUCUUCAAGUCAUUUUGAGCGUGUAAAUCGCACUCCACUCAUAAUAUCAAAAGUUAAAUGUUAUGAAGUCAUAUUUGACGUCAAAUGUGGUGAUGCAAGUUAUUUCAUCUCCAAUGUAUACGGAGUCAAAUUUGACCCUUAAUUUACCAAACACUAUAACACAGCUUCUUUUUGCUAAAAGCACUUUCAUAAUUAUAGUUUACUAAAUAUUUUACUUCUUUAUUUCACAGUUAAUUAUUCUCACAACACAACAUAAGCAUUUUUUCAAGCACGGUAAUAUCAAAGUAGCCCGAACAAUAAAAUUAACGAUUUUGAGAAAAGAAAAAAAAACAAUAAAAUUAACGGAAAUGGACAGCUUGAACGACAUUAAUGUCCGACAGUAAAAUGUAUCAAUCUUCAACUUUAAAACCAAAAGAAUGAUACACGUCAAUUUCACCCUUUGUGAUAAAGUAUUUUUGUUUGGUCUAAUGUUGCUUGUCUCGGUGUGGGCUUCCUUGUACUGUUUUGGCAUCUUUGCCGUGAAGUGUUAUUCUCAGUUUCUGAAAAAAAAUCUAUAUGAAUUGAAAUGUUUGAACUUGUUAGCCCAUACGUAGUUUAGUGAUACCACAUUUCAAGUACACCUCUACUUGUAAGAAGAUUUAAGCUACAUAUAAGUACAUUGAGUCGUCGAUUGGAAAAUAUAAGAUAGUCUCAUUCUUACAUCCAUUUUUACCUCCCACACACUCUUGUUAAUUUUACGUGAUUGAUACUCAAUCCAUCGUAUCCUGCGGCCGAAAAUUGCGAGAUGUGUAAGAAGUCAAAAUGGGUGUGUGUUUAGCACUACCCAAAAUAUAUUUGCAAAAUGCUUAUCACCAUCGCUUACUCCCCAUCGUACAUAUACAUACCAUAUUGCAAUUAGAGAGAGCACAAGGAUUACCAAACCAAUUACUUGGCAUAUUAUAUUGUCACGUUUCCAAAACGUCAAGAACAGAUCGUAGGGGAGACCCCCAAGAGCAUUCACAAAUGUUGAGCUCUCCAAUCCACUGCAAAAUUCUCAUCCGUAUCAAUAUCACUCGAUGACUCACCGUGGCUAGACUCCUUUUUUACAACCUCUGAAAGUCUCCUACGCUUCGCAGCAAUGGCAGCCUUCAGUGCCAUUUUUUUCUUCUUCAACAAUUCCACUUUUUCCCUAUAUGCCCUGAAAAACAAAAGGAGAACGAAGGUAAAAACUAACAGCAAAGAAAAUUGAGUUGCAAAAAACAAAUGAAUGUUUAGAACGACAGCACUUUAUUGCUGCAUUCACCUUUGCUCCACUGAUUCAGCCUCUUCUAUCGUCUCACCAGCAUCAAUCUGCAGCACAAUUAAAACAACCAAAGAAUUAUGAGUAUGCACAAGUCGACAUCCACGUAAUGUAGUAAAAAAAAACUAAGUGAACAAUGCAAGGACAUGAAAACCCUCACCUCCUCUUCUUCCAGACGAUUAUCGACCUCCUUCAAGUCCUCUUGUAUCAACUACUCAAAUUCUCUGUACUCAUCUCUGCAAUACAGUAAAUACAAACUCAAGGUCACAAUGUUUUCAUAAACCUAAGAGACUCGAUAUAUUAUGUACAAAAUGCCAAAACUAUAAAUCUCAAAUAACAAACUUCCCACACAACUCUUAAAUUUAGUUUUGGGAAAUUAUCAUAGUAAAUGGUUGAAACUUGUUAUAAAAAAGCAUGUUAUGCAUCAAGAACAGACAUCAAAUUAUGAUAUCACCAAUGAAGGGAGCCAUACAAGAUUCCCAAGAUAUGAAUACAGAACAUUCCUCCCCCCCCCCCCCAACGCCCUCCUCUCUCUCUCUCUCUCUCUCUCUCUCUCUCUCCAUAUUAUACAUCAAGAACACACAUCCAAAUUAUGAAACAUUAAACCCUUCCAGAGGUCAUUUUAUCAUGAACAAUAUAUUACCAGAAUUUGUGAACUUCCAAGUCUAUCUAGAAUGGCAUUUGAACAGUUGCAAGGACUUCAUACUAGACUAAAGAAAAUGAAAACAAGGAAGAGAACUUUCAAGAAAUAGCACCUUUAAAAUAUAGGACUUAAUGAAAAAUGUUCACUUACUUAACAUCUUGCUUACCAGGCUUUAUUCCUCGUGCAGAUAAAUCAGCUUCCUUGUUGUCAAAGAAGCCUUCAGGAAGAGCUCCCUUUAUUUGCUUGGCCUCUGAACUGGCAAUCUGUGAUGAUGUCUGUGUAAGGUCCCUGGCAGGCUCAAUAUUUCUUGUCUGCACUGUUUCCCUUCCUAAGAUGAUAUUGUUAAGUCAGAAAGAAAGAAUAAUAGAUAUCAUUAAAAGAAAACGAUCGACAGUUCAAAACUAAUCCCAAAAUAAUGCAAAUAUGAAUCCUCAAAGAUUUUCUGUUCUGGUAUUGUGCUUAUGACCCAAAUUACAUUUUAGGCUUCAGUUAACUAUCGUUUUGACAUACACUAUAUUAUCGUAAAAAUAAUAAAAAUAAAUAAAUCUCUGUUCAAACUGAUAUUGUCCUUUGGCAAUCACACAAAGCAAUGAGAAGGUGCUAACAGUCAUAUAGAAAAACAUAUAGGUUUCGUAUUCUCACCUGUAUUUUGCUUUUUUGCAUCAUGGUUAUCAAAAAAAUCAGGAGGCAGCUCAGAUGACGACUGCUUUCUAGGCAAUUCUGUAGAGCGUUCAGGUCCUGGUAUAUGCAACUCCACAGAAUGUUCAGGCUUAGAUUUUGGCAAUUCCGGACCGGCUUCAGCUUUUGUAUUGUUGACUUGGUUUAGUCCAGCAGAUGUAGCUUUGAAAUUACUUAGUGCCUAUUGCAAUAUAACCAUUCUGUUAGUAAUACUCAUUCAGAUACAUAUAUUAAAGAAAAAGAAUAAGGAACCAAUCUAAGAUUAAAUGUAAGUUGAACGGUAAUGUCACCUACUUCCCAGGCCCAUCACAGUUUCAAGCCUAGAAAGUGUAAAGAAGGAAAUGCUUUAUCUUUCGGCCAAAUAUGGAUUAAAUGCAAGUUGACGAAUGGGACAUCCAAUCCAUAUUAGUAUGCGAUGUAGGAACCAAACAACAUCAGUUAUUGCCUGCAAUUAGUAAAUGGGAUAGGCCCUAAGCUUCUGAUGGAAAAGUUAGACAAAAUAAUUAAAAUAAAUAACAAAACCACAUUUGAGAAGCUAAAAUAGUCAGGUUGAAUUCAGCAGUAUUUUAAUGUUUCAAGAUCACAAUACAUGAUUUGAUUGAGAUCAAAUGAGUUAAUUAGUUAUAUUUCAAGAAGCCGGUAAAAUGCUGCAGUAACCCUUUCAUGUUAUUUCAAAAAAUUGCAUCCUUCGUAUCAACUUCAAAUUUUCUACGAUACAAGAUGUUUGUUAAGGUCUCUUAGUUUCUUAAUUUUAUAAAUAGGGAAGUACUAUAUGAACAAUUAUCACCUCACGAUGUUUACGAGAUGCUUGAUGCGCAUCCCAUUGGUAUUCAGAUUUCAGAGUAAUGUCACAAACCCUGCACUCAGGCUAGUCAGAUUCAUUGUACCUGCAUGUAUCACAAAAAAGGACAGAAAGAAGCAGUCAGAAACUCUGGCUUAGCAAGUUAUAUAUGCCAACACGAGAACGGAACCAGUAAUAAGCAAAAGGUUCAAAUAAAAGGUACAGCAACGAUGACAUACAUAACAAAAUGGUGGAAAUAAACAAUGUCAACAUAAAUCUCUUUGGUUCAAGAUGCAUUCUGAGAAAAUAUAAGUUAGACAGUAUUUUCUCAGCUAAAUUCUAUUCCUAACUAAACCAGUUCCCAUGAGUUUCCUUUCAAAUCAUAAGUUUCGUACAAAGAAGAAACGGACUGCCAAACCAAAUUCGUACUUUGUACUUCAUAAACUAAAAGCUUUUGACACGAUCAAAUUCCGAGAACACAAUUUUUAACCACACACAUCAAUUGAGCAUUCAAGAAUAUGGCGAUCAAAUUCCUACUUUCUACAGACUGCAAUUGAAACACAAAAUUUACGAAAAGCGUUCUUUAAUAAUGAUAACUACAUUACACUGAAACUCCAUAACCUCUAGUUUUAAAUUCUUCAGGAAAAAUCUAUACCCCAAUGACAAUAUAUACAUAUACAUAUAUACACACUGAGGAAAAAAAAAAAUUGAAGAGAGAAGGCGUGGGUACUGACCGUACGAGAAGAGAUGCGCUUGUCGUUCUUCUGGGCAUUCAAUUUCGCACGAAACAGCGCCUUGUUCCUGCCUUUAGCAUACAUCUCUUAUAUCUAUGAAUUAUAUCUCCAUCGAAGGAUGAGAGAGGAUUCGGAGGUGGCUGAGAGCUCAGUGACGGAGUUUUACGAAGGCGACGGGGAUAUGAGGGCGCGGGUGACUGAGGACUCGGUGAGGAGGGCGGUGGAGGAAGGCGGAGCGAGAGACAGAGAGAGAACGAUACAGGAGGAAGGGUUAGGACGUGCGGCGCGGAGAUAGUAAUCAGGUGUGUGAAGGACUGUUGUUUUUUCCUGCCAAACAGCCACUGUCAUUUUCCAAAAAAACAUAAAAAUAAAAAAAUCAGCCACUGCCUUCCCGCCACGUGACAAAAUCGAAUAAGCAUCAGGUACGGUUGGGACGUACGGUGUGGAUUUUAGUAAUCAGUUGUGUGAAGGAGUGUUGAAUCCGGAUCCCUACCGUGAUCUCAUCCGUUCAUUAUACAUCGUGCGGUCAAAAAUUAUUUUAAAAUUUAAAAUUAAAUAUAAAUAGUAUCUAACAAAAACUGACCGCACGAUAUAUGAUGAACGGAUUAGAGCACGGGAUCCUUAAGAAAAUGAUCCAGUGAAAAUCAUUUUCUUGUUGAAUGAACAAUGUUUUAGAGUGGCAAGUGGUUAUUUAUCACAGUAAUAAAAAUGAAUGUUACUUUUGCAUCACAAUGUAAGUUCGAACUUCUUUAAUUCUCUAAUUUAACAUUUGAUUUAAUAAAUCUAUCGGUUUGACAAAAAGAAAAACAAUGUUUUAGAUAAUCAACACUUCGUAAUAAUCUAAAAAAAAAUAUACUUUCGAAAGUGAGAUUUUUUAUAGACUCUUUUCCAAUUAUGUUUUUUAGACAAUAUUUGAUAAUGUUGGAGCAAGCCUUAAAGUUAAAUUAUGAAGUGGUAGAGCGUCGAUGGAGAGUCAUAUUUCGAGAGAGUAUUCUUACAAUUUCUCAUAAUCUAAUCAUCAGCAAUUACAUCGAAACUAAAAUGUCCUAUACAAUAGAAUAAUGGGAGAUUUAACGAAAAACCCGCGAUACUAUUCACUUUAACGAAAAAUCAUAUUUUUACACUUAAAAGUAAAACAUAUACUAUUCAUUUGAUCCUUUAUUUUAUCUUUAUUGUUAAAACUCAAAGUUUUCAAAUCUUUUCCUUUGAAUUAAACUAAAAUCAUACGUGGCACAAUCCCAGCAUUGAAGAUCAAACGGUCAAGAUUGUAUAGCCAAGUACAAUCAUGCGUGUACUUUGAAUAAUACCUAUCAUCAGAAAGUGACAUGUGGAGCGGUGCUUCAAUGUCCUAGGUCCAACACCGUGAGUCUAUCCGAUCCUUAAUAUUAUCAUCUCUCUCUGCUUAUGUUUCUAUUUCCUCCAACUCGUACGGUCGGAUAUUCCGUUGGAACCAAAAAAACCAGUUUAAUCUGUUUGUAUUUUUCUUAUUAUUAUAUAUAUUUUUAAUUUUAUUUCAGAAGAAAUAAAAAAACGUUUCGGAUCUGAGGGGGGGUGCGAUGGAUUUUACACGACAAUGAUGAAAGCAGCAAUCAUUCUUCUGCGGCUCUGAAAAUUCGAUUCUCUUUCGGUUUCCCUGUAGUUUUGCCUUUUCGAUUUAAUUAAUGCUUCAAAUCUGACGCCAUGAGGAAGAAGCUCGAUACCCGUUUUCCUGCUGUAAGUACCCUCUUACUCUCGCUCGUUCCGUUCCUUUGUCUAGGGUUUAUGUUUUUUUUCUCAGAUCGAGUUUUAAUUUGUUUGGUUGCUAGGAAAUUAGGGAAAGGAAGAGAAAUUUUGGAUUGUUGUAGGUUUGCUGUGCUAAUCGUGGGUUUAAUUAGGGGGAUUAAUGAAUUAUGUUUCGGUGCUUUGAAUUGUUUGGUUAAAGUUUCAAUUUUUUGGGGGAUUUUUGAGAUAUUUGAUCUGGGUCGGGUUUUUCUAGGCCGUAUUGUUCUUUUCUUUGAUGGGACUAUGGUUUUAGGGAGAAUUGGGUGAUGGGUUUGUUGUUUUGGGGUUAUCUGAUUUGGUCUUGGGAUUUGGUUCAUAUCGAUGAUUUCGCCUAGGGUUUGUAAAUUGGUACUUGAAUCAUUGGGGUUUUGUUUGUGGAGAUAAACUUGCUUAGUUGCUCUUGUGGUGAUGUGGUUUUGCAAAUAGGUCAAGAUUAGUUGAUGACUUGUGAGGCCCCUGAGGGCUAAAUCUGGUCUUGUUUUAUUAAAUAUUCCUUUCAAAUGAGAAGUUGGAUUUGGGUUUGGAUUAUUUUUCAAGAUUGUAAAACAACUAGAGGAUUUUAUUUCGUGGGGUGUUAUAAAACCGAAGCUUACACUUCCUCAACUACUUUGUUAUCCAUAUACUACACAUGGUUCAAGAGUAGCUCUGUAACUGUAAGGCGCUGGCCAAGGCGAUCAAGAGUUGUGAAUCUUAUGUUUGAAACUUUCUUAAAGAAAAAAAAAGGAAGGAAUGGAAGAAACAUUUUUUUUCUUAUGCAGAUUUAGCUAUGCAUUGGUAACUUCAUGAUUGAAAAUUUGAAUGAGUGACAUACAGUUUGGUACUUUAUGAAGUGCUGCUGCAUGUCGUUUCAGUAUUUAAUUGUUCUCUUAUGUGGAGACCAAGAUGGGAUUAACCUCUCCAUAUAAUAUUAAUCGUGUAUCUGCAUGUGUAAAUUGUGUGUGAAGACUGAAAUAUGAAAGAACAGAUUCCUCUUUUAUACUUUUUGUAUAGCACCUUUGUUUACACUUCAGAGAAAGAGAUUGUGUCAAGAAUCAUGGUUUAUGCUGUUGUUUGCCAUCGUUGUUUACCUUUCCGUGACUUUUCUUUAGCUUAAUACCGGCAAAAGGGGGGAAGAGAGAGAGAGAGAGAGAGAGAGAGAGAUUAACAUUUUGUUGGUUAUUAGUCCUUCAUGUAGCAAAUAUCAUUUAAAUUACCCCGAGUUUCUUUGAUGUUUCGUGUGCCAAGUGUGGGAUUAUGUUAUAUAGGAUUUCUUUGAUAGCACUUGCCAUUUACCCUUAGAGUGUCCACGUAGGGGAUGCAAUAAAUUUUGGAGAACCCCAUAUCUUUGAGUGAAGUAUGUUGAUGAACCUUUUUUUUUUCUUUAGAAGUAGUAAUUAAGUAACUCCGCCUAUGUAAGUUUAUCUUACAUGGCCGGUCCCAAGCCCGGGUAAAGGAGGAGGGGGAGGGCGUCAGGUAGUCGACAGCCGGCACUCCACAGUUACGUCGAAUCCUUAUAAGAAGUAGUAAUUAAGUUAUUUGCCUUGUGCUUCCUAUUUGAAGAAUGAUGAAUGAUGUUUAGUUUAUUAACACUAGUUUAGCUCUGAAGUUAUACAUCUAUCUGACCCCCAUUCUGAAACACAAUUUUAAUCUGGCAGGCCCGGAUUAAAAAGAUUAUGCAAGCUGAUGAAGAUGUUGGGAAGAUAGCAUUAGCAGUGCCUGUUUUAGUGUGUGAGUACUUCUAACUUCUGGAAUAGUAAAAUAGCAUCCCACCAGGUUAUUUGUUUUGCUUUUUGGGUUGCUUAUGCUACUCAUCUUGCAUAUUAUGCAGCUAAAGCGUUGGAGCUAUUCUUGCAAGACCUUUGUGACCGUACCUAUGAGAUAACCCUCCAAAGAGGAGCCAAAACCAUGAAUGCAGUGCAUCUGUAAGUCAAAGAUUGAACGAUGUUUAUCCGUUUACUUAUUUAGUUUUAAGGGACUAAUACAAAAUAAAUUUAUAGUAAAGUACUACAACAGUAGUGAAAUGAUUACUCCAAUUGUACAGUAAAAACCUGAACCAGAAACUGCAGUUUCAAUUUGCACAAUUAGAGAGAAAUGCUCUAUUUUUAAAGUCUUUAGAACCUUAUUCCCACAAUGAAUUUUAGAAGUGCACUCUCUAUUCCACAAUUAACAACCUCCUUCUCAGCUUCAAAAAUCCUAAAGAUAGGUUAAAAAAAUUCUCAAUGAGCAGACAAAAACGAAAGAGCGAGAAUCACCCAAUUUAACCUUUUGCAGUGCAGCAGAAUGAUAGAGGAAUAUUAGAACAAGGUUAUGUGCAAAAUUUAGGUUUCCUGCUUUGAAUAUCAGAACAAGUAUUAAUUUUUAGACAUAUCAAAGUAAUAAUGUGUACUUUGCAAGGUAGUCUAUCUUUCCAAAUCAUUUUGGAUGGUCAUCAGUCAACCCAUUAGAACAGAGUUUACAUGGGAAUAUUCUGUAAUUCUAGAAGAGUCAAUUUACCCAUCUUUUAUGGUAUUUUCAAUGAAAUAUAGAAAAGAAGAGAGCAUCAAUCUCAACAUCACUUAAAUUUCUUCAGAUCCAGCCAAAUAAUUAGCAAUUGUAUAUUUUGGACGGAUGACAACCUCAGAAGACAUGGAUAUAAAUGAAAUUAUGAGAGAAUGAAUUGGAUUCCUUUAGCAUCGAACCUUUAAAUUAGAAUUCUCCUACCCAUUAGCAUCGACACAGUACGUUGGAUAGUAACAUGCUAUAAUUCUACGAUGAUCAAGUAAGCCGUAGUUCCUAGAUACAAUUUUUUAUUUUUUCAGGAUAAGUACAACAUUAUUAGAGAAAUCCACAUCAACAGUAACAUGGAGUUGGUAUACUGAACUUUAUUGCAGAGCUCAUGCCGAAGAAUGAUCUAAUUGCCUAAGGAGAGAUAUGGUUAUAUUUUCUAGUACCUGAUUAAAUAUGUUUAAGCUUAUGCCGUUCAAAUUUUCUGGCACUUGAAGAAUCUUUCUGAAGAAAGAAAGAUUCUUUCUUUCUUAUAGCCGACCCCACUUAGUGGGAAAAGGCUUUGUUGUUGUUGUUGUUGUUGUUGUUGAAGAAUCUUUCUGAAACUAAAUUAAGAUUAUCUAGUUGUAAUAUUCACUCAAAUUUGUUUUACUGCAUUAUCUUUUAAAGAAAAUUUUGCACCAGAGUUGAAUAUAAAGUGCCCUGUGUCUCCCAGUUACAUGAGCCAAAUCUUAUUUCUCUAUCCUGUUUGCAGAAAGCACUGUGUACAGAGCUAUAAUGUGUUUGAUUUUCUGAGGGACAUCGUCAGCAGAGUUCCUGACUAUACUCAUGGUCAUUCUGAUGCUGCUGCCGAUGACCGAGCCCUUUCAAAAAGAAGGUAUAUUAGAUGAUCUAUUCUUGUUAUUUCGCAAUAUCCUUAAUCCAUGAGAUUGUCAUUUGAAUCUACUUACUGAUAUAUUUUUCUGCAGAAAACCACCAGGUGAUGAAGGCAUUGACAGUGAUGAAGAAUUGAAGAGGAGCAAGAUGGUAACUUUAAUGGAACCCUACAAUUAAUCAUUAUCUUUUGUUCUUAACAUAAAACCAAUUUCCUUUUGCAAAAAGAAAAAACAUAAAACCAACUUCCACACACAUUGGGUGAUUACCUUCUCUUUGAAAAUGGCUUGUUUUUCUUCUUUUAGAUUCCACCAUCUAGUCCUUGGGCACUUCCAAGUCUUGUUCUUUUGUCUUACUCUUUUGAUAUGUACAUCCAUCACCAACAAGCGAUGUUGAUUAGCCACGCUCUCUCCUGGUAUAACUUUGCAAUCCUUACAAGUUAUACGAUCCCCUUUCCUCAUUAGAAGAAAAUCUAUUUGUGUUUUUGACAACCCACUCUUGUAGGUGAUCACAUGUUCUUCUCUCUUCUUAAAAAAGGUGUUGGCUAAGAAGAGAUCAUAUGCCAUUGCAAAAUCCAAGAUAGCUUCCCCAUCCUCGUUUCUCUCCCCAAAACCAUGGCCACCAUGAAAACCUCCAUAGUUGCCUGUCUCCCUGCCCACGUGUCCAUUUAAAUCUCCUCCUAUAAAUAACUUCUCCAUCUGAGCAAUUCCUUGCACCAAGUCUCCAAGAUCUUCCCAAAAUUUCUCCUUCGAACUCGUAUCCAACCCUACUUGAGGUGCGUACGCACUAAUCACAUUGAUAAGUUCUUGUCCUAUUACAAUCUUGAUUGCCAUGAUUCUAUCUCCUACCCUCUUGACAUCUACAACAUCUUGUACCAAGGUCUUAUCCACGAUGAUGCCAACACCGUUUCUCGUUCUAUUUGUGCCCGAAUACCAAAGUUUAAACCCUGAGUUUUCUAGAUCCUUUGCCUUACUACCAACCCACUUAGUUUCUUGUAGGCACAUAAUAUUUAUCCUUCUCCUCACCAUAACUUCCACACUACUUCCAUAGAUUUUCCCGUUAAGGUUCCUAUAUUCCACGUUCCUAAACGCAUUUUGCUCUCUCUUGAACUCUACCCUUCUGUCCUAGCUUAUUCACCCUCCCCCGUCUAAUAGGAUCAAAGUACUUCUUUUGUGUGUCCCGGGUAAAGUUGAUAGGAGCAUAUGCUCCCAAACAACUUUGAGUGGAGUCGUUCGAAAAGAAGUUUCUAUGGCCCCCUUGCUCAUUUAACACUGCAUCCGGGUGCCGAUGGAGAUACAGCGACCCUUGCUCACUUAUCACUGUGCUCGGGCCACACAGCGCGCCACUUACGGGUGACGCCCUAGCUUUAGCGCGAUUUUGUUCUGGAUUCAUUUUCAUAAGGAUUCGACGUGAUCAUGGAGUGCCGGCUGUCGACUACCUGACGCCCUCCCCCUCCUCCUUUAUCCGGGCUUGGGACCGGCCAUGUAAGACAUAGGCGGAGUUAGAUUAAAGAGUUCCUUGGUGUAUGCUUUUCGCAGACGAUAUAGUGUUGAUAGAUGAAACUCAGGAAGGGGUAAAUGCAAAGCUUAAUCUUUGGAGAGAAGUGUUGGAAUUUAAAGGUCUUCGCCUAAGCCGAUCAAAGACAGAAUAUAUGGAGUGCAAGUUCAGUGCAAAUGGAGGCCAAAACGAGUUAGGGGUGAGGAUCGGAGAUCAAGAAAUACCAAAGAGCGACCGUUUUCGUUACCUAGGAUCUAUCUUGCAAAAGAACGGAGAAUUAGAUGGAGAUCUCAACCAUAGAAUACAAGCUGGAUAGAUGAAGUGGAAGAGUGCAUCCGGCGUGUUGUGUGACCGUCGUAUGCCACUGAAGCUCAAGGGAAAAUUUUAUAGGACGGCAAUAAGGCCGGCGAUGCUGUAUGGCACAGAAUGUUGGGCGGUGAAACAUCAACACGUACACAAAAUGGGUGUAGCGGAGAUGAGGAUGCUUCGUUGGAUGUGUGGGCACACGAGAGAAAGGAUAAGAUUAGGAAUGAGGAUAUCCGGGGUAAAGUAGGAGUAGCCGAAAUUGAAGGAAAGAUGAGAGAAAAUCGGUUACGGUGGUUUGGACAUGUGCAAAGAAGGCCUACUGACGCUCCGAUUAGAAGAUGCGACUAUGGGACAGAGGUUCAGGGCCGAAGGGGGUAGAGGAAGACCUAGGAAAACUUUGGAAGAGACUCUAAGAAAAGACUUAGAGUACUUGGAUCUAACGAAGGACAUGACACAGGAUCGAGCACAAUGGCGUUCUAAGAUUCAUGUAGCCGAUCCCACUCAGUGACUUGGAUUUUCCAAGUCUCCAACCGAGAAGUUUUCCUCACUCGGGAAAUUAAGGGAACACUACCCCAACCUACAUGCUCCACUCAGAAAGUUUCAAACAUACAAGCUUCAACAAAAGAAAAUUCAAAGAACUUAGCGAAGAAGGCUUUGGUGUAUUUAACACAAUACGUUGAAAUGAAGGAAAGCUUAUUUAUUGAUAUCCCCGAUAAGCUACAAAUAUGUACAUAUACAUGAGUCAAAAUAAACACACAAGAGGGAGCCUUCACAAAGGUUGCUUAGGAGAAGUCUCAGCAGUCGGUAGAGCCCCAGAAAGAGAAGGCACCGGAGGGGGAUCAUUUGGAGCCUCAGUACUGGACAGAACCCUAGAAGGAGGAGGCAUCAGAGGUUGAUCAUUUGGAGCUUCAUUACGCGGUACAGUCCCAGAAGACGAAGGCAAUAAAUGCCUUUGGAACAAACCCACAAAUCUCUGAUGAUCAAGUAAAACCUGACCAUCAGUUUCCUUCAUCUGGUCAAGCUUCCUCUUCAUGUUUGUAGCAUAGUCAUGUGCGAGCCGGUGCAACUGUUUAUUCUCAUGCUUGAGCCCUCUAAUCUCCUGUUUGAGACUCAUCACUUCAGCCGCCAAUGAUUCAACUUGGCGGGUUCGAGCAAAUAGGCGUUGGGCCAUAUUAGAUACAGAACCUGCACACUGAACACUGAGAGCCAGCGAAUCCUUAACAGCUAACUCAUCAGACCGUUUGGAAAGUAGUCUGUUAUCUUUGGGAGUGAGAAGGUUCCUGGCCACCACCGCAGCGGUCAUCAUAUCAUUCUUCAUCACGGAAUCCCCAACGGUAAGAGGACCAGUAGGGGAGACGAAGGAUGGGCGCCAUAUGUUGUCUGGAGAAGGCGGGGCUGCCUCUUCAACAAGGUUCAAGUCAAAACGACGGUCGGAGGGGCCAGACAUUUUCAAAGGUGUUGAAGAGAGAAGAGGUCGGACAAAUCAAGAUCCUAGAAGUGCAAGAAUGAAGCUUCUACUGGUGGAGAUUCAAGUGUGCUUUGGAACUUAAUGCCAGCCCCUAUAAAAAUCUGCACUCGACGGAGCUUCAGAAAUCGAAGAGGCGCCUGCUCAGAAAUCGAAGAGGCGUUUGCUUUCUCAAAAGCUGGGCUGCUUAGAGAUAACGAGGGUUGAUCUCAGAAAUCGAAAAGGCGUUUGCUUUCUCAAAAGUUGGGCUGCUCAAAGACCACGAAGGUCGAUCUCAGAAAUCGAAGAGGCGCUCGCUUUCUCAAAAGCUAGGCUCCCCAGAGACCACGAGGGCCGAUCUCAGAAAUCGAAGAGGCACCUACUUUUCCAGCCUUGUCAGCACCUGUCACACGCACACUCAGCUUUGUGGAAAUUAUGGGCAUUCUGUCAAAGACUUCUGGGGAGGUAGAAAACACAUGAAUCUUACUGUUCAAUCACCCACUUCCCACACGCAACAAUAGCUCAUGGGUACCAUAGAUAACUUUGCCAAAGUUCUCUGCCAAAGUUGAGCACGUGAAGCUUGCAGCUCCCACUACAUCGCUCUGACCAAGAAGGGUAAAAGAAUAGCAAAGAAACAGCACUAACAAAGUUUAGACCCAUAAAUUUUGAAGGUCUAGCUACCAUAUUAUUACCCACAAGGGUAAAGGAACAGUACCACUGCUGGAUAAUUGGAAAGUCCCUGUGUGUCAACCUCUGUGCUUCGUGGCAAGGUAGACUAGCAAACAUGCCCAACCUUUACUCACAUUCGAGAAAAACACUCCCAAUAAGAUUGCUUGCUCCAAAAUCGAAGAGGCACCGUCCUUCGAAUCUCGAGAGCCAGACUCCCAACAUGACUACUUUCUUAAAAAUCGAAGAGAGGGUAAAGGAACAGUACCAUUGCUGGAUAAUUGGAAAGUCCCUGUGUGUCAACCUCUGUGCUUCGUGGCAAGGUAGACUAGCAAACAUGCCCAACCUUUACUCACAUUCGAGAAAACACUCCCAACAAGAUUGCUUGCUCCAAAAUCGAAGAGGCAUCGCCCUCCGAAUCUCGAGAGCUAGACUCCCAACAUGAUUACUUUCUCAAAAAUCGAAGAGACACUGCUCCCCGAAUCUCGAGAGCCAGACCCCCAGCAUGAUUGCUUUCUAAAAAAUCGAUGAGGCAUCGUUCUCCGAAUCAAUCGAAGAGGCGCUCGCUUUCUCAAAAGCUGGGCUGCUCAGAGACCACGAGGGCCGAUCUCAGAAACCAAAGAGGUACCUACUUUUCCAGCCUUGUCAGCACCUAUCACACGCACACUCAGCUUUGCAGAAAUUAUGGGCAUUCUGUCGAAGACUUCUGGUGAAGUAGAAAGCACAUGAAUCUUACUGUUCAAUCACCCACUUCCCACACGCAACAAUAGCUCAUGGGUACCACAGAUAACUUUGCCAAAGUUCUCUGCCAAAGUUGAGCACGUGAAGCUUGCAGCUUCCACUACAUCGCUCUGACCAAGAAAGGUAAAAGAAUAGCAAAGAAACAGCACUAACAAAGUUUAGACAUAUAAAUUUUGAAGGUCUAGCUACCAUAUUAUUACCCACAAGGGUAAAGGAACAGUACCACUGCUGGAUAAUUGGAAAGUCCCUGUGUGUCAACCUCUGUGCUUCGUGGCAAGGUAGACUAGCAAACAUGCCCAACCUUUACUCACAUUCGAGAAAACACUCCCAACAAGAUUGCUUGCUCCAAAAUCGAAGAGGCACCGUCCUCCGAAUCUCGAGAGCCAGACUCCCAACAUGACUACUUUCUCAAAAUCGAAGAGAGGGUAAAGGAACAGUACCAUUGCUGGAUAAUUGGAAAGUCCCUGUGUGUCAACCUUUGUGCUUCGUGGCAAGGUAGACUAGUAAACAUGCCCAACCUUUACUCACAUUCGAGACAACACUCCCAACAAGAUUGCUUGCUCCAAAAUCGAAGAGGCACCACCCUCCGAAUCUCGAGAGCCAGACUCCCAACAUGAUUACUUCCUCAAAAAUCGAAGAGACACUGCUCUCCGAAUCUCGAGAGUCAGACCCCCAUCAUGAUUGCUUUCUCAAAAAUCGAAGAGGCAUCGUUCUCCGAAUCUCGAGAGCCAGAUACGACAGACCACUUUUUCAAAGUGCUCUGACAGAGUUAAAACAGGUGAAACUGGCAGCUCCCACUACCGUGCUAUGACCAAGCAGGGUAAAGGAAUAGCAUUACUACUUGUUGUUAGGGAGACUCCUAUAUAUGUCGACCUCCAUCCCCAACGGACAGGCAGACCUGCAAAAAUGCUCAACCCUUCAUCAUAUCUGAGAGGGCACUCCCAACGAAGUCUUUCGAAAUAUUCAGCUUUCUUUCCCCCCGAUAAUACCUCUGCAAACAAGCUAUACUAGAGCAAGAAUAUCUCAUAUCAUCAGGGUUAAAAGCAAGAGUAUCCCAUAUCAUGCUUUUUCUCUGUCUUUUCUUUUGGCCUUGUUUUUACCUGCAAGACAAGGAGAAAGAGAGCAAUCAGUCAGCACUUGGAAUCAAGCUUCCAGCCAGGAACUGACUGCCUGGAACCCCUUACCUGAUUACUUACCUGGCAUUGCUCUCGAGUACUCAUCCUCAACAUCUUAUGUUUCUAGGGAAGAUUCCGCAUCUGCUUGAGGAACAGAUAGGGCAAGUGCGAAGGAUACAAGGAAGCAUGUGGAGACAAGCGUAACAGCACACGUGCCGAUACAUCCAUUACUCUGUCAAAAGCAAAAGUAUCCCAUAUCAGCAGGGUGGAACGUACUCUAGAUUUGAUGGACUUGUUUUGACCCUCAAAUUCUUCAGUCGGCCUUAUACUCUGGAGGAAACCAGAAAACCCUCCAGCUCAGUUCAAGAAUAAGCCUGUUGAAAGUUACUUCUUCAAAAGCAAAAGUAUCUCAUAUCAUCUCUUCUCAUUUUUCUUCUCUUUAUCCUUCAUGCAUGCUGCUGCAAGAUGGGGAGAAGGUGAACAAUCAGUCGGAGCUCUGAUUGCUUACCUUGUCUGUCACCUCUUUCAGCAGACCCCCUAGCUCGGCGACUUGGGGGACUCCUACUACAUGGUUUGUAUCGCGCUUGACCAAGCCUGAAACUACAAGUAAGGUUCAAGUGAAAUUGAUACAUUACCUUGUGCAUCUCCACCAGUUAAAGAUACCACCCCUGGAUGGAGGAAGAGUACUUCCAGAGAAGAUGCCAUAUCUACCUAUGAGACAGAUAAGGCAAGUUAAGACGACACCACACUUCGAUACUUAGAAGUUUCGUGAUUACGAGAUCAUUCUCCCACAAUAUUUCCUAAUGUCAUUUGUACUAAAUCAUUCACUUGUACUCACUAAAGGAGAGCUUGAACCUAUGUACUUCUGUAAACCCUUCACAAUUAAUGAGAACUCUUCUAUUCCGUGGACGUAGCCAAUCUGGGUGAACCACGUACAUCUUGUGUUUGCUUUCCUAUUUCUAUCCAUUUAUAUACUUAUCCACACUAAUGACCGGAGACAUCUAGCGAAGAUCACAAAAAAACGACCGUUUUCGCUACCUAGGAUCUAUCUUGCAAGAGAACGGAGAAUUAGAUGGAGAUUUCAACCAUAGAAUACGAGCUGGAUGGAAAGAGUGCAUCCGGCGUGUUGUGUGACCGUCGUAGGCCACUGAAGCUCAAGGGAAAAUUUUAUAGGACGGCAAUAAGGCCAGCGAUGUUGUAUGGCAUAAAAUGUUGGGUGGUGAAGCAUCAACACGUACACAAAAUGGGUGUAGCGGAGAUGAGGAUGCUUCGUGGGAUGUGUGGGCACACGAGAAAGGAUAAGAUUGGGAAUGAGGAUAUCCGAGGUAAAGUAGGAGUAGCCGAAAUUGUAGGUAAGAUGAGAGAAAAUCGGCUCCGGUGAUUUGGACAUGUGCAAAGAAGGCCGACUGACGCUCCGGUUCGAAGAUGUGACUACGGGACAGAGGUUCAGGGCCGAAGGGGUAGAGGAAGACCUAGGAAAACUUUGGAAGAGACUCUAAGAAAAGACUUAGAGUACUUGGAUCUAACGGAGGACAUGACACAAAACCGAGCGCAAUGGCGUUCUAGGAUUCAUAUAGCCGACCCCACUUAGUGGGAAAAGGCUUUGUUGUUGUUGUUGUUGUUGUUGAACUCUUUAAUCUAAGUGAUGUCUCUUUUGGUUUCUUUAGGAUGUCCAGGUUGAAGACAUAAAUAUUUUGUGAAUUUAUAUAUACAAGUUUGAAUAGAGGAUCCGAGUUGGUUUUGUUUGUGCUUGGGCUGAAUUAGCUGUUAACUAAAUGCAAUAUGCAGAGUUUCACUGUUGUCAAAAACUUUAUUUUACUUUUUCUCUGCAGCUUGAGAUAAAAAAUAGCAGCAGCAGCGGCAGAGGAAGAGGCCGAGGACGGGGUCGAGGCCGUGGACGUGGUCGGACCACUGAAAGAGACACUUCGCACCAUGAGACUGAAUCUGAUCCGUGCACAUCUCUUCGGCAGAUCACUGAACCUAAUCCAAACCCUGGAAUGGUGGUGGAUGAUGUUUCCGAGUCAAAGGAUAUAUUGAAAGAAAAUGCCAUUGCACCUGAUGAAUCCGAUCCAGCAGUUAGAAACUUUGAUCUGAAUGCCGAAGUUAAUGAUGCUGAGGACAUAAAAGCUGCCGCAACAGCAGCCCAAGCCGCCGCAACAGCAGCCCAAGCUUCCGCAACAGUAGCCCAAGCUGCGGCAACUGCAUCCCAAGCUGCCCCAACAGCAUCCCAAGCUGCCCCAACGGCAUCCCAAGCUGCCCCAACGGCAGCUCAAGCCUCAUCAGCUGGACCUAUCUCCGAGCCUAAACAUGAAGAAUAUCCUGGGUGGUCUCUCUCUGAUGUGGAUGGAAUGGCCAUUGAUCCUGUUCAACUUGCAAAUCUCAGCAGAAGGCUAGACGAGGAUGAGGAAGAUUAUGACGAAGAGGGCUAAAUUCCACUCGAUGGCUUAUUGUCCCAAAGAAGGGUAGCGGGAUCAAGAUCAGUGGAAAGCUCUUGAAGGAAAACUAAAUAAAAGUAUACAAAAGCUGGAAUAGCGACCUAAAUGGAGAUGAAAUGGCCCGUGCACUUUGUCCCAACGAAGAGUCCGAAUUUCUCUUCCUGUCCAAUGUUAGCAUCGUAGCAUUUCCUAACAUCCAUUUCCAGAGGUAGCAUUUCCGUGACGAUGGCAGAGAGGAUAGCCUCUGCAAAUUGACUCUUAGCAGUGUAUGAAGAAUAUGGCACCCUUGAAUAGCGGUGGAUUGCCCUAUGAGUGGUUUGCCUUUUUAAUUUACUGUGUUUGUUAUAGAUUUUCAGUACAAGUAGUAGCUUGCUCGUCGUUAUCGCGUGGAAGGUAAUAGUUCUGUUAGCCCUUUCAAUUAAUCUUCUGACCAGUGAAUUGGAUUUUCUUUUCCUUUCCUUCUCUUGCUCUUUUAAGAAGUUCCGCAACGAGAUGCAUACGCGUUGCUAAUAGUUUGCAUAAUUUCAAUGGUGGUGAAGAUUCGGCAGCGAUGUGUUUCUGCCGUGCCGAUAACAUAACGUGUCUGUUUCUUCCAUGGUUCAUCCUAAGGAAACCCUGGUGCCUCAAAUAUUAUUUGUAUAUAUUAUUUGCAAAUCUAAAUGUUUCCUGAAAGGUUUCUGGAUGGAAUGGUUUGGAAGUAUGGAGUUUGGAUUUUGAAAGCUAGCCAUACAAAUAUUAGAUAUAUUUGUGCUGCAUUCGAAACUGGUAUUGAAAUUUCUUGCUUGGAGUCGAAGUUGAAAACAUUUAGGAGACGCUACGCGUACCUGCACCCGCCAAAGGUUAAUGGGUAGGGUUUGUGUGAGUGAAAUGACGAGAACCUCUCGAUCGAUUGAGAGGUUAGAACUAAAUGAUGCAUGCCUAUACGAGAGGUUUUUUAACCAAUUCAGAAAGUCACUUGAUCACUUGAUCCUGUAUAUAUGAGGAAGAUUGUGCAUGAUACUGACGGUAGGUGUUGAGCCAAGUGCUUAAUGAAGAUAGCAUACCACCUAUUCGAAUUUUUAUUUUAACAAGCAAUAGUAUCUACAUUAAGCGGAUGAAGGAGUAGAUUAAGUCUUACAUUGGGUUACUCGUAGUAAUAUGGUUCAACUUCGUCUUUGACGAGAAUUAAAUCUAAAACCUCUCACAAUUUCUAAUAAUAAAAAUAAAAAAAAUAAAAAAAUCCUAAGACUUUUCACUUACAAGUGAAGUAAAAUACCGCUGGACCGUAAUACUAGCACCGCCAAUUGAAAUUAAUGAACAGAAAAAGGAUGGAAAAGAAAGAAGAAGAAAAUAGGGAUGGGCAAUAGACUUAUAAUACCUUAUAAUAUAGAUACAAAUUGGAAAACCGAGUACAUCACUAGUGACCAGGUUUUGUUAUUGAUUACGACACAAAAGAAACACUGAACAGCAACCAACCAUGUAUAUACACCACAAUUUGCCAUGACACAAAUUCAAGGUAACUUCAUUAUUCUUAAUUCUUACGUACUUCGACUUUAAACUUCUCUUCCUUGCCUCCCUUGUUGCACCUUUAGAAGCAUGUUGAACUUUGCUUUCUCGUCUGUCCCCUGCUUUCACAAUGUGAACACGUUAAAAUAAGCAAAAGUUCGAAUCAACCGAUCUUGCAAAUGUUUAACCAUAUAUAUCACAGCAUUUGAGCGAAUCUAACAUGUUGAAUGUACAAAACUCAAUUAUCUGAAAGAAAAAAAGAAGCUGUAAUAAACAAAACAAACUUCAUUGAAUUACCAGGAAGCUCGUGAGCAUGACAAAGAUUUAAAUGCAAAUUUGGGAACAAAAAUACAAAUUUUAAUCAUCUGAACCAUUCAAACACUAGGGUUCCAUUUGGUUGUAACGUUUUGAAAUGAGACUUCGAUCGUCUAUAAGGCUACAAAUAUGGCAUCUCAACCCCUAAGUUUUUAACAGUUUCGUUACUUUACUGACCUUUCUUUUCAACAAGAAGAUAAACAGUCUCCUUCUUGACCUUCCCAACUAUGAAAUAAGAAGAAUACAUGAAAUGCCCACUACCAUGAGGAAACUAAAAUUAAUUUGGAAAUGUAAUAGCUAGGAACUACUCAAGAGUCAAGAAAAAGGAGUAUAUUCGAGGUUGCACCCAAAGAAGAAAAGGAUCCCAAGGAACUAAAAGCUCCUCCUAGACACUUACAAUAUGAGUUCACAAACGUCACCUGGUUGAGAGCACUAAACAAGAUGAGAUGAUGUGACUGCAUCAACCAGACUGAAUGAUAUUCUUAGAAAGCUUGGACUUGACAGUUUUUUAGACAAAUAUCAUUUGCAAAGAUGAAGAGAAAAUGACGGUAAGGCUAAUAAAACAACCAAACAAAAUUCAUGGCCUAAGAUGCAUACUUUUAAUGUCUGGAUUCCCUUUCAGUGGAUAUACACGGUUAAGAUAAGAAAGCAAGGUCCGAGUCUUCAAAUUGUGGGAUUCGAAUUGGAUUUUUUGGCCUACAUUGCUUAUAAUUGAGUCAUAGAAAUGUUAAACUCUUUCUUAAACAGUCAAAUUUACAUGCGUAAGCAAACGAAAUUAAGCUUUGUUCAUGUUAAUUGCUUCCACAGACACUUAGGUCUUUCCGUGAACACCCCGUUAAAUCUCUCAAAUAGAGUUAUCAUUCCAGUAAUGUUCCAAAAUAUCACUCAUAAUAAAGUUGAAUAAAGAACCUGACAUUAUCAGCAUAAAUCCAAAUCUAAUAUAUAUGCUUCUAUCCAUAUCGACCCCAAAAAGUAAAAGACAGAUCAAAACAACCAAAACCUACCCCAAAUCAAAUACACAAUUCUCCAAAACUAAGUAAACAGUACACUUGUAAUUAUUUAGCUUAAAAUAAUGGAAGGGCAGAAACCUUGGAGACGAACAAACUAGGAGUCAGAAACAAGCUUGAACUCCUGCACUUGCUUGAAGUGCUCCCAUGGCUUUACCCACACCUUGGCUUCAUAAACCUUCUUCUUUCCGCCAUCUGUGACCUCGAUUUUCAGAUAAUGCAUAGUGCCCGAAACCACUUGUACCUUAUCAUCCAAUACCCUUACAAACUCAAGCAGAGUAUUCUGCACAAUAUUCAAUUGAUCAAUCAAUUUAUAAAUUAGGACUCUUUUCUAGGAAGCACUUCUGCUCAUAAGCACUUGUAUAAAAAGUUCUUUCAUUAGAAAGUCAUAAACUUCUUUAAAAAUCCAAGCACUUCAUGAAGAAACUGCUUCUAUGACUCGGUAGUUAUCCAAUUAAUCAAUCAAUUUCUUAGUUAUGGAUCUUUUCUAGGAAUCACUUUUGCUCAUAAGCACUUAUGUCAAAAGUUCUUUCAUUACAAAACCAUUGAAAUUUUCAUAAAAAAAUCCAGGAUAGUGCCACACCCAUGUUUGCCUCCCACGUCCCCUUAUUAAUUUUCGAGCAUUAAUCUUCUUCAAUUCAUUCUAUCCAACAGAAAAAAAUUAAGAGGGGGUGUCUGUGAAGUAAAAAAGGGGUGCGGUAGCACUACCCAAAAUCCAAACGACUCCCCCUUCCUGAAAAAGCACUUGGAAGCACUUCAUAAAGAAGCAUCCGGCAAGUGCUUCUCUAGAAAGUGCUUCUACGACAUCGCAAACAGGACCGAUCAAUCAAAAACCAUCCACAAUUUAAAUCAGAAACAAAAAGGGUACGGAAAUGGAAGGUACCUCCUUCUUGUUGUGUUCAUCGACGGCGUAGCGAGCAAGGCUUUCGGUCUCGACGCUGUUGGCGGAACCUUGGUUAUCGCGGAUUGUACCAACGGCGGCCAUGUUUGAUUCUGCGGCGAGCUCUGUAUGUACUUCGGAAUUGGAUUUGAUUUUUGUAUGCAGAAGAAGAAGAGUUUUGUGGCUAUUAAUACACACCCUCUCAAGGACGAAGACUCCGCCGACGCGCUUGACAAGGAAAAUUCGCCCUGUCGAUCCUCUGGUAUCGUGACACGUGGCGAAUCUUUUUGUUAUCCGUUUCUUCCUCUGUAAGGUUUUGUUUUCUUUUUGUUAGUUUAUUGUUUUUUUGUUACGAGAAAGGCUUAAUCUAUAAGUUUUGAAGACGACUUUUUUGUAUGUAGUUUAUGUCUUGUUAAUGUGCAUCACUGUAUUACCGUAUUAGUGACUGUUAAAAUUAGAAUUCCAAUUCUCGAAAAGUAAUCUUGUAUUUACAUUGAGAAAUUAAACAUUAUUUUCUCAUGCGGUUGUGCUACAAAUAAAAAUGAGUGGUGUUAUGACCAUCCCAUUAUCUUAUCUCAUCACCCACAUUAUAUUCACACCCUCUUUAAAAAACGUAAAAACACAUAAACUCUUUCCUCACCCACCAUUAUUCCUAAAAUAACCCUACAUCUUUAUUCUUCAAAUUUUUCUUGCUUUAAAAAAGUACAAUUAUCAUUAAACAAAAUUCUGCAACUACAAAAAUCCCCAUAAUAGUCGCACUAACCCUCUAAACCCUAGCCAUGCCGCCACCACCACCCUUGAAAACCCUAUCCUAAAUGUACCAGCACCGUCAAAACUACACCGCACCAAUAACCAACGCCCCGCCUCAGUCACCAACCAUCGCAGCAGCACCACGUCCCCAAACCGCUCUGGUAGUCAGCAGCACCAUGAGUCCCUUAAACCCUGAACCAGUCUAUUCUCGAGCCUCUCCAUUCUUGAUUGGUGUUUGCCAGCUAGAGCAAGUAACAUCCAUAUGAGAUGUAUGUGAAUACCUCUAUUCGACAAGAUUUCGAAUAACUUGGACGAAAAUGAUUAAAUCUGUAAACCCUAAUAAAGGAUUAUCCAGGGAAAUGGGACCUUGAAUCCGAUUGGAUUUUUUAUUGGGUUGAUUGUUGUAGAGGCAGUGGAGAUUACUGAGAGAGCCCGGCAACACCGCCGUGAGGGAAUAAGGCUAAGGGGAUUAUAGGGGUCAUAAUUGGGGAGGGCUUUUUAGUGUUUUUCCUUCUUUUUUUUCUCAUUUUUUUUUAUUUAGGUUUUAAACUUUCAAGUAUAUAACUAAUAAUUAGGUGCCAAGACAUGAUUGGUUGGUCUUUAGACCUUUGAAGGUCAUUUUACACAAGGGUAAAUUUGGCAAUAAAAUUAUGAGUUCAAGGUGAGUAGGGAAAUAAGACAAAGGGGUGGGCUUAACAGUACUCAAUAAUUAGGCUUGUCAGGUGAGUGGGAGGAUCGAGCUCAAGACACUUCCCCUGAGGUUAGGAGUUAGGACGUCUCUCCGAGGAAAAAGAUCCUUGCUGGAUCCUUUUUUUGAAGAUCUUUGGGAUCCCGUAGUGUUCACUUUAACAAAAAAUCACAUUUUUACACUAAAAAGUCAAUCUUGGUACUAUUUACUUUACCCUUUAUUUUGUCAUUAUCAUUAAAACUCAAAGUUUUCAAGCUCUUUUCAUCAAUUUUCCUAAUUUUAAAAUGAUUUUUUACCGCACGAUGUGCGAUGAACAAUCACGAUCAUGGAAUUCCUAAAAUCCAUAUGAAAAGGAUCAUACAUUUCAUUUCUCGUCUCGCAUAGAUUGUAUUUUACUAGUUUUCCGAAAAUAUUUUGGAAGUGUAAUUUUCUUAUAGUUCAAUUAGUGGUGUAAUUUGUAGAGAAGUCAACGAUAUCAUUCCCAAUAUCUUGGCUUAGUUUAGGAAACAAUUUUGUAAUUGAUUUGUAUAAGUUUAUUUUCCUAUUGUAUACCUAGAAAGUAGGGUAGUUUACUUCUUAGUCAAGUAUUGUUCUUUGUAUAAAUCUCUUUGUAUCAAUAGAAGAUAACACACUUCCGCAAAAUAUAUUCUUGCUCUAUUUUACAUGGUAUCAAGAGCUAGGUCGAAACCCUAGUUCUUGCCGCUGCCCUUUUUUUGCUAUUUUUCAAUAGCUUUUUUUCCGUCAACCAUCAUGGCCACUGACAAACUUUCCAAAAGUGAAGCGGCUGAUGUCAAGACUGAUGUUUCAAACCCUUUGUUGAUGGUACUGUCACACAGCCUUUCGAGAAAACCAAACCUGCCAACCAUACUACAUGGUAGAGAUGCAAUGAUAUGAUCGUUGCGUGGAUCAUCAACUCCAUUGAUUUAGAGAUUUCUGAUAGUAUUCUUUACAUGACUGAUGCUCAUGCAAUUUGGGAGGAAUUGUGAGAGCAUUAUUCACAAAGAAAUGCUCCUCGGAUUUUCGAGUUACAACGGGACAUUGCUUCUCUUACUCAAGACCAACUCUCAAUUGUUGCGUACUACACAAAGCUAAAGAAAUUGUGGGAUGAACUGGCAUCAUACAGUAACUCUACUUCCUGCACGUAUGGAGCGCAGAAUGAAAGAAAUAAAUUAAUGCAGUUUCUUAUGGGCCUCAACGAGUCCUAUAGUGCCAAUCGAGGGAAAAUCUUGCUGAUGAAUCCUUUACCAACUGUUCGUCAGGCCUAUGCUUCAAUUUCCCAGGAAGAGAAACAAAGAUCUCUUACUGCCUUACGUGGAGUCACCGAGACAGUAGCUAUGGUUGUCCAUUCAUGAUCAUCUGGAUCCUCCAGUUGCAAGCCCUUGCACUAUACUCAUUGUGAUCAUGACUAUCACACCAUUGAUACUUGUUAUCAGCUUCACGGGUAUCCACCAGGGCAUCGUCUUCACAAAGUCAAGCCUCAAAAAGGGAGCAAGCCUUCUAAAAAGGAAGGCAGUUCUUUUUCGUCUGCAAAUCAAGUUUCAGAAGGUGCCACUUUAGAAGAGAUGAAGUCAGUAAUGUCUGGGUUAUCUGACACCCAAUUCCAGCAAAUUCUUCACAUCAUGAAUAAUAAUAAAGGAGGUAACGUCUCUGUUCUUCCAAAAGCUAAUGUCGCUGCCAUGAAAACAAGUUUGUCGAAAUCUCUUUUGCCUUUACGUAGAUGGAUAAUCGACAGUGGUGCAACAGACCAUAUAACCUCCUCACCAUCUUUGCUUACUGAUGGUGUCAAAAACACCACUUUGUCACCAGUUUUAUUACCAAGUGGAGAGCAAGCUUGCAUAGUCUCCACUGGGAAUGUUCCUUUGAGUUCUACUUUUUUGUUGCGAGAUGUGUUGUGUGUGCCAACUUUUAAAGUAGAUUUGAUGUUUGUGAGUCGAAUUACAAGUGGAUUGCAUUGUUCUAUAACUUUUUCCCUUCGUGGUGUAUUAUGCAAGACUUGGCGACGAAGAAGGUGAUUGGUUUGGGUAAGCAAUGAGGCAGACUCUACUAUUUGGCAGCAUUGAUUUCCACCGCCUCUGGGAGCUCACACCGAGUCUGCAACCUUGUUCUCUCACCUACAGAGUUGUGGCAUCGACGUUUGGGGUCAUUUAUCACCUUUUAAGCUAGAUUUCAUGUCGAAACACCUAUUGCAUUUUCCUUUUCAAUCCAAUAAUGAUUGUGAUGUUUGCCCUUAGCCAAGCAAGGUCAUUUACCUUUUAAUAUCAAUUCCAUUACAACUACAAAACCUUUUGCUUUAAUCCAUUGUGAUAUUUGGGAUCCCUAUAAAAUUGCCUCAUUUUCUGUAGCAAAAUAUUUCUUAACUAUAGUAGAUGAUUACUUUCAUUUCACAAGAUUUUCCUUAUGCAACACAAAUCAGAAACACAACACGUCCUCAAGGAUUUUUUCUCUUUUGUUCAAACUCAGUUUAAUACAUCCAUUUGCCAAACAAGAGUAGACAGACAAUGGUGGAGAAUUUUUUUUCCCUUCGUGGUUUCUUCUAAGAUCAUGGGGUCAUUUAUCAAUGUUUUUGUGUCUAUACACCCCAACAAAAUGGGGUAGUCGAGCGCAAACAUCGUCACAUACUUGAAAUUGCUCAUGCUUUAUGUUUCCAAGCUAACCUUCCUUUUUCCUUUUGGGGUGAAUGUGUACUUACGGCUGUUCAUAUCAUUAAUCGUCUUCCUACCUUAAUCAUUUCUCAUCGUACGCCCUUUGAACACUUGUACUCCAAUCCAAACCACCUUCGUUUUCCCACCUUAGAGUAUUCGACUGUCUUGCUUAUGCAACCAACACCCAUCUUUCCCACAAAUUUGCCCCCCGAGCUCACAAAUAUGCCUUCCUUGGGUAUCCCGUUGGUCAAAAGGCAUACAAACUUUACAACCUUACCACUCAUACAUUUUUUACUAACUGAGAUGUUUUUCAUGAACAUAUUUUCCAUUACCAUUCUUCUCCAUCCUCUACUUCACCCACCACUACACCACUGCCUACAUCCUCUACUUCACCUACCUCCACACCACUGCUUACCCCUACACCCUUUUUACCUGAGACUCCCGAUGUUACCUUAUCGUGCCCUAGGGACUCUUCUUCUUCACCACCCGAGUCUUCUGCAAAUUUUCACCUCCCUCCUGAUGCAGCUCAUUUCGAGUCCCUUUCUACCUCAUCUGUGCCUCUUGCACCUUCUAAACUGAUGCUUCGCCGCUCUAGCCAUCACUCCUCACCGCCUCCAAGGUUACGAGACUAUGAAUGCCCUACUCUUAAGCUUACCCAACCAGAUCCUCCAUUGUCUUCGUCGUUUGGUUCUAAUAUAGGUACACGUUAUCCACUUGCUAAUUAUCUCACUUAUCAUCGCUUCUCACCUGCACAACAAUCUUUUCUUACAACUAUCACUCAACAGGUUGAACCCCAGACUUAUACUGAGGCUGGUGCUUCUCCCCAUUAGUAAGCUGCCAUGGCUUAUAAAUUACAGGCUUUGGAAGCUAAUCAUACGUGGAUUCUUACCCCCUUUCCUGUUGGCAAAUCUCCCAUUGGUUGUCGUUGGGUCUACAAAAUCAAGCUCCGUUCACAUGGCUCCAUUAAGCGUUAUAAAGCUCAUUUGGUUGCCAAGGGUUACACACAGCUUGAAGGUAUUGACUUUCAUGAUACUUUCUCUCCCACUGCUAAAAUGAUUAUUGUUCGCUGCCUCUUAGCUCUUGCUGCUUCUUGUCACUGGUCUCUCCAUCAACUUGACAUCAACAACGCAUUUCUUCAUGGUGACCUUCAUGAAGAAAUAUAUAUGCUUCCUCCUUUAAGUCUCCGGCGACAGGGGGAGAAUUUAGUAUGUCGCCUUAACAAAUCUUUAUAUGGACUGAAGGAAACAUCUCAUCAAUAGUUUGCCAAGUUUUCCAAAGCUAUUCAAUGUGCUAGUUAUGUCCAAUCAAAGGCAAAUUAUUCUUUGUUCACAAGGCAACGAGGCAAGUAUUUUACAGCACUCUUAAUUUAUGUUGAUGAUAUUUUGAUCACUGGGAAUGAUCAUAAUGCCAUUAGCAUUCUCAAAACAUUCCUUAAUAGUCGUUUCAAAAUCAAGGACCUUGGUGACUUGAAAUACUUUCUAGGCAUCGAAGUGUCACGAUCAAAGAAUGAAAUUUUCAUUUCUCAACGUAAGUAUGCUUUAGAGAUUCUGAGGGAUGGUGGUAUCUUGGGAGCUCGUCCAAUUGAGUUUCCCAUGGAGCAUAAUCUUAAACUUUCAAACAAUGGUGAGUUACUUAAAGAUCCGGCACAGUAUAGAAGGUUGGUGGAUCGAUUGAUCUAUUUAACGAUUACUAGGCCGGACAUAACAUAUUCAGUGCAUGUGUUAAGUAGAUUUAUGCAUGAACCUCGCCGUCCACACAUGGAAGUAGCUCUCUGAGUUUUGAAAUACAUAAAGAGUACUCAUGGACAAGGUUUAUUUUUCUCUUCUAAAAAUAACUUGACCUUGAGUGCAUAUUGUGAUUCAGAUUGGGCAGGAUGCCCUACGACACGAAGAUCAACCACAAGGUAUUGUGUUUUUUUGGGUUCUUCAUUGAUUUCUUGGAGAUCAAGACACAAAAAACCGUGUCUUUGUCAUCAGCUGAGGCCGAAUAUAGAGCCAUGACUGGAACUUGUUGUGAACUAUUGUGGCUCUGAUAUCUUCUAAAGGACUUGGGUUUGUUGCAUCCAAAACCGGCCUUAUUACAUUGUGACAACAAAGCAUCUCUUUAUAUUGCUGCCAAUCCAGUUUUCCAUGAGCGGACUAGACAUAUAGAGAUGGAUUGCCACUUUAUUCGAGAUAAAAUACAAGAUGGUUUAGUUGUCACACGAUUUGUUCCCUCUUCACACCAACUUGCAGAUGUAUUCACGAAAGCAUUGGGGAAGGAAUCUUUCUCGUCCAUUAUACAUAAGUUGGGAGUUCUAGACAUCCACUCUCCAACUUGAGGGGGAGUGUAGAGAAGUCAACGAUAUCAUUCCCGAUAUCUUGGCUUAGUUUAGGAAACAAUUUUGUAAUUGAUUUGUAUAAGUUUAUUUUCCUAUUGUAUACCUAGAAAGUAAGGUAGUUUACUUCUUAGUCAAAUAUUCUUCUCUUUGUAUCAAUAGAAGAAAACACACAUCCGCAAAAUAUAUUCUUGCUCUAUUUUACAUAAUUUGGCUUGUAGUUCAUACAUUUCAUUUCGAGAAUUGUAUUUUGUUUCAACAAUGGAAUGAUCAAAACCAGUUUUACUUCUUUUUGCAUUCUUUAUUUACAUUUUACGCAAUCUGUAAUUUUAAGGCCUCGAUCUUCAAGGCAUAAGAAGAACGUAAUUGAGCCAACGUCUCAUUGAGUGCUUUAUCGUUUGGUUCACACAUUGAACCUAGGUCAACACUACUACAAUAUUAGCUUUAGGUGGCGGAUAUUAGAAAAAUCAUGUCGGAUAAAUUAUAUCUGACACAUCAUUUAAUUAGUGGCGGAUAUUAGAAAAAUAUUGUCGGUUAUAUCCGACAUAAAGUCCUGACGGAUAUAAAAAAAUACUAUCGGUUAUAACCGACAGUAUUUUUGAAUCUUUUUUUUUAAAUAUUUUUGACAGAUUCUGGCAGUUUUUUAAGUUAAUGGUGGCGGUUAUAACUGACAAAAAUUGACUAUUUUAUUAUUUUACUUUCUGGUGGUUAUUAUUUUGUAUUCUGGCGGUUAUAACCGACAUAAAUGAAAAUUUUAUUAUUUUAAAAUGUUAUAUUGAUUAAAAAUAAAUAAAUAAACACAUAUUUUUUUUUUAAAAAAAAAAUCACUCAUGACAAAGUCUAAUGAACUCAUAUCCCACGAGCCAUAAAUUUUCUGAGGGAAUAAUAACAACAUAUUACAAUAUGAAGCUCUAUCAAUUUUGUAAUAAGGAUUAUGCUCCCGCACAGGCAAGCAACAAAAUACAAAGAAAUUCAAACAAUUUUUUUCAAUGCGUCACAAAACACAUUGUCUGGCACAUAAACACACAUGAAGAUCUGGUGUAUUCUAUCAUAUAUGAUUUUAUUAUUUUAAAAUGUUGUAUUGAUUAAAAAUAAAUAAAUAAACACAUGUUUUAAAUGUUUUUUUUUUCACUCAUGACCCUGUCAGAUAUAACCAUAAAAAACUUUUGUUCUGUUACCUAAUCUCUAAAUGUUUGUUUUUUGUGAUUAUUUACGUAUGCAAUCUCGGAGUAUAUACAAACAAGUUUGACGGUUGGAUCAUUGAAAAACAUUUCAUAGAAUGAGUAUCGCAUCAAAACGGUAGAUUAAACAAACACUUAAAGUUAAUGUUAUACUUCCCCAUCAAGUAUAAAAUAGAUUUUGUGGUAUCCAAUAGUGUAAAUAUUUUAAAUUGAAGAUCGAAUUAUUUCAAUGCAUUCUUAUAGGGUCGAGGAGUGUAGCUAUAAAAAUCAUCAAAAUCGGAGCUAAAAUAACCUUUAAAUUGUGAUUUUUUGUUUAUAACCAUUGAAAUUUUUUGUUUGGUUACCUAAUAUCUGAAUGUUUGUUUUUUGUGAUUUUUUACGUAUGCGAUCUCAGAGUGUAUACAAACAAGUCUGACGGUUGGAUCAUUGAAAAACGUUUCGUAGAAUGCGUAUCACAUCAAAACAGUAGAUUAAACACACACUUGGAGUUAAUGUUAUACUUCCCCAUCAAGUAUAAAAUAAGAAUUUGUGGUAUCCACCAGUGUAAAUAUUUUAAAUUGCAGAUCAAAUUUAUUCAUUAAAUUCUUAUAGGGUCGAGGAGUGUAGCUGUAAAAAAUCAUUCAAAUCGGAGGUAAAAUAACCGUUAAAUUAUGAUUUUUUGUUUAUAACCGUCGAAAACUUUUGUUUCCGUUACAUAAUCUAUGAAUGUUUUUUUUUUAUGAUUUUUUACGUAUGCAAUCUCGGAGUGUUUACAAAUAAAUUUGAUGGUUUGAUCGUUGAAAAAAGUUUCGUAGAAUGCAUAUUGCGUCAAAACGGUAGAUUAAACAAACACUUAUAAUUAAUAUUAUACUUCUAUUAAGUAUAAAAUAAGAUUUUGUGGUAUCCACGAGUGUAAAUAUUUUAAAUUGAAGAUCGAAUUCUUUCAAUGUAUUCUUAUAGGGUCGAGGAGUGUAGUUGUAAAAAAUGAUCAAAAUCGAAGCUAAAAUAACCGUUAAAUUGUGAUUUUUCGUUUAUAACCGUCGAAAACUUUUGUUCCGUUACCUAAUCUCUGAAUGUGUUUUUUUUUUACGAUUUUUUAUGUAUGCAAUCUUGUAGUAUCUACAAACACGUUUGACGGUUAGAUCAUUGAAACUAGUUUCGUAGAAUGCAUAUCUCCGUUAAAUUUGCCUAAAUUUUGAAGUGGAAAAUGUAAUUUGUGCUAAUUUUUUAUUUAUGUUUUUCAAGUAUUGAUUAGACCAUAAUUAGUUUGUGUGAUGACAUUUUCAUUGUACAGUUAUCUUUUUGUUUCUUUAUUGCAUAUUUUACAUGGGUUAUUAUCUAUUAAACCAAACAAUUAUUUAUUUAAUUUUAAAAAACGUAUUCUAUUUAAAUACAUAGUAUUUAUUUAUUUAUUAAGCCAAACAAUUAUUAUUUUAUUUUUUUAAAUCGUAACAAAAUUUGGGGGGGGGGGAAUUUAAAAUUUUGGGAGGGAAUUUGGGGGGAUUUUUACCGCCAUUUUUUUUAUGUCGAUUUUUAUUUUUAAAAAAUGUUUAUGUCGGUUUUAACCGAUAGUAAUGAAAAUUUUCCACAUUAAAACCCCUCCAUCUCUUCCUUGCACUGGCUUUCUCUCUUCCCCCUUCCUUCCCCCUUUUCUCCUCUCCGCAUUUCCUUCUUCUUUUUAUAUUUUUUGUUGAGCAUUCUCCCUUCUCCUUUUAAUUUACGAAUAAGAGAAAAACCAGAGCAAUGUUGGAAGACGAAGAGGGAAAAAACCCAAAUCUUAUCUCAUCAAUCAGGUACAUGCAAUUUUUUUUUUCUUCAGAAUUUUGGUUUUGGGUAUUUGAAGAAAUGGGAAAGAUGGGAUUUUUGGAAUGUGUGGUGACGGAGAGCAGCUGAAACGUGGCCAACGGCAAGAUAUGGAGGUCGUUUUGGAGAAGAAAGACGAUGUUGAUUGGGCUUACAAAGGCGAAGGGGCUGCUAAUGUUGUUCUCGCUUACACCUGAUCCUUCCUCUCUUUUGUAUGUUUCACUCUACCCUGAGCUUCAAUCUUGCAUUUUAAUUUGGCCUAAUCGGAUAAAUGCUCCCCGUGGUCAUAAGGUAUUCGGAUGAUAGCCCCUGUGGUAAAAAAAUUCGGAUUUAAACCCCUGUGGUCUAAGUCUGUUAGGAUUUAUGCCCAUCUGUUAAAUAAUGGUCACGUGGCUGCCACGUGGCUGCCAAAUGUCUGCCACGUGGCAAAAUAAUAAUUUUUUAUUUUUUUUUUAAAAAAAACCUGAAUUUUUACAAAAAAAAAAAAAAAAAAAAAAAAAAAAACCCAGAACCUCCCCCCCGCCCUCUGCCCAUUCCCCCCUGCCGUCCUUCUCCUUCUUCCUUCUUCUUCUUCCCGCCGGUCUCCCCGCGCGACUCCUCCCUCUCCCUCUUCCUUCUUCUUCUUCUUCUUCUUCUUCUUCUUCUUCUUCCCGCCGGUCUCCCCGCGCGACUCCUCCCUCUUCCUCUUCCUUCUUCUUCUUCUUCUUCCCGCCGGAGCCCUCUCCCCGCGCCCUCCUCCCUCUCCCUCUUCCUUCUUCUUCUUCUUGCAGAUCUGCGUUUUUUUUUUUUUUUUUUGUAAAAAUUCAGGUUUUUUAAAAAAAAUUAAAAAUUAAUAUUUUUGCCACGUGGCAGACAUUUGGCAAACACGUGGCAUAUAUGUGUCAGCCACGUCAGCAUUAUUUAACAGAUGGGCAUUAAUCCUAACAGACUUAGACCACAGGGGUUUAAAUCCUAACAGACUUAGACCACAGGGGUUUAAAUCCGAAUUUUUUUACCACAGGGACUAUCAUCCGAAUACCUUAUGACCACGGGGACCAUUUAUCCAAUUAGGCCUUUUAAUUUUUAAUUUUAAGGAAAAAGUUGAAAAUUUGUAGUAGUUUGUGAAGGGAGUUGGAAUUGGGUAUUGAUUGUUCUUAUUGUCAUGCUUAGGAAAUUUUGUGUCGUUUCCGUUGAUUGUGUAAAUGUUUGAUGUUUGAAUGCUGUGUGUGAUUUGGGAUCUCCAGGCUUUUCUUCAUUCUUCUAUUUAUGGAAGAUGUGGGUUUUCUCUUCUGUGUUUCUGUUUUCUCUUCCAUUCAAGCUCUUCCUAACCUUAUGGCAUGCGUUCUUCUGAGUAAUCUUGGAGAAUCCAUUACAAAAGUAGCACAGGAUGCUCUUGUUGCAGAGUAUGGCCAAGAGAAAAAUAUGACUGGCUUCUAGUCUUAAGCAUUCAUGGCAGCAGCUACUGGUGGAAUCCUUGGCAACUUAAUAGGUGGAUAUUUCUUGAUGAAAACGCUGCCCAGAACCAUGUUUCUUUUAUUUGCAAUUUUAAUCUCUGCUCAACUUGUUUGGAUCAAAACUUGAACUUUGGGCUCAAGAAAAGAGCUGGCCCAAAAGGAGGCCCGAAGGGAAAGACAACCGAAGCCCAGUCAAAGCCCAGAAAGCAGAAAAGGCCUUUUCUGACUUGGUGCAGCUCAUAAAGACCACUUGCUUACCUACCCAAAGGCCAAGUGGUAUAGACUGACCAGCUACACAGCCCAUAAAGUACUUUAUGAUGGCAGUACAUGUAAAAUAGCUGAUGAGUCAUCACCCUUCAAACCGCAUUCGGGCAAGGUUGCUGCUACAGGAGACCAAGCCGAGUUGUCUAUAUAAGAAGAAAGAGAAACCAGGAAUAAGGACACUCAAUCAAACAAACAAAUGCAAGCACAAACUCUGCUCAAAGCCAGAUUUGCCUUCAAAACGAAGCUGUAGUCAGCCCAAGCAUUCAUCCCUCUCGGGACAAGCCUUCAUCCCUCGCGGGAUAAACCUUCGCUCAAACCCUUGUAAUAGCUCUGCUACCUUGUUCAACCUUGCUGUAUUAUCGAUUCAUCUUUUGUAAAUCUCUCCCUCUCCCUGAAGCUUUCAUACCCUUGAUAAACCACAAAGAUAGGAACCUGCAAGACAACCAGACUUGUCCGACAAGGUUAAACCUUGCCCGACCUUCUUUGUUUUUGUCUUUUCAUUCAUUAGCCUAGCAAUAUGUUGUAUACUUCCAAUUAUAUUCAAGUUAUUUCUAGCAAGAUGACUAUUAAAAGGCUUUCUCAGUACUGGGAUCCGAUUUGAAUAUAUCUUCAGUGUUCAAACCAGAUCCAAGUUCUAAGCCCUCGGGCAUGUAAAUCUGAUUAGUUAAAAGUCCUUAGCCUUAAGGCAUAAAAAAGAACCUUAUGUGGACUUAACCCAUCCACGAUAAUCCUUGAUAAACGAGAAGUCCGAAGUUACUUGGGGCGCAAGUAAUCGACCUACCUCUUAGUCUUAUUUCAAUUACAUUAUGAUUAUCAUAGAACGCUUAAGCAUGGGAAGGAUUCUAAUAGGAAGCCUCAAGGCCUACACCUAAGGCCCCACAAAGGCACCUAUUUGGAUUCAUUCCGUUCUGCGGUCUAGAACGUUUAAGUGUAAGAACGAACUCUAAUAGGAAGCCUCAAGGCCUACACCUAAGGCCCUACAAAGGCACCUAUUUGGGUUCAUUCUACCUCUCGAACUCGGGUAAUCAGAAGUAUAAUAGUUAUAAGACUCAUGCAUGCACAAGAACAAAUAUGAUGUGUUUGAGCACAGGUUUAGUUAUUGAUAGGAAGCCUCAAGGCCUACACCUAAGGCCUCACAAAGGCACCUGUUAUAACUAACACGGUUUCUCGGGUAUAUACAUAUACAACCAAAACACGACAUCCAUUUCACAUCUGCCAUACUAAAGAUGGCAGUGGCACGCCUGAGCACUUAAAAGUUAACCUUGAUUGUGAGCCUCAAGGCCUACACCUAAGGCCCCACAAAGGCACCUCUCAAAGUUAACUUUGUCCUUCUCUUUCAGCCUUACCCGACGAGCCUUGCCCGAAGAGUCUUGCCCGACAAGACUUGCCCGACAAAGCCCUACAGUGAAGCAGAAACCCGACAGCAGCCCUCAACCGGCGCCAACCUCCCGGGGAGCUGUGUGCUCGUCGGCCAGGAAACAUCCCCGACGGAAAUUCCUGACGCGAACAUAGUUUUGGCACGCCCAGUGGGACCAUCAUUUGAUCAGAAGAUAUAUGUCAAAAUGCCAGAAGAUUUGCAAACCAUGUUACUACAAAUGUUGCAAAGAUUGGAGAAAGCUUCCACAGGCUCCAGAAAAGAAACAGACCUGGUUCCUCCCGAGGGAAAGAGACUUAAAACCAGCCCGCUAGAAGAGUUGGUGGUAAACAAACCUGUAGUUCCAUUUUCAGAAGCCCCUGUAAAUAUGAUUAAUAUGGCAUGGGUUGAGAAGGGAAAAGAAAAAAUCACAAGGGAACCAGAGGAAGAAAGAUUGGCUCAAAAACCUAUUUGAGGGGUGAUUAAAUCGCCCGAAUAUCCAAAAGCAGCCAUAAUCAAGGGGAUGGUUAUGUGUAGUAAGUGCCAAUGCGAGUGUGAGCUCGAAAUUCCCCCAGCUGGAAUCCUCAUUGAUCAUGAACUGAUCAGGAGGAAGGAAGAAGGUGAAAUGAGGAGAGCCCACGAAAAGAUCAAGCAGGCUACGAAAAAAGACACUUCCCGAAGCGUUUUUCAACGAUUAGGAGGUGAUUCCCAACCCAAAGCUUUGUCAGAAGUAUUUCGAAACCAUGAGGCUUCUGAAGAGGCAGAAGAUAUGGAGGCCAAAAUACGGAGGGGUACAUAUCAUCCUCAAUAUGGCCAGAUGGGAAGGGAAAUCAAGAGGAUGGAUGGGAUAACAAAUCCUGUCAGAAAAGAAAAACCUGCCCACCUCAGGCGAAAAUGGUACGUAGUCGGAAAGAACGAACAGCCUACCAAACAAAUGGGAGCCUCCAUGGUCAGAAGGGUUUAAAGGCAGCACAAAGCUUACAUGAAUUCCCUGAAGACCCCCGCAACAUCCGAAGCCUCCAAAAAUAAAAAAUUGGAGAAAACAUCAUCUGGGGGAAAUAGUCAGCUCUGCUGGAGAAGUAAGAGAGAGGUGGAAAAGGCCAAUAGCAAGACGGAAGGCGAGGAGAAUCACGUGCCGCAGAGCCAGCACCCUGGGAAGUAUCGGAUCUUGAGGAGAGCUCAAGAAGAUCUGGUUAUGGUACCAAACCCCGGGUGGAAGCCAGAGCCUAUUUGCGUUGGAGCUGUUUCAUCUAAAAGGAUACCACCUUCCCUGCCCUUGGUGGAUCCUUUUGGUGAAGUUCCAAAGCAAACGCUGUAUGCGGGCAUGAAUCAACAGAAGAGGGCACCAAAACCACUACUUCCAGCUGAUGCAAUGGCCUGGUUGGACGAAUUCAUGGACCAGAUUGGGGGCAAUAAAGAAGAUAUGCCCGAGCCUAGUAAUUUUCAUAUCAACAUGGCAUAUGUAUUAUCCGCCAUGUUUGGUGCCAGACCUGAUCAGCCCGCUACUAUGGAGAAUGAUUACUUGACAACUGAGCCAAUGAUGGCACAUGUCAAUGUGGAGGUAGUCGAAGGAGGAGAGUCGGGCAAGGCUGAAUCCACUGAAGCGUUCAAAGAUAGUCCUUUCAGGAUUUACACAGACGAAAUGGUGUUUAGCCGCCCGAACAGCUCGUUGGCCAAUCAUCUGAAGCCCAUAUAUGUUGCUGCUCAUUUGGAAUGUGUGCCCUUCAAAAGAAUUCUAAUUGAUUGGGGAGCAGCUGUUAAUGUGCUACCAGCCAAGCAAAUGAGGAAAAUAGGAAGAGGCACGGAGGAUCUUAUUCCCACAAACCUCACGGUCUCUAACUUCUCAGGCGCUAUCACCAAAACUCAUGGGAUAUUGCCUUUAGAAGUAGAUUUGGGAUCUAAACAGAUCAUGUUGGCAUUCUUUGUGGUGGACUGCACUUCCACUUAUGGGGCCUUACUCGGAAGAGAUUGGAUCCACCAAAGCCUGGCCAUACCCUCCACUCUUCAUCAACAAGUGGCUGUUUACCAUGAAGCGGGCACAGAAGGACCAGGCUUUUGGGAGAUGGUAGAGGCCGAAUCACGGCCAUUUCUCCCCACAGCCAAUGUUGCGGAAGCAAGUUUUUACAACCCCAACGUAGGAAUCUUGAAGUGUUCAGGAGCUGACGAGAACGGCCGCCCUACCAAGGUGACGGCCCAAAAGCUUUUGGAACAAGGAAUGCUCCUUACUAAAGAGGAGUGGGACAUACCUUGUAUCCUCCCAAAUCCCCUACACCAUCAAUGACUGAACAAAAGAAGAAAGAUCAGGUAACAGUAGUCAAAUCCCUGAUUAAAAGACUGUUGGUAUAUGGGAAGAGAAGAAACCAAGAAAGGGAGCUAUUGGACAAAGAAGAGCAGGAAUGGCAGGUGGGAACUUCAACCAGCCAGCAUGAAAGCAAGGAGGAAUCUUGCAAAGAAGAAUUGGAAAGGGCCAUUCAAAUGACCGAGUGCAUUUAUGACCUAGAUGGGCCAAAUGACUUGCCCGAGAGCCCGGAGUUAGUCGAAUUUUUGUGUGCAAAACCUGAUAAGCCACCACCAGAAGUCCAGGAUCCUCUGGAAAUUAUUGAUCUAGGAAUAGAGGAGGAUCCAAGACCAAUACAAAUUAGUGGUUUAUUGGGGGUUGAUGAUCGGGCGAAGAUUAUCUGCCUUUUGCAAGAGUUCAAAGAUUGCUUUGCUUGGCAUUAUACUGAGAUGCCAGGUUUAGAUUCAGCCUUGGUGGAACAUAGAAUGCCCAUCAAGGAGGGAUACAAACCUGUUAAGCAAGCACCACGAAGGAUGUCAAAGGAGAUAGAAGAAAAGGUCAAAGAAGAGAUUGAAAGGCUAGUAAAAGCUGGCUUUAUCAGACCAGCCAAAUAUGUAGAGUGGUUAGCCAACAUUGUACCCGUUUUAAAAGCUGUAACAAAAGCAGUACGAUGUUGUGUGGAUUACAGAAAUAUAAAUGGCGCUACACCAAAAGAUGAAUAUCCCAUUCCCAUGGCCGAUUUAUCCAUAGAUGCAGUAGCAAAACAUAAAGUCCUAUCUUUUAUGGAUGGGAAUGCCGGGUAUAAUCAAAUAAAGAUGGCUCCAGAAGAUAUACACAAAACAACUUUUAGGUGUCCCGGUCAUGUGGGGGCAUAUGAAUAUCUGGUCAUGCCAUUCGGGCUCAAGAACACUGGUGCAACUUACCAGAGGGCGAUGAAUGCCAUCUUUCACGAUCUGAUUGGCCAGAGCAUGGAGGUAUACAUUGAUGACAUAGUGGUGAAGUCCAAGACAGAAGAACAGCAUCUGGAAGAUCUUAGAAAAACAUUAGCAAGGAUGAGGAUCCACAAAUUGAAGAUGAAUCCAAAGAAGUGUGCGUUUGGAGUAAGAGCGGGCAACUUCUUGGGAUUCCUGGUGCAUCAAAGAGGUGUAGAAGUGGACAAGAACAAAUCUCGGGCAAUAAUUGAGUCACCUUCACCCACCAACAAGGUGCAACUCCAGAGUCUACUUGGCAAAAUUAACUUCUUGAGGAGAUUCAUUGCUAAUUUAGCAGGCAAGAUCCAGCCGCUGACUCCUUUACUAAGAUUGAAGGAUAAAGACAACUUCGAAUGGGGACCACCGCACCAACAGGCCUUUGACACCAUCAAGGCCUAUUUAACUUCUCCACCAGUGUUGGUGCCACCUCAAAGGGGAAAACCCUUGAAGCUGUAUAUUUCUGCCUCAGAAAAGUCAAUCGGGAGUUUGCUAGCCUAAAAUAAUGAAGGCGGGAAGGAGCAGGCAGUGUACUACCUCAGUAGAAUUCUGACCGAGGUAGAGACAAGAUAUUCCUCGGUAGAGAGAUUAUGCUUGGCUUUAUAUUUCACUGCCAGUAAAUUAAGGCAUUACAUGUUACCUUGUCACGUGCACAUCAUCGCCAAGACAGAUGUGAUAAAGUACAUGUUGUCAAAGCCAAUGCUCACAGGAAGGAUUGGGAAAUGGAUUCUAGCAUUAUCAGAAUUCAGUUUUCAGUACGUACCCCAAAGGGCAGUCAAAGGCCAAGCAAUUGCUGACUUCCUGGCCGAGCACCAAGAAUCUCAAAGUGAGGUAAUCAAUAUCCCAGGAAGCCUGGAGGUUACUAGCAUUUGGAUCCCGCCAAGAAAAGAUAUUUCGGGCAAAGAAGACUGGGUCCAACAAGAGAUAAGAAGAGUAGCUGGUCUCUGGAUUACUCCUUGGAAAUUGUAUUUCGAUGGAUCUCACACUCAGAAGGCUUCAGGAGCGGGGAUUGUAAUUGUAAACCCUCAGGGAGUUUAUCAUUAUUAUUCAUUUCUCCUAGACUACCAGGGAAAUACUAAUAAUCGGGCAGAGUAUGAGGCCUUAAUAAUUGGUGUGGAAAUCUUGAUGGAUCUGGGGGCAGUAGAGGUAGAGGUCUUUGGAGAUUCAGAGUUGGUAAUAAACCAGUUAAAUGGGGAGUUCAAGUGCAGACAUAUUACCAUGGCGGGGUAUUACUUGGCAGCUACGCAAUUAUUGAGUUUAUAGGAUUCUGAGAUAUCGGUCAAUCAUGUUCCCAGGGGAUCCAACUUAGCGGCCAACGAGAUGGCACAACUAGCCUCAGGAGUGCCAAUACAGGAGAGAAAAUAUGGGGUAGAUGUCGAGGUCCAAAUGAGAAACCUUCCUUCCAUCUUAGAAAGGGGAUUCAGUCUGAAUGUAAUGAGGCUAGAAGCCGAGAUAGAAGAUUGGAGGUCACCUAUCAUUCAUCAUUUGAAGGAUCCCUCUUCGCCUACAAGCAAUAAGGAUAGACAGCAAGCAACUAAGUAUGUCUUAUGGGCGAAGAACUUGCUAAGAAAAACUCCAGAUGGGUUACUGUUGAAAUGCUUGGGCCAAGAAGAAUCCAUGAGGGUAAUGGUCUAAGUACAUGAAGGAGUAUGUGGAGCACAUCAGGCUGGAACGAAGAUGAAAUGGUUGCUUAGGAGGUAUGGUUAUUUCUGGCCCGACAUGGAAAAAGAUUGUAAGUCUUAUGCCCAAGGUUGUGAAGAAUGUCAAAGGCACGGACCUCUCCGGCAUGUGCCCUCGGUACCUUUAAAUCCAGUGGUCAAGCCUUGGCCCUUCAGAGGAUGGGCGAUGGACUUCAUCGGGCAAAUCUAUCCAGCUUCUAGUAAAGGCCAUACCUUCAUAAUUGUAGCAACGGAUUAUUUCACUAAGUGGGUGGAAACAUCAGCAGUAAAAUCCAUAACUUCAGCCACAGUCAAGAAUUUUAUCGACACCAAGAUUCUGCACAGAUAUGGGGUGCCCGAAACUAUAGUAACGGAUUGUGGACCAUCUUUUAUUUCAAAAGAAGUUGAGGAGUUUGCAAGUAAGUACAAAAUAAAGAUGAUUCAAUCCAGUCCGUACUACCCUCAAUCAAAUGGCCAGGCAGAAGCCAGCAACAAGAUCCUGGUCAACAUUAUCAAGAGAAUGGUGAUUGAUAGUCCAGAAAAGUGGCAUGAAAAUCUGGGGAACACUUUGUGGGCAUACAGAACUUCUAAGAGGGCAGGAACAGGGACAACUCCUUAUGCUUUAACUUUCGGGCAAGAUGCAGUGCUCCCAGUGGAAAUCAAUGUAAGUUCUUUAAGAAUUCAAAAUCAAUUUGGGUUGCAUAGUGAAGAGUACAUCGAAGCCAUGUGUCAAGGAAUUGAAGACUUGGAUGUAGCCUGAAUUGAAGCUUUGAACCAAAUUCAAGAAGGAAAGCGAGCCGUUGCCCGAGCUUAUAACAAAAAGGUGAAAAUGAAGUCUUUCAAGGUAGGGGAUUUAGUAUGGAAGACAGUCCUCCCUCUAGGAGCUCAGCUCAGGGACUUUGGAAAAUGGAGCCCGACAUGGGAAGGUCCUUUCAUUAUUAGUCGCGUUUUGGAUAGAGGGGGAUACUACUUGGCGGACCUUGAGGGAAACAGGCAUAAACAUCCCAUUAAUGUUAAAUUCUUAAAGAAAUAUUGUCCUACGUUGUGGGAUGUCAGAGAUUGUUAUAUUGAAGAGGAUGCAAGGUAAAGCAAGCUUCGGGAUAUCAACGUGCAGUGUAUAUUUAUCAAUCAUUCAAGAAGAUGGAAAGACAAGAGUUGCUGAGAUAAUGUAUAUUUCAUUUCGACAAAUUGAUGAAAUUUACAAAAGAUUCAAAGCCGACGUAUUACAAUCAAUUCUCCUUCUGGAUGCAAUGGUAUCUUCAGCUGAUUUUCCGAUGUCCUCAUGGAUGGAACCCGAUCAGGUGAUCGGGUUGUGCGGCCAACAUGAGCCUGGUAGAGGAUCCUCAGACAGGACCAUCACCAUAAGUGAUAGUGAAGCCCGACUUAUCACCGCAACAAGCACGAAGACAAACCUUCGAGAGGAAACCGCCUGACCAGGGGUGUUGGAGAUAGCGGGGUGUUUGACUAAGGGUGUUGGAGAUAGCAGUCUUUUGAUGAAAGCCCUUUUUUUCUCACGAAAAGGGAGUUUUAGGAAACCCCACUCAAAGCCGGAGGAACCCAUUUCUCAAUUUCUGAACGCUCGAGGAAGAUGGAAGAGAAGACUGAAGAGGAUUUGAUGGCUUGACAGAAGAAAUUCCGAACCAGAAUUUAUAGAGCCCCCAGAGGAUAGUUCAAAGGUCGUGAGGAGAGCAAGGGGCACAGGGUUGCCUUCAUCCUGCCUAGAAAACACGAAGUUCCAAAAGAUUGAUAUACACGCAUGCGGAUAUUCAAUCAAUGAUGGCGCCUGGGAUUCCAACCUUAACAUUAAUUGAAGGGGGCACUGUUUGGAUCAAAACUUGAACUUUGGGCUCAAGAAAAGAGCUGGCCCAAAAGGAGGCCCGAAGGGAAAGACAACCGAAGCCCAGUCAAAGCCCAGAAAGCAGAAAAGGCCUUUUCUGACUUGGUGCAGCUCAUAAAGACCACUUGCUUACCUACCCAAAGGCCAAGUGGUAUAGACUGACCAGCUACACAGCCCAUAAAGUACUUUAUGAUGGCAGUACAUGUAAAAUAGCUGAUGAGUCAUCACCAUUCAAACCGCAUUCGGGCAAGGUUACUGCUAUAGGAGACCAAGCCGAGUUGUCUAUAUAAGAAGAAAGAGAAACCAGGAAUAAGGACACUCAAUCAAACAAACAAAUGCAAGCACAAACUCUGCUCAAAGCCAGAUUUGCCUUCAAAACGAAGCUGUAGUCAGCCCAAGCAUUCAUCCCUCUCGGGAUAAACCUUCACUCAAACCCUUGUAAUAGCUCUGCUACCUUGUUCAACCUUGCUGUAGUAUCGAUUCAUCUUUUGUAAAUCUCUCCCUCUCCCUGAAGCUUUCAUACCCUUGAUAAACCACAAAGAUAGGAACCUGCAAGACGACCAGACUUGUCCGACAAGGUUAAACCUUGCCCGACCUUCUUUGUUUUUGUCUUUUCAUUCAUUAGCCUAGCAAUAUGUUGUUUACUUCCAGUUAUAUUCAAGUUAUUUCUAGCAAGAUGACUAUUAAAAGGCUUUCUCAGUACUGGGAUCCGAUUUGAAUAUAUCUUCAGUGUUCAAACCAGAUCCAAGUCCUAAGCCCUCGGGCAUGUAAAUCUGAUUAGUUAAAAGUCCUUAGCCUCAAGGCAUAAAAAAGAACCUUAUGUGGACUUAACCCAUCCACGACAAUCCUUGAUAAACGAGAAGUCCGAAGUUACUUGGGGCGCAAGUAAUCGACCUACCUCUUAGUCUUAUUUCAAUUACAUUAUGAUUAUCAUAGAACGCUUAAGCAUGUGAAGGAUUCUAAUAGGAAGCCUCAAGGCCUACACCUAAGGCCCCACAAAGGCACCUAUUUGGAUUCAUUCCGUUCUGCGGUCUAGAACGUUUGAGUAUAAGAACGAACUCUAAUAUGAAGCCUCAAGGCCUACACCUAAGGCCCUACAAAGGCACCUAUUUGGGUUCAUUCUACUUCUCGAACUCGGGUAAUCAGAAGUAUAAUAGUUAUAAGACUCAUGCAUGCACAAGAACAAAUAUGAUGUGUUUGAGCACUGGUUUAGUUAUUGAUAGGAAGCCUCAAGGCCUACACCUAAGGCCCCACAAAGGCACCUGUUAUAACUAACACGGUUUCUCGGGUAUAUACAUAUACAACCAAAACUCGACAUCCAUUUCACAUCUGCCAUACUAAAGAUGGCAGUGGCACGCCUGAAUACUUAAAAGUUAACCUUGAUUGUGAGCCUCAAGGCCUACACCUAAGGCCCCACAAAGGCACCUCUCAAAGUUAACUCUGUCCUUCUCUUUCAGCCUUGCCCGACGAGCCUUGCCCGAAGAGUCUUGCCCGACGAGACUUGCCCGACAAAGCCUGACAGGGAAGCAGAAGCCCGACAGCAGCCCUCAACCGGCGCCAACCUCCCGGGGAACUGUGUGCUCGUCGGCCAGGAAACAUCCCCGACGAAAAUUCCUGACGCGAACACAACUUGCAAUUUCGUUGAGAAUACGAGAGGAAUCUCUUGAUUUACCACAAUUACCAGAUGACAGUCUUAUAAGAAAACCAAUCUUUGAAAGUAUCAAGAAACAAUUUUAUGAGCUGCAGAUGGGAAAUCAAAAGGAAAGUAUAGCUCGUCCUCUUAUUUGGAUUGUAGCGUCUAUUGCCAUGGUCCCAGUCCUGUCAGGUUCCAUCUUCUGCUAUCAAACACAAUGUUCAGUUGAUGUAUGCAUUUUCCCUUCUUCUUGACCUUGUAUUAGUGAGACAGAUCAAUGUUAGACUAGGGAUUCCAAUGAGAUGUUUGUCCUUUGUUUUUCGAGGUUGGCAAAGAGUAUUGUGCAGUUUAAGAUCUUGCCUUUCACAGUACUAUUUGCGAAUAUAAGUCCUCGAGGAUGUGAAGGAUCACUGCCUUUCACAGAAUGCUCAACGAGAAGGAGAAGGGAGAAUGCUCUUAUGUCAUUUUUAUUAUUUUUAUUAAUAUAUUUUCUGUCGAUUUUAUCCGACAGAAAUUCACUUAGUUAUAUUAUUAAUAUAUUCCCUGUCGGUUUUAUAUAUUUUCUGUCGGUUAUAUCCGACACAAUUUCUGUCGGUUUUAUAUUUUCUAUCAGUUUUAUAUUUACUGUCUGUUAUAUCCGACACAUUUUUUGUCGGUUUUAGAGUAUUUUAUGUCGAAAAAUUCAUUUCCUGACGCUGGCAAAUCUGUCGCUAUAAUAUCUGCCACUGCAUCAUUUCUGUCGGAUUUUGCUUAAUAUCCGACAAUAAUACAUAUUUCUUGUCAGUUAUCAUAGCGCCACUAAUAAAUGGUUUUGUAGCAGUGCAAUCUCAUAAAAACAUUCGGUUAAAAGCCUUUGAUAGUGGCAUGCUUGUUCUCACCAUUUCUCUCAAGGCUCUCCUUGGCAUUGAGACCAGGUUCGAUCAACUAGGAACGAACCUUACUCAAAGCUCAUCUUCGUUUUUUUUAAAAGAGAUUCAUAAUAUCUCAAUGAUCAUCGUCUCAAUCUUUUAACGAUUAGUGAUGGAUUUCAAGCUAUCUCCGGCGACUAGCGAUGGAUUUCAGUUAUCGAGGGACGAGUUUGAACUCGUCAGAUUUGAGGGUACCCAGAGUAUUGUUUCAUACUAAUUUCUCGAAAAUCCGUUGAAAAUCAUGAUGUUGUGGUAGUUAAACAAUGAAUAAUAUUUCAAAGAGUUUAAAAAACUGAAUUUAGAAAAAAAGGGUCAGAGACGAAGAAUAGAGAAAACACACUCACAGAGAUUGAGAGAGGAGAUAGAUGAUGACGUACGUAGCCACAGCUUCAAGGCCGAUGUGCUCUUCACAAACCCAAGUGCCCAUUUCACCUAUUGUGAAGGGCACUGCCCUCAAUAGCAAUGGUAUUAUCAAUUGCCGUCGGAGAAACAAUGGCGUUUGUUUGAUUAAGGCCAUGAAAAGCUCGUCUCCCCCACGACUAACCUUGUCGAGCAACUGGGAUUUUCCCUCAGCUACUACUUUAGCUCCAAGGUUGCCUAGAUUCGAAGAGCUCGAUACCACCAAUAUGUUUCUCCGUCAAAGAAUCAUCUUUCUGGGUUCUCAGGUUCUCUUUCUCUCAUAAUUUGGGUUUUCUUGCUUCAGCAUUGAAUAUUUUUGACAUGGGUUUUGCUGCUACUUGUGAAAUUUGGACUCGUUACUGUUUGUUGAAAGUUUAGUUCAAAAUUUGAUGGGAUUACUGUGUGUGUUUGUGUUUCUUAUUUACAAAAGGACUAAACUUGUGAAUAGGAAGGGUUGCUUUAUCUAAUUUUCUCUUCAUAUUUCUACCGGUGGGCAGGUCGUUGACAUGACGGUGGAUUUGAUCAUUAGCCAACUUUUAUUUCUAGAUGCUGAGGACCCUAAAAAGGACAUUAAACUGUUUAUGGCUAAAUAGCUAAAAUGGUCACUGAGAUUUGCAUACUUCUCGAUGAGAUGAAGGAUGUCUUGGUCUCAAGUUAGCCGCUUUCGAGCCGUUUUUUGGCCAAACCAUGGUGAUUUAGCCGUCUACAAAGGUACCAUUCUCUUCGUCUCAUCGAGAAAUAUGAUUUUCAUUUUUGAAUCACUUGAUUUCGUUGAGUAUUGAAGAAGUUAUGAAUGUUUAAAGUUUACCCAGUUUCCGGCUAGUUUUCCAGUUUUCCCUCGAACCAGUCAACUUUGAGGCUAUUUUCUGGCUAUCUCCGGCAGCCAUUGGGCUUCCAAAUAGGUAUAAUCUUAUUCUACACUUUCCUAUCUUCAUUUUGAUAUAUUAUGGGUCGAAUUUGGUUAAGAAACGAUUAAGUUAUGAAGCUUUGAAAAUUGCCCAAACUUCCGACCAAGAGCUCCGGGACACUUAACGGAAUUUUUAACGGAAUGACCAAAAUGAUGGAUGGUGGAUAAUAUCAGGGACCACUUUUAUUGAUUUGAAAUGUUAGGGACCAAAGUGAUGAGUUAUGCAAAUUUCAGGGACCAUUUUGGCUAUUUAGCCAUUGUUUAUCAAUUCACCCUGUGGUUCUGUUACUGCUGAUAUGAUUUAAAUAUACUUGGCAUGUUGGAUCUUGCAUCUCUCCUCAAUUAUUGCCUUCUGGUUCUUAUUUAUCCUUGAUAUUUGAGAUAACAAAACAUACAAAUGAAGACAUUUAGUAAGGCCCACAAACGGGUUGGGCAAAAAAAAUGUCCAUAAAAAAAAAAAAAAGUGUGCUUGCUCAUCGUGCUAGCUGGCUGGUUGGAAAUGGCUAGCCCGCUGACCUGAUUGGCUAGUUUUGACACGAUGAGGCCCACAAACCCUUUAGCCUAGCCUUCGGUUUGAAACGGUUUCGUGUCAUUUCAUGUUAUUUUCAACCCUAUGGUCCUCUGGCCGGAUCAGUUGAAGAUGGCCUAAUCUGACAACACCCACAAAACAGUCUGUUGGGAGCCUCCUGAUAGGAUUUUUACCGUCUAUGAAAAGAAGGUUAAAAUCACACAAAAUACUUGCAAGAAUACAAGGUUAUUGUAGUACAAAUGCUCAUGCAAGGUCGUUCUCCUCAAUAACUAUUUUAAUAAUUUAUGUAAAAACAAUUCCUAAUUAUCUACUUAGAAUUAAAAACUGAGAAAAGAGAUUUGACUUUUGAAAUUUUAAUUAACAACUAAUAAUAAAUUUCCCCCAAACGAAUACGAUAAAAUAAAAGAGUUUUAAAUACCAAUUUAUAAAAGCACUAGGGUUCCACCAUCACCUAGCAAUCAUAUGAAUUUUUACCAAUUACUUAUGAUCUACACAUGCCACUUUGAAGGUUAGGUAUAUCUAGCAUCGGACGUUCGGAUCAAAUAUGAACACGAGAGACUCAUUAUGUUUUAUGAAAACCCUUUGAAAAACCAUGCAACCCUUAAGACGUGAUGUUCAUUUUAAGUGAAAUUACAAUUAUUAAUCACAAGAAGCCAGCGUCAAUUUCAGGGAACCUUCAGACCAAAAUUGCAUCAAAUUACUUUUUUAAAGAUCAUAAUGGUGAUCAGACAUUAAAACAAUUAGAUAGUUUAAAACAGUGAUCAUUAAUUCAAAGCAUGUAUGCAAUCAAUCGUAAACAAUUAAAUAAAAAUACAUAGGCAUGGAACUCAAGUAACGACAUGAACGGAUCCAAAGUCUUGGGGAGCCAUGCAUUGCCGUGGAAAACCAAAUAACGACAUGAAGAAUGGCCCACGAAAAUAGACGCAAAGCAGCCCAUUUUGCUGCUCACACGAAUGACGCACGACACACGAACACCAGAAACCCUAGCUGCCUUAAUUCAACAUCGGAUGCCCUUUAUACAUUCGCUUUGAGGUCACAGCCAACGGCUAUUUUCUCUCAAUUUUUUAUUAUGUUUUGACACGCCGUUCUCUCGCUAGUAAUUGAGAGAGAUCUCUCAUUACUCUCAGCCUUCUCUCUCCUUGAAAAUUAGAAAUGGCUCUCCAUUAUUGCAAACCUUCUUCUCUCAACGCCCAUUAUUGCAAACCUUCAUCUCUCUAAACUCUUCAUCCACUCUGCAACCAAUGACCCAACAAACAUACACACCUCCGUUUCUCUAUAAUCCAGCCGUGGUGGAGUAAGCAUGAAAAGCUGAGAUGCAUGAAGCUAAAUCCCUCCUCCAUUUGUGUGUUUUUUUUUCUCAUUGCAGAUUUAUGUAUCGGAAUGAAAUGUAGCAAGAUUUAACACAUGCAUGUGUGUUUAUCUGUGUGAGGAACCCCAAUCGUUGCAAAUCCGAGAUAAACAACAAGAUAAACCCCCCUGAGUCGCCAACUCCGAGAGCACAGAGCUGUUCCAGCGCCCCCAAGCUUGCAAUCUCAGCGGAUCUACACCUCAGGUACAUAAAAAUAGAUCCCCCUUUCGUUUAAUCUUCGAAUGUAGAACACGAUCAGCACUAUUUUACAAUGCAUGCGUUGGAUCCUUUCCUUUCGUACGACACCCAUUUCGGAUUUAAACUAAAUUUGAAACUGAAAGUUGGUUUUGUAGGGAAAAAAAAUUAUUGGUGGCCUGCACAGAACGAAGGAAAGGUUGUCUUGGAUAUCACAGAUCCUGGCAGAAGCUUCCACGAACCCCAGAUCUGUGCAUCUGGGAGGUAAAAUUUCGAAUCCUAGGAAGUUUAGUUGUAGUUCUGGUAGUAAUAGCUGUACUCAGUAAUGUGGUGUAUGGAUAUGUGAUUUAAUUGUGCUUUUCUCAUCCAUGCAUCGCAAAACUGAGCUGCAGAAAAGAACUCAAAAUUAUGCCACGGUAUUGGAUUCGCAACAACCACCUCCAAACUUGUAUACCAUCCCGAUUAAUGUCUGGACAUUUGAAAAUUAAGAAAUGACGCCUAAACCAGUUGAGUCGCCUGCCUAAAUCAUCUAGGCACCCGUUUAGCCCACUCAGACCCACCUAGGUUACGACUCACUUAGAUAGAAAAUAAUAACUUUUAAUUUGCAUUUAAUUUUUUUCAACAAAUUGUAAGAAAUUUGUUGAAUACUUAAAUGAGCACACAUUAUAUGCUUGUUUCCGAUUUUUUCAUUAUGUUCCAAUACCUCAUAAUACAUAUGUCAUUUUAUUUUGUAAUUUAUGAUGAAAUUAUAUAUAUUAAGUAUGCAUAUACACUAAUUUACACGAAAUAUAAUGGAUUUACUCAAAUCCUUCUAGUCCACCUAGAUCAUGCCUAGCCACUUAGGCGCUAGGCCCCAACAUGCUACUCAACUAGCGUCUAGCGCCUUUUAAAACCUUGGUGUAGAUGUGAUUGAUAUUAAUGUAGACUUGUUGCUUGGUGCAUGAUCCAGUAUAGGAUAAUCCGCCCUUGUUUUUCCUGGUUGCAACCUGCAAUUAACCAAUAUGCGAUAAUAAAAAAUAAAAUCAAUUAGGUACAUAAAAACAAAAAGCAAUAGAUUUUAGGAUUUUUUUUUUCUUAUUUUUUGGGUACUAUUUUUUUUAUUUAUGCAGAUUUUUUUUUUUAAUUUUGUUUUUGUGAUGAUAUGAAAACUCAGCUAUGUGAGUGCAUCUAGAAAGUCAAACCAAUAAUAAAAUGGAAAAUCAAACGAAAAAUAAAAAAGUAAAGAGUUUAGAAAAAUUGGGUUGCCUCCAAAUAAGCGCUUUGCUUUAAAUCUGUAGUUAGACGUCGGAGAGGUCCGGUGGCUAGCUCAAUGGUUCCUUCAGAGUCAAAGACUCGCUUGCACCAAUUUUCCCUAUGAAUGGUUUAAGUUGAUGUUUGUUAACCUUAAAUGCGAAACCUUUGCCCUUAGCCUUGAUAUCCAUGUUACCAUUUUGAAAAACUUUAGUAACUAAGAAAGGGCAUUUCCACUAAGACUCUUAUUUCCCUGGAAAUGACUUAUAUGAACUUAACAAACACACUUUUUUACCAAGCUGUAUUUUCUCACGACUUGGACUGCUUUGUAACUUUUUAUUCUUGCCUUUGACAUUCAGAUGUUUUUGGUCAUUCUGGUGGCUUGGAUAGUUGUCAAACAAUGUCGAUUCUGUUUUUUAUUUUUGCACAUCAAGCACUUGGAUUUUGUGUUGCUGACCCUUAAUAGUUUUGUCAUCAUGACUUACAUUUAAAGACUUUAGGGAUAGAUGGUCAUUUGAUGAUCUGUUUUUACACUUGUCACAGGCUGAACCAUCUAACGCAUCAAUACGCAUGCAUUCAUGUUUGUCAUCUAGAUGUGCGGCGACUUAGGGUGGUUGUUUGUGUUGUUUUUCUUAGAUUUGCAAAGUUUGGGGGGUCCACAUACAGAUACAAACACAUGCAUGGGUUCGAACUUGCUACAUUUCACUUAAACAAAUAAACCUGAAACGAAAGUCAUAAGAUUUGAGGAUGUUUUACCUUUAGCACCUCCGAUUUUCAUCAAGCUCCACCAUGGAUGGGUUAUCAAGGCAUGAAGGUGUGUUUGUUUUUGGGUUAGUGAUUGCAGAAAAUGAUGAAGAGCUAAGAGAGAGAGUGGGGUUGCUGUGAAAUGAAUGGGUUAUAAGAAUGGGGGUUGGGUUUGAGUUAUAGAAAUAAGGGUUACUUGUCAUAUUCUAGAGAGCGAUUGAUUGAUGGUAUAUGGACAUAUGAUGCUAUAUUAGGAAUCCUAAGAGUCUAUGUGAAGGUUGUUUGAAAAUAAGAACGGAAGAGCCGUUUGGUUCUGGGUGCGAGGAGAUGAAGAGAGCCGUUGGCUUUGGGCUCGAGGCAAAUGGAUGCAAAGCAUCCAAUGUGAGAUUAAUGACAACUAGGGUUUCUAGCACCCGUGUGGCACGCGUGUGAGCUUCCAAUUGGGGUUUCGAACUCAUGAAGAUGAGUCCAAACAAUGUUGAGCCUCUCACGUGCUGAAUGAUGCAAGAUUUGGCUAAUUGCUGAUAGGUCGCACAUAAUAAAAUGUGUGAAAAUUAGAUAGUGGGCUGCGAGAAAAAAAUUGCAGCCCAAUUGGUAGCUCACACGCGUGCCACACCGGUGCUAGAAACCUUAUGUCACAUCUCGACCCGAGCUUCACCACAUCCCGGGCUCGACUCCACCGUAACACGAUAUUGUCCGCUUUGGGCCCCGACCAUGCCCUCAUGGUUUUGUUUCUGGGAACUCACACGAGAACUUCCCAGUAGGUCACCCAUCUUGGGAUUGCUCUCGCAUGAACUCGCUUAACUUUGGAGUUCCAAUAGAACCCGAAGCCAGCGAGUUCCCAAAAAGCCUCAUGCUAUAUGGAGGUGGGCAUGUACAUAUAAGGCACAUCACCCCUCUCUCCGUUGGUCAAUGUGAGAUAUUACUAUCCACCCCUUUUAGGGGCCCGACAUCCUCGUCGGCACACUCGCACCGAAUGGUAGAGUAAAUCUGAUACCAAAUUGUCACAUCCCGACUCGGGCUCCACCAUAUCCCGGGCUAGACUCUGUCGUAGCACGAUAUUGUCCGCUUUGGGUCUUGACCACGCCCUCACAAUUUUGUUUCUAGGAACUCACACGAGAACUUCCCAAUAGGUCACCCAUCCUAGGAUUGCUCUCAUGCAACUCACUUAACUUCAGAGUUUCGAUAGACUCUGAAAUCAGUGAUUUCCCAAAGGGCCUCGUGUUAUAUGGAGGUUGACAUGUAUAUAUAAGGCACAUCAUCCCCUCUCUGUUGGCCGAUGUGGGAUGUUACACCCUAGCUAGCUCGAGCCCAUAGCCAACGGUUUUUUUCAUUUCCUCGUAUCCAUUGUCAAAUGGCUCUUCUGUUUUUAUUUUCAAACGACCCUCAUAGAGACCCUUAGGAUUCCCAAUAUAACAUCACAUGUUCCUAUGCCUUCAAUCACUCGCUCUCUAAAAUAUGAAAAGUAGCCCUCAUUUCUCUAACUCAAACCCAACGCCCAUUCUUACAACCCAUUCAUUUCACAACAGCCCCACUCUCUAUCUCUUAGCUCUUCGUCCUUUUCUGUAGCCAUUAACCCAGAAACAUACACACCUCACCCAGAAACAUCCUCAAAUCCUGUGACUUUCGUUUCAAGUUUAAUUGUUCUAACCCAUGCAUGUGUUUGCACGGAACAAAAGAAAGGAUGUCUUCUAGGAGGCCACAGAUUUGGACAAACAGAAGGUAUAAAACCCUUGUGAUUUCAAGCAUGUAGACUGAUCUGCAAAGCAUAGCUAUAUUUAUCCUCGAUUCGCUCAUAACUCAGUUUUCCAUUUUUUUUUCUUCUUAUGUGCAAGACAUUCGGAUCCAUAAUAGUUCCAAGAGAAGUGAACGCCUUAAGCUGCCAAACCAGUAAUUCCUCAAAGGCAAAAUAAACUCCAAAGUCUCGGUUUCUGCAAUUAGGAAGGUAGAAAGAAAUCUGUCUUCUGCAUUUGUUUGGCUUAACACAUAGCUUUGAAUACAUUUCAUAUAUUCUGUGAUGUCAACCCUAAACUGAUUUUAUAAGAACUGGGACAUGUAAACAUUUGAAAACAACUUGGAUCUCCAAAUUGGUAAAGAUUUCGGACUAAACAUACUUGCUCUCAGAAAAACAAAAUGAAUUAAUCCUUGAAUCAUUUCUGAGAACAUAUAUGUGGACAAAGUGAACUGGAACCGUGAAGAUGACUAAUGAAGAACCUAUUCUAGACUUACAAAGUGACUUACUAUUCAACUCCAAUGCAUGAGUAAUAGAUCUGCUGAAAAAUAGUCUUGUCUACUGAAUAACUAAUGAAUUUGGUUGUUUUGUUUUUGUUGUGCAAGGAACCAGCAUCUGGAAGCUUGACAUGAGCAAACCAAAGGAAGAGGAGUUUGGUCAUCACAGAUCCCAAACUGCAUUUGCAACGAACAAAUCAUGGCAAAAGCUUCCAUAAACCCCAAAUCUGUGCAUCUGGGAGGAAAUUUUUUGAAUCCCUGCAAGUGUAAUUGUUGUAGAUCUGGUAAUAAAAGUUGUACUCAGUUGUGUGGUGUAUGGAUAUGUGAUUUAACUGUGCUCCUCAUCCAUGCAUCGCAAAACUGAGCAACAGAAAAUAACUGUUCAAAAUUGUGGCAUGGCACUGGAUCUACAAAAACCACCCCCAAACUUGCAUAUGUGAAUGUGCUCAUGUUAAUUACUUUAAAUUUUAGCAUAGGGUAGAUGUGGUUGAUGUUAAUGUAGAUUUGUUGCUGGGUGCAUGAUUCCAGUAUAGGAUGCUCUUUAUUUUCCAUUUAUGCAACCUGCAAUUAACCAAUAAUUGUGAAAAUUAAAAACAGAGCUAAAAUCGACUAAGUAGAUAAAGAAAACAACAUUUUUUUUCUUUAUUUUUGUGGUUUUAUGUAAAAUAAGAUAUGAGAAUGCAUCUAGUAAGUUAAGCUAAUAAUAAAAUGGAAAAUUAAACGCAAAAUAAAAUAAGGAAAUAGUUUAGAAAAAUUGGGUUGUAAGCAUUUUAUUUUAAGUUUGUAGCUAGAUAUUGUCGAAGGUUGGUGGCUAGAUCACUGGUUUCUUCAGAGUCAAAGACUCGUCUGUAGUAUUGAAGGAUGACUCCACAUAUGGUUUCAGCAUGUGACCAUUCAUCUUGAAUGUGUUGCCUUGAGCUUUAUUAGUUAUUUCAAUUGCCCCAUGAUAAUAGACUUUAGUAACCAGAUAAGGCACAAUCCAGCGAGAUUUUAACUUCUUUGGGAACAACUUUGGCCUUGAACUAAAUAACAAAACUUUUUGCCCUAGCUGAAAUUCCUUCCUUAAAAUUUGACUAUCAUGAAACGCCAUAGUUCAUUCCUUGUAGAUGCGAGAACUUUCAUAGGCAGACUAAUGAAUUUCCUCUAGCUCAUUAAGCUACAAUUUGCGUUUUUCCCAACUGAAUCAUACGAAAAAUUUAACUCUUUAAUUGCCCAGUAAGCCUUAUGUUCAAGCUCCAUAGGUAGAUGACAUGUUUCCCAUAAAUGAGUCAAAAUGGAGACAUCCCAAUAAGAGUCUUGUAAGCCCACAAAGCACCAUUUAAUUUUAAACUCCAAUCCUUACGUGUAAAACCAAUUGUUUUAUCCAAAAUGCGCUUUAAUUCUCUGUUUGAAACUUCAACUUGACCAGAUGUAUGUGGAUGAUAAGGUGUAGCCACGUGAUGAUUAAUCUCAUACUUUGCCAGUAAAUUAGCAAAUGGUUUAUUAACAAAAUGAUUCCCCCCAUCAUUUAGAAUAACGUGCAAAAUUCCAAAACACAGAAAUAUAACCCCCUGAAGGAACUUUAGGACCACUAAUUCUUGAUUAGUUAGUGUUGCAAUGGCCUCGACCCACUUAGAAACAUAUUCCACUUCAACUAAAAUAUAUUGGUUCCCAUUAGAAGAUGGAAACGGUCUCAUGAAAUCAAUACCUCAAACGUCAAAUAAUUCAACAAUUAAAAUACUUUGUUGGGGCAUCUCUUUCCUUUUGGAUUGGUUGCCAACCAUUUGACACUUGUCACAAGCCUUGCACUAAUUAUUUGCAUCUUUAAAAAGUGUAGGCCAAAAUAAACCACUCUACAAAAUUUUCUCCACUGUCAUUUUCUGCCCAAAAUGUAAAUGUCCCCACAUGCAAAAUGAUGAGCAAACUUUAAAACACUUGCCUAUUCAGCCUCAGGAAUGCACAUGCAAAUAAUCUGGUCGAGGCAGUACUUGUAUAAGUACAGUACAUCCCAUAAAUAAUGCUUUAUAUCAGAUAAAAACCUCUUUUUCUGCUAAAACGAAAAAUCUAGAUGCUCCUCACCCUUAGCCAAAUAAUUAACAAUAUCAGCAAACCAAUGUGUAUUAAUUUGGACAGCAAAUAGUUUUUCAUCUGCAAAACUUUCACUCAAUGGAAAGAUUCUUCUUCUGUAGCUGUCGGAAUAAUUAAUCUGGAUAAAUGGUCAGUCACCACAUUUUCACUACCCUUUUUGUCUUUAAUUUCUAAGUCAAAUUCUUGAAGUCAAAGAACCCAACGAAUCAACCUAGGCUUUGCAUCCUUCUUAAACAACAAAUAUUUAAGAGCAUCAUGAUCAUUAUAAACAAUUACCUUAGCCCCAACCAAAUAAGACCGAAACUUCUCUAACGUAAACACAACUACCAAUAAUUCAUUCUAUAUGGUUGCAUAGUUGAGCUAUGCAUCAUUAAGAGUACAACUUGCAUAAUAAAUGACAUGGGGAAGCUUGUCUUUACGUUGCCUUAAAACUGCCAUAAUGGCAUAAUCUGAAGCAUCACACAUUAAUUCAAAUGGUAAACCCCAAUCUGGUGCAACAAUGAUGGGUGCCUAAGUUAGGAGUGAUUUCAACUUGUUAAAUGCUUCUAAACAAGCCUCAUCGAAAUAAAACGAUGCAUCUUUAGCCAAUAAAUUGCACAGAGGUCGGCUAAUUUUAGAGAAAUCCUUAAUGAACCAGCGGUAAAAUCCUGCAUGUCCCAAGAAUGAUCUGACACCUUUUACUGAUGUAUGGGGUGGCAGAUUUGCAAUAACAUCAAUCUUGGUUUUAUCAACCUUAAUGCCUUUGUUAGAAAUCGAAUGACCUAAAAUAAUGCCCUGUCAUAAAAUGACAUUUUUCCUAAUUUAGCACUAAAUUUGUCUCUUGACAUCUCUCAAGAACUAAUGAUAAAUUAUGUAAGCACUGAUCAAUUUAAUCCCCAAACACAGAAAAAUCAUCCAUAAAAACUUCGACAAUAUUUUCGACCAAGCCAGAAAAAAUACUCAUUAUACAAUGUUGAAAAAUAGCUGGUGCAUUGCAUAACCCAAAUGGCGUCCUCCGAUAAGCAAACGUCUCGAAUGGGCAUGUAAAAGUUGUCUUCUCUUGGUCCUCUGGUGCAAUUGGAAUCAGAUUGUGCCCAGAAUAACCAUCUAAGAAACACUAGAAAGCCCUUACCAGCCAAUCUUUCUAAAAUUUGGUCAGUAAACGGUAAUGGGAAGUGAUCUUUUCUUGUAGCUGCAUUUGGUUUCCUGUAAUCUACACACAUACGCCAGCCUAUAGUUAAACGUGUAGGAACAAGCUCAUUAUUGUCAUUUUUAAUCACUGUAAUUCUGGAACGUUUAAGCAUAACAUGCGUAGAACUCACCCAUUAACUAUCUGAAAUAUGAUAAAUCAUACCAGCAUCCAGUAAUUUCAUAACUUAUGUUUUGAUAACUUUCAUAAUUUGAUUAAGGCGGUGUUGAGCAUCUAUUGUUGGCUUCACGUCUUCUUCCAUUAAAAUUCUGUGCAUGCAAAGUGCUGGGCUAAUACCCUUGAUGUCGGCUAUUGUCUAUCCCAAUGCAUCUUGAUAUUUUCUCAAAACACGAAACAAUUUAUCUUCUUCUGUCGAUGUAACACCUCACCCCCAUUUUAUUUAAAAAUGGUUUUUAAUUCUUAAUUGGUGUGCCCAAGGGCCCACCUUCUAUUUUUGUGUCCCCCAUUCCCGUCACUCUUCCUUCUCUCUCUGUCCCUCCCCCGUGAACUCCCUUCUUUCUUCUUCUUCUUUUCUGUUUUCUUUUCUUCCUUCUUCUUCUUCUUUUUCUGUCUGUCAUGUCUCUCUCCCUUCUCUCGGACCUCUCUCAGCUCCCUUAUCUCUCUUCUCAACCGCGAACGCACGCACGCAACCAUCUCCCCUGCGCGAGGAAGACCCCACAUCGUCGCCAUCUCGUCCUUCUCCCCCUCUGUCCCGUGCUGCAACCCCAGGAAACCCGGAAAGGAACUCCGGCGAGUUCCUAUUUUCCCGGUGAGGUAAGCCUCAAAUCUCCCUUAUUUCGUCCAAGAAUCUUGUGGGUUGAAUUUUAAUUGAGUUUAUUGUGUGAUUUUUGGAGGUUAUAGGACGAAAUCGAAGCCGGGUGUAGGCACACCCAUCUCCGACGACUUUCGAGAGAAUUUCCGGCCAAACCACGGCGAGUUGGCCGGCGUGCAAGGUAUCAAUCUCUUCGUCUCGUCGAGUACUAUAACUUUCCUUUUUGUUUCACUCAAUUUCAUUGCGUAUUGAAGACGUUAUACUCAUUUGAAAUCUUACCCAGUUUCCGGCGACCUCCGAGGCUUUCGAGGCAAUUUCCGGCCAAACCACGGCGAGUUAGACGUCGUGUGAGGUAUCAUUCUCUUCGUCUCUUCCAGGGAUACAACUUUCAUUUUUGUCUCGCUUGAUUUCGUUGAGUAGUGACAAAGUUAUGGCCGUUUAAAGUGGGAUGGUUUUCCGGCCUUCUCUCCCAUUGGAUCCGGCGACCCACCAAAACCCAAGGCUUUGGGCCUUCCCUGCCUAGCCCAGCCCGUUUUUAUUCUAUUUAAUUAUUUAUUUUCAGCAGCCCAAAGGGCCUUGGGCCGGUUUUGAGUGAAAGGGCUUAAAGCCCGGUCCUUGUGUGAGGCCUUAAGGCCUUUGUGGUUUGUGUGUGUGUGUGUUUAAGUGCAUGCGUACGUGUGUGUAUAUGCAUGCUUGCAUGCAUGUGCAUGCCGUGAAUGUGUGUGUUUGUGUGGUGCGUGUGUGUGUUUGGCUUAGGCCCAAACCACCCAUUUUCACCCUAAACCCUUUAUAACCCAAAUCCUUUAAAACCCUAAAUCCAUCCAAUUCCAAAUUCCCUAUUUUAUUUAAUUCAAACCCUUCGUAGGGUAAUUCGACGUUUUGAAUCCGUUUCCAAUGUCCAUUUUCCCAAAUUCAAUUGCUAUAAUAGAGUUUUAUUAAUUGGACUCUUUAUGUGAUUAGGGGCAAUUAUAUGUGGCAUUCCUUCUUUGAUAGUUUGCGUGGCUCUUCGGCGGCUAAGUACUGUGAGUGGACCCCUUCUAAAAUGCAUGUUUUAUAGUAGAAAUGCAUAUAUGAAAAGCAUGAUUUGAUGAUUACGUUUUAUGAAACGUUUUGUGAGAUAACAUGCUUACUAAGGCUACUUUGAAUUAUUACUAUUUUUCCUAUAACCCGUGUUCUUAUAGAAUAUCUGAUGGAUGACGAUAUAAUAUUUAGAACAUGUUUCAAACACCUCUUUAUAGUAUAGAUGAUGAAUGACUUUAUACUAUGAAGUUGUUUUUCAAUAUAUAUAUGUUCAAUGGUUUUGUACCUACCUAGUGGUCCUUUCCGCUACGGGACGUAGGGAUAGAUUCUGGUCCGUUCCGGGCGACGGUUUGGUGUUGGCAUAGGGCCUGGAGUAUGUUUCCUCUGGCUAUUUAGCACAGGGACGGGGAGCCGGCAUGGGGCCUGAAGUGUAUUUUCCUCUGACUGUCUGCUCAGAGACGGGGAGCCGGCAUGGGGCCUGGGGGUUAUCGGACAAUUCACUAGUGAUUAUUAUAUAUACAAGUUAUGAUUUGAGACACUGCACAUCAUGCUAGGUUUCGGAAAACCUAUGUUUAUCAUUAUAUAUGUGUUUUCAUAAAACCUGGGGGUUAGUACGUUGAUAACUGUUUAUUAUAUAUAUAUCAACUUGGUCCACUCAUAUUUGUUUUGCGCCCCCUUCAGGACUUAGAAUCGAGGCAUACAAUUCCGGCAUCCAGGCACUUCCGCAUCGGUAUCUUCGAGUCCUCUCGGUGUAGGACCCACUUCUGUGUUCAUUCAAUUUUUUUAUAUUAAUUCUUUUAAUGUUCUAGAUUAGAUGUGUGCUCUGAACACGUUCCUUAAAUACAUAUUCAUUAUUCUUUUAUAGUUAUAAGUCUUAAUUAUUCCUUAUUUUCAGCAAUUGCACUCAAUAAUUGGUUUUCGUCACCCUCGGGUGUCGGCCAGCACGUGCAUAUCCUGGUAUUCGGGGAAUAUCGGGAUCGGGGCGUGUCAGUUGAAGUUAAAUCUGCUGCAACAAUAACUGGCUAUGUUUCUAGAGUCCCUAAAUGUGCAUAUUUUAAAUGUUCUAGCAAAGGCUUCAGCUCCAAUUUUGGUAGCUACUGUCUAGACUGUUUAAGGGGUUGUUUAGGCUCCCAUAAGCUUGCAUAAACAGUUCUCCACCUGGGCAACUGUGUUGGCAGACUGUCCAAUACAUAAAUGUACUCAAGAACCCUUUAUCUUCAGAAUCUGACCCAAUUUUCCCUUGUAAAACAUGCAACAACUGAUCUGAAAUUGAAUUAGCCUGAAAAUUGCCUUGAACCACACUGUCUAACACAUCAAUGCACAUACACUAUUGUUGUUUAGCAUGACGUUUGGAUGCCUCAAAAAAAUUAAAUACAACAGAUUGAUCUUGAACUCCUAAAGUUAGUGUUCCAGCUUCCACAUCAAUUAUUGUCGUAGAUGUUGCCAUGAACGAUCUUCCCAAAAUUAUGGGCGUUUUUUAGGUCUUCAUCCAUGUCUAAAACCACAAAAUCUGCCGGUAAAUAAAGAUUAUCAACUUUAAUAUUGAUAUUUUCAAUAAUGCCCUUAGGAUAAGUCAUUGAACAGUCAACUAGCUAAAGAAUACUUGAUGUAGGCUUUAAAUCUCCUUGUCCUAAUUAUUGGAAAACAGAAAAUGACAUUAAAUUAAUAUUGGCACCUAAAUCAAUUAAAGCAUUUUUAAAAUCAGAAUUUCCAAUAGUACAUGAAAUGUUAAAACUCCCUGAAUAUUUUUUCUUAGGUGGCAGUUUAUGUAACAAAACUACGCUGCAUUGUUCUAUCAAAAUAACAUUGUCCAAAUCUGCAAGUUUCUUUUUGCUGUUGCAAACCUCUUUCAAAAAUUUAGCAUAAGAUGGAAUUUUCUUGAUUACAUCCAGCAAUGAAAUGUUGAUUUGAACCUUAGAUAAUGUCUGCAUAAAAUCCUUAAACUGUUGAUCUCUUGCCUUAUGAAUUAAACAUUCAAGAUACGGUAAUGGAGGGUCAUAAACAUGCUCAGAAACCUGUUUUGGGACAGUUUCAGCAUCUGCCAGAUUCUGUUUUAUUGUAUAAUUUGCAAGUUAUGCUGCUAUUUCUGUAUUUUCUGCAGAAAUUUUCACUGCAAGCUAAUCUUUUUUAGUAUAAUUUUCACGAUUGUCAUAACUUUUUCCACACCGUAAAGUCCGAACAACAUUGCAGUCUUCACGUCCUCUUGGAUUAGGCACUGUUUGACAAGGAAAUUUGCCUUUUUCUCUGUUUGAAAUAUGUGUAGCUAACUGUCCAAAUGAUUGCUCCAAACUUUUAAUUGAUGCUUCCACAUUUUGAAAUUUUUGAUUGCUGCCACCUAUAUAUGAUUGAGUUGUUGCUGCCAAUUUAGCAAGUUGAUCAUCCAAAGAUGGUUUGGAUGGUACAAAAGGUUUUUGUGUUUACUGCAAUGGUUUUGCAUGAUUCUGAUUGUCCCCCAAUUUGAAAUUAGGAUGAUCCCUCCAUCUUGGAUUGUAAUGAGUUGCAUAUGCAUCAUUUCUAGGCCUUUGAUAGCUGUUCAUCAUAUUAACAUGUUGCUCAACAAGCUCCGUGUAGGAUUCUUUAUGCGGGCAUCACAUUAUGUCGUGCGUAGCCAUGCUGCAAAUAAUGUAAACGGUGGUUGCUACUGUGUAGAAUUUGCAAUUUGUUGUAAAAGAAUGUCAAAUUUUGCAUUAAUUUUCUUUUCCAUUUUUUUCAUUUGUGUAGACAUGUUAGGAAAACCUGCUGAUAACUAAAAAAUGCCCCUUUUCUAUGAAUGUUUUGCUGCCCAAUGUUGACAUUAUGUAGCCAUCAUAUCAAAUCAUUCAAACGCCUCUCUUGCAUAUUUAUUUGACAACAAUCCUCCAGUUGAGGCAUUAACAUGGCUCUUAGAUAUAGGAUUAAGCACAUCAAAGAAAAUAUUCAUUUGUGUAUUUGAAUCAAUAUUAGCAUGUGGACAAUUCAUGUACAUCUCUUUAUAUCUCACCCAUGCUUCAUGAAACUCUUCGUUCAGCUUUUGAGAGAAUGUCAUAAUCUCCCGCUUGUAAUUCAAUUUCUUAGAUGCUGGAUAAUACUUGUUUAGUAAUUUUGUAUGUAAUUGUUGCCAAGUGGUAAUGCUACUAGUCGGUAGAGUAAAUAACCAAGUUUUCGUCUUAUCCUUCAAAGUAAAAGGAAAAAGACGUAACUUAAUAACCUUGGCAGAAAAACUCCUGAUCAAAAUAUUUUUGCAACCCACAAUAAAUUUUGCAAUAUGAAUGUUUGCGUCUUCAUUAGGCAACCCACAAAAUGUUGGUAAAAUUUCAAGCUUGUGGUGCUUGAUCUUGAAUGCUUCUCCUUCUUCCUGGGCAAGAUAGACAAUACAAUUAGGAACAUCGUUUACACGGGCAGCCAACGAAUAUUUGAGUGGUUUGCCUCCUUAAGGUAAUGCUAACGCCAUUGUAACCUCUCUGUCCACAAAAUCAGCAAAUAAAUUAUGCAAAAAAGUGUCGUGCAUUGAACAGUCCCAUGCCAAAUUAGUUUCUCUUUGUUGUUGUCGCAGUGUGUGUUCUGGUUCUGGAUAAAACUGAGCAAUCUGGGCAAAUUUUGAUCCGAUCUGGACCAUAAAGUUUGUAGAAUCUACAAUCAAACGAAAAUAGCAAAAUAAUCUGAAUUAAAAUAUUGUUUUUUAUUUUUUUUAUUUGUGCAAAAAAUAAUUAAUUAGGGAAGGUCUAAACAAAAAUUAUCUAAAAUAAUCCCCAGCUACGACAUCAAUUUCUUGAUGGGAUUUUUACCGUCUACGAAAAGAAGGUUAAAAUCACACAAAACACUUGCAAGAAUACAAGAUUAUUGUAGUACAGAUAUUCAUGCAAGGUCGUUCUCCUCAAUGACUAUUUUAAUAAUUUAUGUAAAAACAAUUCCUAAUUAACUACUUAUAAUUAAAAAUUGAGAAAAAAGAUUUUGACUUUGGGUAAUAUUAAAAACGAAUUUUAAUUAACUACUAAUAAUAAAUUUCCCCAAAACUAAUACGAUAAAAGAAAAGAGUUUUAAAUACCAAUUUAUAAAAGCACUAGGGUCCACCAUCACCUAACAAACCUAUGAAUUUUUAUCAAUUACUUAUGAUCUACACAUGCUACUUUGAAGGUUAGGUUUUCCUAAUAUAUAUUUUACUUUGAACCUCCAACAUAGAACGUAUAUCUAACAUGCAAUCCGUCCAGAUGUUCGGAUCAAAUAUGAAUACGAGAGACUCAUUAUGCUUUAUGAAAACCCUUUGAAAAAUCAUACAACCCUUAAGACGUGAUGUUCAUCUUAAGUGAUAUUACAAUUAUUAAUCACAAGAAGCCAACGUCAAUUUCAGGAAACCUUCCGACCAAAAUUGAAUUAAAUUACUUUUCUAAAGAUCUUAAUGCUGAUCAGGUAUUAAGAGAAUUAGAUAGUUUAAAACAGUGAUCAAUAAUUCAAAGUAUCCAUGCAAUCAAUCAUAAGCAAUUAAAUAAAAAUUACAUAUUCAUGCUAAGGCUCAAGGCUUCGCCCUAGCAAAAUAAAUUAGUUAUGCAUAUUCAUAAUUAAAAUCAUAGAAAAUAUUAUUAUGAAGAAAAAGAACGAAAACACCUUAAAGUAGAAAAGCUAAAAACCUUUGAAAACCCUAGCAAUUCUUCCAAAGUUGCAUAAAAGAAAACGUAAAACAAAAUAGGAUCGGUUGAAACCUUUUAAAUCCCAUCUAAAAAGCAUUGCACAAUCCUAAAAAACCAGGUCCUUUAUUCCAACUAGGAAACUAAAAAUAAUAGUAAAAUAUCUUAAAAAAUAAAGUUUUAAUUAAGUUAGGGGAAUCUGCUAAGUACUUGUCUAGCCACGUUUUAGCCUCAAAUAUCCUCCAAAUCCGGCCCAUGAUAGCUUGUUUUGAAGAUUAGGACGUUCUAAACAAUCUCUAGAAGGCCACAAACCCAUCCGAGGUCAUCUUGGACUCACAAAAACGCAAUUCAAGCUCAAAACGUCACUAUUUCAACACCGCGCAUUGCUCAUUUAUUUUAUUGCCAGAAAAUAACCUCUUGGUGGAAAAUUUUGAUAUUUUGACACGAUCGAGCCAAGUAACUCAUGAACGUCCUCCAACUGAAAUUACUUCAAAAUUCGUCCAUUUGACCAUGUUUUACUCUAUAGGAAGUCAAAAAUCUUAUAUUCAAAAUACAAUUUAAAGUAUCAAAAUUCUUUCAAAAUAAUAACUAAAAUAUACUAAGAUUAAGGUUAAAUAUAUAAUAUAAAAUCUACUCAUCACCUACAACAGUGGCACACUUGUUCUCACCACUUGAGCCUCUCCUUGGCACUGAGACCAGGCUCGAUCAACUAGGACCGAACCUUACUUGAUGGCUCAUCGCCAUUUUUUAAAAAGCAUCAUAAUAUCUCAGCGAUCGUCGUCUCAAUCUUCCGACGAUUAGCGAUGGAUUUCAGUUAUCGAGGGACGAGUUUGAACUCGUCAGAUUUGAGGAUACCAGUAUUUUUACAUACUAAUCUCUCGAAAAUCCGUUGUAAAUCAUGAUGUUGUGGUAGUUAAAAUGAAUAAUAUUUCGAAGUGUUAAAAAAACUGAAUUUACAAUGUCUUUUAACAUCACACAGAUAAAACUUUGAACAUAACGACACUUACAACUCCGGAGCGUACGAGAAAAGCCAAAAAUAACAAGAUGAAAAUUGAUCAUUUUAGCAAUCGGAAACUGUAAAUUGACCGAUAACAGGGGGGCGGGAUGAAGCAUCAUUUCGGGGACAAAAAAGUUCAAAGAGGGUUGUUUUCAUAUAUACCGGAGACGAACAUGUAUCGGAGCAUAAAAAAUAGUCUACAUAUAAGUCAAUUGAUAUCUUAAAGACGUUAAGAAUCCCAGCACAUGUCCAGUGUAGAGUUGGAGUGAAGGCAACGUUGGAACAAAGCUUAAGAACAUAAAAAGUAUUAGCAUUUAUAGACACACACAUUAUUUAGACACACAACUACGCCUUAGUCUUCGGUAUCAAGAUUCAAGACAUACAAGAUGUACUGAAAGCAAGCAAAGCAGCAUACACACUCGGGUUAGUACCGGAAGAUUUCAAUACCACAAACUAUUUACUUGUUUAGGAGUGGUCUGCCUCCAUAUGAUUCAGACUGAAGGCGCCUUCCAUAUUCUUAUGCACUUCAGCUUUAAACUUCUCUUCUUUGCUUCCCCUUUUCACCUUCAGAAGCAUGUUAAACUUUGCAUGCUCUUCUAUCACCUGCUGCCCACAGUUUAAUCAUAUACACAAAUCAAUACAUUAAUCCCGUCGAUCCCAACGAUGAUGUCAAACAGACCUCAAAACAGAGAAGAAUGAACAAAUCGACUUGUAUACCGCAUUAUACAAAACAAUUUGAAGUUGAAAGCAAAAUUGACAAGAAAACAAUGUGUUUAUUUUGUUUUAAUCUUCUGAAUUACCUAAAGGUUAAAUCCAAAUUUCCUAUUCCAAUUCUCUAAAAUACAUUUAAAUAGAAUUUCCUUACUCAAUUCUCCACAACCAAAUCCUGGUCCCAUUACACAACUACUCGCAUUUGAAAGAGAUUUUUUAAAGUGUGCCUGAAACACGAGCACAUAGGCCAAGCGGAGGGACACUUGAAAAAAAUAUCCAUCCACUUGUAUAAUAACAUCUGGCAUGCCGUCCCAUUUUCCGAGCACACUGAAAAACCUCUCCACAUUUAAAUGAACUUGAACACCCAUUCCAACAAAACCAAAUACUACCCCCCCCCCCCCCCCAAAUCCUCAAUUCUCCAAAAUGCAAAAAAAUCGACUUUCAUACUCUGAUUCAGCACAAACCAACCCCCUAAUACCCAAUUCUUCGAAAUCCCUUUCAGACACAACAAAUAACUAUACACAAUACCCAAUUCUCAAAUUCAUUUAGUUGGAUUUGAAUACCCAAUUCAACACAAACAAAUACUAACCCCCAAUACUACAGAGUGGAAAAUCAAAAGAAGGAAAUGAAAAGGCACAAACCUCAGCCUUGGCGUGAACAACUUCUAGAAGCUCAUAAGGCAACAAGGAAUUAGACUUCUGCUGGAGGGACUUAACAGCGUGGUUAGCCGCAUCCUGCACCUGCGGGUCAUGCGGCGGCACAGAUUGCCACCCAGGAGGAUGCCCACCUUGCUUGGCACCAAGAUCGGAAGAGGUAACGGAUGGUGUCUCCUCCUCAUCAGCCUGCUUGAACUCCUGCUCUUCUUUGAAGCCCAUCCAAGGCUUCACCCACACCUUCGCUUCGUACAGCUUCUUCUUGCCGGCCUCGAUCGCCUCGAUCGUCAGAUGGUGCAGAGUUCCGGCAACCACCUGCUCUUUCGCCUUCACAACCCUCACAAAUUCGAGCAGGGCAUUCUGAACCAUAAUAAUUUAAUUAAUCAAUCAAUAAAUUAAUCGAAAUUGUAGCAUAAUUAGGUAAAGGAAAAGGUCAGGAGGGUAAACUAUGUACCUCCUUGUUAUUGUGCUCUUGGACGGCGAAGCGAGCGAGGUCUUCAACUUCGGCGCUGUUCUGGACGCCGCGGGAUUCUUGGAUUCCGCCGACUGUGUCCAUUUUCCGGUGUUGGGAACUGUGGCCGCAGCCAAUUCGGGUUGAUUUUUGUGCGGUAGUGGAAGGGAAAGCGAGGAGGAGGAGGAGGAGGAAGAAGGGAGCAAUUAAUAGAGAGAGGUAAGAUUCCGAUUUCAUCUGGCCUUUUUGGGUUUGGGGAUUUUUUCGACGGUUUCUCUGCAAAUUCGGAUAUUUUUCUUUCGGUCAUCAGGUUUUUAUGAUACGUGUCAAACACGUGUCGAUUCUGCACCAUCUUUGCUUACUAUGUAAGCUUUCGAAAUGGGAUUGAGAUCCUCUUCUUGGCUAAGGAUGAUGAUUUUCCUGACCUAACUCAUAUGAUUGUUUAAAUUUUAUCAACGAUUACAAACAUAAAGUUUUUCUAAAAGUUAUAAUAACUGUAACAGUUGAAUAAAAUUUGAACGAUCCGAUGAGCUUGAUCAAGAGGACCAUCACCCUUACCUUAGUAGUGGAUCCUAAUCUCUCUCUAUAUACUUUUGUGAGAGGACGGAGGAUCCUCUUUUUUUUUUUCUUUUUUUUUUUGACAAAGGAGAACGAUAUUAAUCCAACCAAACACAACUACAACAUAACAACAAAGGCCCACGGAGGAUCCUCUUUUUUGUGAGGAUCCUAAAGAUCAAUUCAUAUUACAUAUUCAUUAUAUCAUGCGAUUAGCUUUCGUUAAGUACUGUUUCUGUUUAAUUUUAAAUAAAAAAAUUGAAAUAAUUUCUGAUUGUAAAAUAACUGAUGAACGAAUAUGUUAAACAUAUGAGAUAAGACGAACCCGGCCCUUAACAUGUUGCUAGAUGUUGUCUCCAGCAAGAAACAAGAAAAUGCAAGAACGGGCCCAGGCCCAUUUGGGCAUCAGCCCUUUCUGAAGGCCAAUUUGGCUGUUGUCCUCCUCUUUGUCGAAAAGCUAUUUCAAUUUGGGAAAUUAAAUUCAUUUAACUUUUCUUUACAUCUAACUUACUUUUUACACUUAUAUUAUUUUUAAUUAAACUAUCAAUAUCUUUUUAAACCCAAAGUUACUACCUAAACUACCCUCACAAACCCAAUUCAAUAUGUAAAUUUAUCUUUUACACCCAUAUGAAAAAUAAAAAACCAAAAAAUCAAAGGAAAACUAAUGAAGAGAAUUUGAAAACUUUGAGUUUUAACAAUAAGGACAAAAUAAAAGGUAAAGUGAAUAGUACAAAGAUUGAUUUUUUAGUAUAAAAAUGUGGUUUUUCAUUAAAGUGAACAGUACCGAGAGCUUUUCGUUAAAGUUAAAAAAAAUCAAAGCAAUCUCUUCUCUGACGUUCUCUCCUUCCAAUAGUUGCUUUUGAUGGAGUCUUCAUCAUCCUCUACAACAUUGUUCUCUCAACUUAGUUCGUAUUUGUCGAGACUUGAUAGUAUUGGUCAAUUUUCUCAUUAGAUUUGUUGAAGGGAGUCCUUGAAUUGCUGCUUAAUAAUUCGUUUCACUACAAGAGCCAGUUUCUAAUAUAAUUGCAGCACAAUGCAUGUGUCUUAUUUGACAUAUCCUGGGUAGAAUUUAAAGACUUAAGUUGUUAAAGAUGUUUUUGAAAUUUGGCUCACGUGCAUCAUAUGUGUUGCAACAAGUUUAUGUUCCCAUGUUUACAAUUUGAGCUUGCAUUAAACUAUAUUAAGAUUUUUAUUUGUUUCUUCCCUCAAAUCUAUCCACCUUUUUAAGGGGUUGAAUAUGAUGGGUUUGCAUGCACGUCACACCCCUCCGCUCUUCCUCUGUAUAGAAAAGGAAGAGAAAACUCCUUCCCUUUCCCAUCCACUCCAUGGGUUUCUAUUUAAGUCGCGUAUGGGUGAAGAGGUAGUUGGCUUAAGUAUAGAUUGUCGAUGGUUCAAAAUUACUAUCCAUCCAUACAAAAUGACUUAUUUUUCACUAUGAGAGUGUUUUAUGAUUUUUGUUAUAAUAGAAUGUAGAAGAAUGAUACGUGAUGUUGAUGAUUAUAUUUGAUUAUUGUAUUGAGUGUUUGUUUAUAAUCUUAUUUUUAUUAUUAAUUUCAUUUUGUAUUUUAUAAUAAUUAUGCAAUAAGAUAAUAAAGUAAUUUUACGUUUAUAAUUUAAGGUCAAUGUAGAGAGAUGUUACAUAGUUAAAAUAAAAUUUCUCUUUCAAUUUUCCUUCCGUCCCAAUUUUCCCAGAAAAAGAAAGAGAGAGAAAGGAAAAAGAGGGUCAGAGACUCAGAGACAAAGGAUAGAGAAAACACACUCACUGAGAGUGAGAGAGGAGAUAGAUGAUGACGUACGCAGCCACAGCUUCAAGGCCGCUGUGUUCUUCACAAACCCAAGUGCCCAUUUCGCCAAUUGUGAAGGGCACUGCCCUCAACAGCAAUGGUAUUAUCAAUUGCCAUAGGAGAAGCAAUGGCGUCUGUGUGAUUAAGGCCAUGAAAAGCUCGUCUCCCCCACGACUGACCUUGUCGAGCAAUUGGGAUUUUCCCUCAGCUACUACUUCAGCUCCAAGGCUGCCCAGAUUCGAAGAGCUCGAUACCACCAACAUGCUUCUCCGUCAAAGAAUCAUCUUUCUGGGUUCUCAGGUUCUCUUUCUCUCUUAAUUUGGGUUUUCUUGCUUCAGCAUCGAAUAUUGUCGACAUGGGUUUUGCUGCUACUUGUGAAAUUUGGACUCUUUACUGUUUGUUGAAAGUUAAGUAGUUCAAAAUUUGGUGGGAUUACUCUGUGUGUGUGUGUUUGUGUUUCUUAUUUACAAAAGGACUAAACUUGAAAGUUAGAAGUUAGUCAUUUGAAGGGAUUACUGUGUGUUUGUUUGUGUUUCCUAAUUACUAGAAGACUUAACGUAUGAUUAGGAACGGUUGCUUUAUUUAUUUUUCUCUUCAUUUUCUGCCGGUGGGCAGGUAGAUGACAUGACAGCGGAUUUGAUCAUAAGCCAACUUCUAUUUCUAGAUGCCGAGGACCCGAAAAAGGACAUUAAAUUGUUUAUCAAUUCGCCCGGUGGUUCUGUUACUGCUGGUAUGAUUUAAAUACAUUCGGCAUGUUGGAUCCUGGCAUCUCUCCUCAAUUAUAGCUUUCUGGUUCUUAUAUAUCCUUGAUAUUUGAGAUAACAAAACAUACAAAUGAACGACAUAUUUUUAUUACAUAAUUAGGUAAAUCGAUUUUCAAUUAUAAUAUAACUUGAAGCAUUGGCAAAUUAAAUAGUAAAUGAGGAGAACGGCAUCAUGAAGCGAUGCUUUGGUAUCAAGUACAAAGGAUUGCAUGCAUAUACUGCAUUAUAUUUGCAACAUAUUGGAUGAGGAAAUGUUAAAAGGAGAGUACUGGGAGGGUAUACAGCCACUAAUGUAAAGCAAGUAAUAUAUUUGCAGGGUAUACAGCCCAAUUUGCAAAAUCAAUGACCAUGCACACACACCCUGGAACUUCCUCAAUUGAAAUAGCUAAGAAAACUUAUGAAAUGUGCAAUAGCUCAGAUUUAUACAUAAUUGGAAAUAGACAAAUUUAAUAAAAACAACAAAGACAAGUAGGUCUACCCUACUUUUAAUUAUCAAGUUGUCAUUGUUGCAUUCCAAGAGAAAUCAAAGGUACAAUUAUUGUUUUAACUAGUUUCUCAUAUACAGAGUAGAGGAAACAAAAAAUUAAAUAAAAACGAAUGGAUGAUCCAAUCACAGAGUCAAAAUUUAUCUUCAAAAGGCACACAGAUAUAUACAUCGGCUUAUACUCUUAAGGCACCAUAUAUGGCAGAAAACUUAGGAGAAACAAUUGAAACACUUUUCUAGUAGGGAAAAAAAUAAUAAUAUACUUUUGCUAGUAGAAUAGGAAAAAGAAAUCUAAACAAUUUCUUGUAGAAAACUCUAAAAUCAAAGGAACAUAAUGCAAUCACUUAACGUCUUCAUUCUGAAAGUUUAGUGAUUCGAUAGGUCUUAACAAAAAUCAAUAAUCAUUCAGAUAGCAAUCGCUACUUCUUAACUCUCUUUCAUUUUUUUCUCUUCAAAUUUUUACGAGUAGAAAAGCUUUGAGCAGAUAAAAGAGAUAAGAUACAACACAUGGUGACAGCCAAACCAUCGCACAUAGUAAAGCUCAAUCCAAGAUAAUAAUUGAAUUGAUCAACAACUACAAUUACGUAAAAUAUACAUCAAAGCUUAUUGUUCCCACUCUUUGGGUACAUUCAAACAAAUAUAUUACUUGCUUUACAUUAGUGGCUGUAUACCCUCCCAGUACUCUCCUUUUAACAUUUCCUCAUCCAAUAUGUUGCAAAUAUAAUGCAGUAUAUGCAUGCAAUCCUUUGUACUUGAUACCAAAGCAUCGCUUCAUGAUGCCGUUCUCCUCAUUUACUAUUUAAUUUGCCAAUGCUUCAAGUUAUAUUAUAAUUGAAAAUCGAUUUACCUAAUUAUGUAAUAAAAAUACUUCGAUUUUUGAGAAAGCAAUCAUGGUGGGAGAUAUUUGUUGUAAUAUAUUUCUUUCCCCCCGAUAAUACCUCUGCAAACAAGCUAUACUAGAGCAAGAAUAUCUCAUAUCAUCAGGGUUAAAAGCAAGAGUAUCCCAUAUCAUGCUUUUUCCCUGUCUUUUCCUUUGGCCUUGUUUUUACCUGCAAGACAAGGAGAAAGAGAGCAAUCAGUCAGCACUUGAAAUCAAGCUCCCAGCCAGGAACUGACAGCCUGGAACCCCUUACCUGAUUACUUACCUGGCAUUGCUCUCGAGUACUCAUCUUCAACAUCUUAUGUUGCCAGGGAAGAUACCGCAUCUGCUUGAGGAACAGAUAGGGCAAGUGCGAAGGAUACAAGGAAGCAUGUGGAGACAAGCGUAACAGCACCACGUGCCGAUCCAUCCAUUACUCUGUCAAAAGCAAAAGUAUCCCAUAUCAGCAGGGUCGAACGUACUCUAGAUUUGAUGGACUUGUUUUGACCCUCAAAUUCUUCAGUCGGCCUUAUACUUUGGAGGAAACCAGAAAACCCUCCAGCUCAGUUCAAGAAUAAGCCUGUGGAAAGUUACUUCUUCAAAAGCAAAAAAUAUCCCAUAUCAUCUCUUCUCAUUUUUUCUUCUCUUUAUCCCUUCAUGCUGCUGCAAGAUGGGGAGAAGGUGAACAAUCAGCCGGAGCUCUAAUUGCUUACCUUGUCUGUUACCUCUCUUCAGCAAAAUCCCCUAGCUCGGCGACUUGGGGGACUCCUACUACAUGGUUUGUAUCGCGCUUGACCAAGCCUGAAACUACAAGUAAGCUUCAAGUGAAAUUGAUACAUUACCUUGUGCAUCUUCACCAGUUAAAGAUACCACCCCUGGAUGGAGGAAGAGUACUUCCAGAGAGAAGCUGCCACAUCUACCUAUGAGACAGAUAAGGCAAGUCAAGAUGAUACCACACUCCGAUACUUAGAAGUUUCGUGAUUACGAGAUCAUUCUCCCACAAUAUUUCCUAAUGUCAUUUGUACUCUAAUGUCAUUUGUACUAAAUCAUUCACUUGUACUCACUAAAGGAGAGCUUGAACCUAUGUACUUGUGUAAACCCUUCACAAUUAAUGAGAACUCUUCUAUUCCGUGGACGUAGCCAAUCUGGGUGAACCACGUACAUCUUGUGUUUGCUUCCUUCCUAUCUCUAUCCAUUUAUAUACUUAUCCACACUAAUGACCGGAGCAAUUUAGCGAAGAUCACAAAAAGCGACCGUUUUCGCUACCUAGGAUCUAUCUUACAAGAGAACGGAGAAUUACAUGGAGAUCUCAACCAUAGAAUACGAGUUGGAUGGAUGAAGUGUAAGAGUGCAUCCAGCAUGUGUGUGUGACCGUCGUAGGCCACUGAAGCUCAAGGGAAAAUUUUAUAAGACGGCAAUAAGGCCAACGAUGUUGUAUGGCACAGAAUGUUGGGCGGUGAAACAUCAACACGUACACAAAAUGGGUGUAGCAGAGAUGAGGAUGCUUCGUGGGAUGUGUGGGCACAAGAAAGGAUAAGAUUGAGAAUGAGGAUAUCCGAGGUAAAGUAGGAGUAGCCGAAAAUUGAAGGAAAGAUGAGAGAAAAAUCGGUUCCGGUGAUUUGGACAUGUGCAAAGAAGGCCGACUGACGCUCCGGUUCGAAGAUGUGACUACGGGACAGAGGUUCAGGGCCGAAGGGGUAGAGGAAGACCUAGGAAAACUUUGGAAGAGACUCUAAGAAAAGGCUUAGAGUACUUGGAUCUAACGGAGGACAUGACACAAAACCGAGCGCAAUGGCGUUCUAGGAUUCAUAUAGCCGACCCCACUUAGUGGGAAAAUGCUUUGUUAUUGUUGUUGGGCAAUCUAUGAGAACUUCUAUAACUUUUUCAACACUUUGAGUCUGUAUUAUGUAUAAACUAUGAGAACUUUUAUAACUUUUUCAAUACUCAUUUUGAAUAACUUAAAGGUGUCAUGCAGUUGUGGAGCCAGAAAUUAUGUUAAGGAGGGUCAAUUUUAAGUGACUAUAGAAUUAUGAUAAAUUGAUCUUAUAAAUAAAAAUUACUUGAGAAAUGAUCAUAAUUAUCAACUUAUUUAGCAAAAAAAAUAUUCCAAGUUUCCAACCAAUGCGAAAAGCAAUCAUGCCUAUGCACCUUCGUGUGAAUUCGAACAAAAGUAAUUGGAUAGAGUAAGAUGACAUGAAAUUAAAUACCUUUUAUUUGAUUAAGAGGCAAAAAAUGAAAUUAUGAAAUUAAGUGUUGGACCCUCAACUAUGAGCAAAUUACAUCUGUGAGAAGGUUAACUAUAAAUAUAAAAGCCAAACUACAUCAAUUAGCACAUAUAAAUACAACAUGUCCAAAUUGUGAGAAGGGUCAUAUGACCCUCCUAGGCUUUAACUGGCUCCGCCAGUGAUGUGAUGGAUAAUCUUUAGUUUCUACAAAAACACUUAAACAGCACUGAUCAUGGACGGUGGAUAGUUUGUGCAGUGGAAUUGAUAUAUUGGUAUUAUGGUUUAGAACUUUUUAAAUCCAAUUCUUCCCAGUGUAAACCACCACUCGACAGGCUUUCGAAAUCUAUAGUUGUCUGAAGUACAUAGUAGAAAAGAUUUAUGUAGGUGAGCAAGGUGUCGUGAGCAUUCGGUUUGGUUGGGAAUAAGCUAAAUUUUGUUUAUCAAGUUAUAAAAAGAUGAUAGUAAAACAAGAGCUUGACAUGCUAAGGAAAUACGAAGAAAACCAAAGAUGAUUAGCGUGGGGAUAGAGUGAGUCUCUUCCUCCAAAGGCAUCUUCUAUACUCUUAUAAAAAACCAAUGCGAAGAAGAUUAGUGUAAUGGACAAAGACAAUUAGCUAGGGGAACUAGACUGGCAACAAUGAAUUAAAAAGGAAACAACAACACAAGAAACCAACAAGUACUAGUAUGGGGAGAGACACUCUAAGUUGAGUAGUAUGGGGGACAAAGAAGAUAUGUCUGGUUUGAUGUUUGAGUCCUUUUGGUAACACUGAACAAAAUUGGAGUGAUAUAUGUUUGCCAUUGGGUUUUGUUUUGAGUCCACAUGGUUCUUUUAUGUUAAAGUCCAACUCUUUAUCAAUUGUUAUGCAUUUUGAAAUUUGAAUGACAUAGAGGGCGGGAUAUUUUUGCAGAAAGGGAAAGAGUAGGGCAGAGUGCUAACUGGGUAAUGUCAAUGAAAAGAUUGAAUGAGGUUUGUUGAAAACAAAUAUAAGUAAUUGAAAUUUUAUUCUAUCUAUUUCUGCUUUUGGGAAGCAAAAUAGCUGUUCUCCCGCUUAGCCAUGCCCUCCUUUGUUAUUGUUAUACAACUUCAGUUGGAUUGAUUAUAUUUUCUUUUUAAAGUUCUCUUCCUUUUUCUUUUGUAUUCUUACCAACCUGCCCCUCCAUGUAGGAAUGGGAAUAUAUGAUGCAAUGAAAUUGUGCAAGGCAGAUGUUACAACUGUUUGCCUGGGGCUUGCUGCUUCUAUGGGGGCCUUUCUUCUUGCUGCUGGCACAAAGGGAAAGAGAUUCUGCAUGCCCAAUGCAAGAGUGAUGAUCCAUCAACCCCUUGGAACUGCCGGGGGAAAAGUAAGUGCUUGUUUUCUGCUUAUUGUUGUGGAUGUCCAUAUAAAAUUUCUUAAGGUGUUUUUAGUAUUGUUUGUUUACCAUAGUGUUUUCAUUGUUUUUGUAAAUAUGCUUGUUCACUGAUACCAAUAUCUUUAUCCUUGGUUCUAUUGCAUGUAUUUAUAUUGAUGCUGUCGUGUCUUUCUAUUAGUAAGUUAUAGAUUACCAUUUAUUGUGUAUCAUGUAUUUACAAACUUAGUUCCCCCCAAGCCUGUCUGUCUAUGGUUUAAGGCAUGGCAUAUUGGCGCUGUCCUCUGUUUCUGUUACUAAGUUAUAGACGACCAUUAUUGUUUAAGAUUGUAUUUACAAACUUAGCUCACCCGGCCUGAUAGUCUCUGAUUCUUUCACAACAUUAUUGCGACAAUUUGACUUUUGGAAGAAUCUAAGUUCGCUUUUGAUUAUAAAUUUGACUUAUAUUUUUCAGUUUAUAUAGUAAUAGAGGAUUACCCAUUGCACGGGGAACACCAUUUUUGAGUUACAUAAUUUCGAUGAACUGUAAAGGAUAAAUCAAAUUAAAUUAAAAUCUCUCAAGGAGGAGUCAAACAACAAACUCCCUUCCAACUAGAUCCCAGAGAAAGAUCACUCCAAGAUUCUGGCAACUAGCUAUUCUCCACUUUCUAGAAUUUCCACAAUCCAUGCCUUCUAUAUGGUUGGCAUUUCUCAUGCUGUUGUGGCUUUGAUAUAGUUUUUAGUAAUGUAUCAUUUGACUAGUAAAGUUCUCGUGCUUGAGAAUAAGCUAUCAGUUGUUCCUCAACAAGCUCUCUCAGGUUCUGCAGUUCAGAAGGUCAAGUCCUUAAUACAUGACCUUUUGUUAGAUUGUUGUGAGCCUCUGGAAUUGUGAGUGGUGAGCCCUCACUUUGCAAUCACAGUGAUCCAGAACUUUGACUUGGGCAGCCCUGUGGUACUGUGAUGAAUAGUUUAUGAUGCUAAUUUAUUGUCCUAAUAAAGGCUGAUCACUACCGUCAUUAAUAUCAUUUAUAAGUAAAAUAAGUUGGUUGACUUUCCUCUGCCAUAGAAAAGUCUGCAGUGAAGUCAUUUAAGGCGAUCAACUUCAUAGGAAGGUGGAAUGAUGCAGAUAUAUUCUUAAGAUUGUGCACCUCACCAGUUCUAUUCAGCCUUGUCACAACAGAAAGGUUGCUCUUUUGUGACUGAAAGGUCAUGGGUUCGAGUCGUGGAAAUAGCCUCUUUGGAAGGCAAGGGUAAGGCUGCGUACUAUUAACGUUCCUCUCACCCCCUGCUCCUCUUUAGCAAAGCAGGGAGCCUUGUUGGCUUGGGGUUGGGGGUGUCCUUUAUAUUUAUAGCAAUGGCUAAACAUUUUGUACACAACUUUAACAUACUGACGCAUGCAUUUUUAUGCGAUGGAGGAUUUCAAUCAUCUCCUUUUAUCCAUUUCUACCUGGCUAGAACACAUACAUGUUGGUUGAAUAUGAUAGAUAGUUCUUUUCGUUUACAAGGCUAAUGCAUUUGUUGGUGAUUCAUGAUUUUAUCCUGCAACUUUUACAUGUGAAUUCAGGCAACAGAAAUGGGUAUUCGGAUUAGAGAAAUGGUGUACCACAAGAUUAAAUUGAACAAAAUAUUCUCAAGAAUCACGGGGAAGCCUUUGGAGCAGGUCAGGCUUCAAAUUAGAUUUCUUCCAUAGUAAAUAUUCUGUGAGGGUCUCUUUUCCGUUUUUGAAUUCUUUGUUGGUGCAGAUUGAAGAGGACACGGACCGUGAUAAUUUCAUGAAUCCUUGGGAAGCUAGGGAUUAUGGGUUGAUUGAUGUCGUUAUCGAUGAUGGAAAGCCAGGCUUAGUUGCACCCGUUGGAGAUUUCACACCUCCACCCAGAACACGAGUCUGGGAUCAGUGGAAAGUUGAAGGGAGCAAGAAAUCGAGAAAGAGCUUGCCCGCAGAACAAAGGAUUUCUGACACUGAAAGAGGGGCCGAUAGGUUAAAGGAAGCACCCACUGCUAUAUGAGGCAUUGCGGUAGACUGAUCUUCUGCUUUUUUACCUUUGGUUUAUUUUGAUUAUGUUGUACUCCUCACCUCAUAAUCUUGUAAAUCAUUUGUCCAAAUAGUGAAAGUAGAUUAUUCAAGAUCUGCUCGGAGAUUAUUCCCCGUCCGUAAGCACACAUUUAAAUGUUCAACAGAGUUUGCUUCUCCGCUCUUUAUCUUUUCGAUAGUGUAUACUCCUCGUUUGUGGUUGAAUUUACAGAACAAAUUACAGUUUGACAAGCGGAUGAGUUUUUCUUUAGCUCUCUUUUGGUUGAAUUCUUUUUAAGUGACUUUAGUGUAUGAGUAGUCAGCUUAUGAUUUGUUGUUAAGUAGUUGUGAGGAGCCGAGCAAUAAGGAGCCAAAAGUUCGGCCUCCGGAACUUUACCAACAAGAAGAUUGAUAGCAAGACCUUUCAUGCAACACCAAGACCAAGUUGCACUUGUGCUGCCAUAUGUGAUAACUCAAACGAACCUACAACAUGAAAAUGCCCGUUCUUCGAUCCAACUUACAUGGUUGAUUACUUUGGAAUUUGGGCUUUGAGCUAAAACCUACAAAAUAUAAUGUGAGUAGUGUGUGGUAACUAACUGGUACAAUAAGAAAUUACAUACUUUACAUUGGUAACUUGACAAAUCCUUGUUUCGAUACGAAAACCAAAUAACAGCGUUAGGAUAAACAAGAUUCUAACGCUCCUAAUUUAACGUUUGGUACUCCUUUUUUAAGUGCCGAUAUAUAGUGAAACAUUCGGUUGCAGGUUACUAAUAAGAGAGUGCUAGAAUUGCUACCCUAAAAAAAUUCUCUCAUUAAGUCUUACUUUACAUGAAUUGUUAUUGACAUCUCAUAAAGGUUGAUCACUUGUUUCAAAAUUGAAAAUUCACAAUAGAAAAUUUGUGUACGAAAAGAGCAAAAUGACUUUUUCAAAGUGCAAACAACAAUAGACGGAAAGUAACAAAGUUCAAAUUUGCUUGAGUUGUUAAGAGCCUGUUUGGUACUCUACUUGAAUCCAACUUUUUAAAUUCAGAAACAAUUUUCAAGUUUUAGGCCUUAAAAACUUGUUUGGUAUGACUAUUUUCAAAAACUGAACUCAAGACUAACUCAAAAAUAUAGUCUAUUAUCUAAAAACACAAAAAGUGAGUUUUUACAGUUUUUAAACUUAAACUCACUCAUUUCUUUCCUUUCCCUCCUCCCCUCUUACUCCAAAUCUAUCUUUUUUUUUCUUUCUCUCUCCCCCUUCUCUUUUUUUUUUUACUUUUUUCGUCUCUCCUCCAAUCUGUUCUCUUUAUUCUCUCAGUUCUUUCUCUCACUUCUCUUCCUCUCUAUCUCCUCCGAUCUUCUUACUUCUUUCUCUUUCAUCAAAUCAUCUCUUACUUUCUUUCCUCCUCUCUCUCCUCUUUCUCUCUCGACCCCCUUUUUAUGGAUUUUUUUGUCUAGUUUAAGUUGUAAGAUUUAAAAAUUUUAAAUCGCAUACCAAAAAAGUUUUUGAGUCUUAAAGAAAAUUAUUUUCAAAAAAAAUUUUUAAAAUUUUUUUUCAAAUAGGAUACCAAACAAGCCCUAAAAUUCUCCCCCAUCAAUCACAUUGUCUUCAUUGGGCCUUUUUCUUUCAUGGUCCAGGCCCGGAUCCAUUUAAAUAAUAAAAAGUUAAAAAAAAAAGAAAAAAAAGCUGGAUAUCAAAAUAAAGGCACUGUUCUUGGCGCCAAAACAUCCGAUAAAUCCGCAGUUCCGUUUUCGAAAAAAACAUUUCCCUCUCUCGCAUUCAUACCUCACAAUUAAUCACAUUCCAAUUUCGUCAAACAAACCCAGAAAACGGUGUCGUAAUCGUAACGCCACCACAUUUCUCUCUCUCUCUCUCUCUCUCUCUCUCUCUCUCUCUCUAGGGUGUGCUCGUCCCCUUUCUCCUCCAAUUCUCAAGUGCUGCUACUACUCGAAUCUUGAAAACGACGCCGCUUCAAUCCUAACGUGUCGUCACUCGCCAUGACCACGAAGCCCUCGUCCGUCUCUCCCUCCCGCACCACCUGCGCUUCUCUCCUCCGCGAAUUGCAGGUUCCAUUUCUCUUUCUCUCUCGCUCGCUGGUCUUCUUUUCGUUUCGUUUUCCAGGUGAAUUUCGCUAUUUUCGGCGGCGGAAGAUGAAAGGGUUUAAUUGGGAUUUUUCGGAUUUUGAAUUUUUUCAGAUAAUUUGGGAUGAAAUUGGGGAGAGUGACGAUCAGAGGGACAAGAUGCUUCUACAGCUUGAGCAAGAGUGUCUCGAUAUUUACCGGAAGAAGGUUGAAAUGACCAGGAAGCACAGUGCCGAAUUGCACCAGUACUUAGCGGACAGCCAAGCCCAGAUCAAGGCCCUUGCUUUGGCCCUUGGAGAAGUUGACUCCUUUUCUUGCGGAAGAGGAACUCUCAAAGAUCAAUUGUCUGCCCUCAAACCUGUUCUGGACGAAUUGACCUUGAAGAAGGAGAAAAGGGUCAAGGAGUUUUCAGCAGUUCUGUCCCAGAUUGCAAGGAUUUCGGCUGAAAUAGCUGGGACUGGCGUGUCUGGGAAUGUGGAUGAUCCAGGACUUGACGAGCGCGAUUUGAGUGUGAAGAGGUUGCGGGAGCUUCAGUCGCAUCUUGAGGAGCUUCAAAGAGAGAAGGUACUAGUUGGGGUUCUGUUUUUGGCUCACCGAUAGUCUUCAAUUUAAUUCGGGUUCUGAAUUUCUCUUGUGUUUGCAAUUGGGUUUUUCUGGAUCCUUUGUGCAGGUUUUGCGUCUAGAGAGAGUAAGUGCUAAUGUAAACAUCAUCCAUGAACUCUCGGUUGUAAUGUCAAUUGAUUUCUGUAAGACAAUCAACAAAGUUCACCCAAGCUUGACGGAUCAGUCCUCUGCUCAGUCCAGGAGCAUCAGUAAUGAUACUCUUGCCAGAUUGACGACUUUGACUGAUUCAUUAAAGCAAGAGAAACAACAAAGACUGCAAAAGGUAACUCAUUAUUGAUCUCUUUUUUCUGUCACUAACUAUUUGAUACAUAAGGUGACCUGCAUGAAUUGGCAAUGUAUUAUUACUUAUUUGAAUUAGUCUGUAAAACUCCGCACUUUAAUUUCCCAGUACUUACACGGAAGUUAACUCUGUUACACUUCCAUUUUUUUCGACAUUCUUCUUACUCAAUUGGUAUAUGUUUUGUUGUAGCUGCAAUAUCUUGGGAGCAAACUGAUAGAACUGUGGAAUCUGAUUGAGACACCAAUUGAUGAACAGAAGAGAUUUGACCAUGUUACGAGCAUAAUUUCUUCCUCAGUUGAUGAGGUGUCUAGGCAAGGAUGCCUUUCCCUAGAUGUCAUUGAACAGGUGCUAAUUAUCAUCUCCAGUUUAUCUUAGAAUUUCGUUGUGCUGUAAUUUUAAUGACUAACUGGAAAUUCACUGUUUCUAGACUGAGGUUGAAGUUGAGAGGUUGAAUGUUUUGAAAGCCAGCAAGAUGAAGGAGUUGGUAUUCAAGAGGCAAAGUGAGCUGGAAGAAAUUUACAGAGGGGUCCACAUGGAUGUAGAUAGUGAUUCAGCUAGAGAGAUCCUCAGCAGUCUCAUAGAUUCUGGUCUUAACAACCUUCUAUAAUCUUGGUCCCUUGUUUAUAGCUCUAAAAUAAACUUUUCAAUUAUGAUGGUGAAAUAUGAUUGCAUAUGGAUUUACAGGUAGUGUUGGUUUGUCUGAACUGCUUUCAAGCAUGGAUGAUCAGAUUCUAAAGGCCAAAGAGCAAGCCCUAAGCAGGAAGGAUAUUUUGGACAAGGUAGAGAAGUGCAAGUUUGCAUCUGAGGAGGAAAAGUGGCUUGAUGAGUAUGAAAAGGUAAAAGUAUAAAGUAACAGUUUACAUUUUGUUCAGAACUAUUAUUUUCAACGGUCUAUAUAACAUGUUGGUCAAGUGACUAAACGAGUAAAGACUAAGAGUGAUCAUAUUUGGUAUUUUGGGUUAAUCAUAUGCAUAGACCACAUAGAGUGGGAUGGAAGAGAAAUUACCUGUAGAUUUGUGGUGGCUUGAGGGUUGAAGUGGAGAUCUGGUUUUAGAGAAUCAUCUGGUCAACAAUACCGAUAAGGUUGGAAAACUAUAGAAUAGAAUUUCUUGAGCUAUAAUUUUUUAGUACAUCUAUUGUGUAUCUAAGAAACAUGUUGGUGGAAUAGGUUUAGACAAGUUGUGAACGGAUGAGAAGCGAUUCCAUUUAUUUAGAAGUUAAGAAAAAAAUAACAAAGUUUCAACCAAGCUAACAUGGUAUUGUGGCUAAUGAUAUGAUUCGUGUUAAACAAGCAAUUGUUAAGGGAAGCCUGAAAAUGAGUAGGGUAGUGGUAGUAGUAAUGAUGAAGGGCAUUCCACAUUGAAGAGGUAACAAAACAUGGUCUUAGAAAGGUUCAAUACAUCGACAAUUUUGCUUGGGGCUAAGUCCCUGAUCAUGUUUGACUUCCUUUAUAGCAUAUUGGAGCUUAUUCAGGAAGAAAUAAGAAAUUUUCUUUAUGUUGAAUUUUCUAUUCUUUUUUCUUUCAGGAUGAAAAUCGCUACAGUGCAGGAAGAGGAGCACACAAAAAUUUAAAGCGUGCUGAGAAAGCCCGGAUUCUGGCUGGAAAAAUACCAUGUGAGCACUUAAUCGUGUUUUAGAGCAGUUUGGAUCUCGUAUAAUAAUACUUGUUAGACAAAUGUGUUUUCACUUUUAUCGGUGUACUUUGUUCUCUAUGCCCUGAAGAUGCUUAUCUGACCUUAUUUUUUUUACAUAACUUUAUUGGCCUACUUAGGGUCUUGGAUCAUAUAUAAGAAGUAAUGAAUACUUUGACUUCCUAAUGACUCACUCCAGAAUUUUGGUAUUACUGUUUAUUUGUAGCAUAACCGCAUUUGAAUUUGUUUGAAAGUAUUUUUUGUAUAAUUUCUUUGGCAUUUUUUAUAUCCUUCUGUAUUUUUAUUUCUAUACUUAAGGUGCAUUGUUUAUUUAUCUGUUCAGUUGACUUGAUAAUCAUCAUACCUCAUAGUUUGUGCAUAGAAUUCAUGGUGAGUAUACUUGUUCGUUUAAAAAAAAAAAAAAAAACUCACUUUAUGACCUGCGGAGAAGCAAAAUUAAGGAAAAGAAUUCAUGCUUGCUUGUAUUCACAAAUUAUCAUUCACUGUGAGGUGAAAAAUGUGUAGCUGUUUUUCACUCCAGCGAUCUUGUUCUUCUCGACUGAAAACCUUGGUUCAUAUCUCUUGAAAUUUCUACACUUUGAAGAAACAAAUCAUACUUCUCAGACCUGGUUUUGUGGGGAAGCAACCAACUAGACACUCUUUAUUCUGUUCUCCUAAAUUUCCAGAAAGAAGAGAAAUUUUGUGCUACUUGCAACUCCAAGUUCGAGAGCGGGAUCUAUUUGGGUUUGAGUGACGUUAAUUGUUGCUAAAACUGGAUCUGAAAGUCACUUUUGUUUGUUUGAGGCUUCGAGCAUAAAAUAUUUAAAGACGCACUUUUGUUUGGUUAUGGAACUACAAUUUCAUGAAACUGAAAUUAUAUUGAAAUGAAGUUCAAUGUGCCUGCAGUGCCUGGUUCUCUUUCUGUGUUUAUUACAUGUAGUCUUGUUUGUGAUUAUUGGAAGUUUAUUUAUUGACAACAAAUACUUCUUUUACUAGCUAUCAUCGAAAAUUUGACUGCCAAAGUUAAAGCCUGGGAGAUUGAGAAAGGAAUCCCCUUCUUAUAUGACAAGGUAAUCAAAUAUGGUUUAUUAGAUGUUUUUGUUUUUAGAAGUUCUAUGUUAUCUUAAUCUGCUGUGCUUAGUCCAACAACUAGAUGAAUUUCAGGUUCCUCUGUUACAUACGUUGGAGGAGUACACUGCACAACGACAGGAGAGAGAGGAGGAGAAGCGUAAAUCUCGGGUAUGCCUGGACUUGCUACUUUUACUCCACCAUUAGCUAAUAUGCAGAUGAAACACCUUGCCAUCCAGACUUUCAUUAUUUCUGCAAUGCAAAUAAUGUCCACUGCCCAUCUUCUGAUCCUAUAGUUUAAUCUGUUGCAUAAAAUGCUAAAUGUACCGUAAUUGCUACUGGGAAAGUAGAUAUAAUCUCAUUUUUCUGUGUCAAUUUGGCGACUUUAGUCUCUUCAUAUCUGUGUUUCUGUCAUGACUCCUGGAUAUGAUCGAUCAUCUUGAUAACAAUUCAUCUAUUGCCAACUGUGUACCUAAUUGCUAUGCAUGCUAUUGCUAUUUAUCACCAUUCAUUCCGCAAAUGCAUUGUUUCUGCUGCUCUAAUGGAUUGUGCGAAACAUGUCAAUCGAAAUUAGGAGAAAAAGCUAAUAACGAUUUGGCCUAUGGUUAAUUUUUACAGGAGCAAAAACGGCUUCAAGAACAACAUAAUGCAGAACAGGAGGCAAUCUUUGGUUCAAGGCCUUCUACAAAGAAGCCAUUGGGACAGAACACAAGUGCUAACACCAUGGUUGGCACACCAAUCAAUCGCCGCACACCUUUAGGCCGUCAUGGAGUCUCAGCUGGAAAGGAACGCAAGGAAAGCGGAAGGGCACAUAACGUAACGCCCAUUAACUACGUUGCUCUUCCCAAGGAUGAUUCAGUAUCUCGGAGAAACUGAAGAGCACAUAUCUUGCUUUUUAAUAGCUUGUAAAUGAUUUUUUCUUUUCUUCCAUUCGCUACAUGUCGACAAUGUUAUCGAAAGGAUCUUGAAUAAUAGUGUCAUUGUUCUUACUAGGUUUUGUGGCUUGAUUUACAUCCCCAAUAGAUCGGACGAGAUUGACUACAAUACUUACAUGUAUUAAAUACAAUCACCAUCUAACGGUCAAAUAUAAUUUAUAUGAAUAUGUGUUUAAUAUAAUCACCAUCUGAUUGUCGAGAUGCUAAUUGUAUCAAAUACAUGAUUGUAGCCAAAUCUCACAUGUGACAUACCAAAGGAAAUUAACAAAAUAUGGAGAUGGUAAUUUGAGAUUAAAUGCUAACAUAAUGUGGAGGCAAAGUUUAAACAUCAAACCAAAUGCACAACCUAAUUAUUUGAGCGAUAUUCUAAUCUAUUCUAAACUAUGAUUAGAAAGUGUUCGGACUUAAAUACAAGAAGGGUAGCACGUACAUUUCUCUACCUAGCUUGAUUGAGCCCAUGUUUGCAAUGUAUAAGAACAACCUAUAAUUAUUGUUCAAAUAUGUACACAAGUAUUUAGUGAAGUAUAAAAUCAAUAAAGAGAAGUAAUGAAUAUUACAUCAUAAAGUGACUUUGUUGUGUGCAAGAGACAUGGGUUUAGGGGUCACUCGAACAUGCAUUUUAGGACAUCGUGUGUAUAAACACUCUUAAGUAAUUGUGCUACAAGUCUCUUGCAUCGUGACUUCAAUAUUUUUUUGUUUUUUGCAACUAUGAAUGACCAUUCGUGCGGGUUUGACAGCAUAUGUGGUGCGAGGUUUUACUAUCGUGGAGGUAGAGACAGAUGCAAAGGCAGUGGCAUAUGUGGGGAGACUACGGAGAUGUUGGUAGAAGGAAUUGUUCAUGACAUUCGUGUGCUGGGUUUCUGUUUGUAGUCCAUUGUAUUUAGGUUCACCUCGAAAGUGUAACAAAGCCGCCCAUGAGGUGGCUUCUUAGGUUUUUAAAGUCUUUCAUUGGGAUGAUUGAGAGUCAAUUUUGUUGUAAAUGUUGAUGUUAAUAAGGCUCGUUUUAAAGUGUUUUAAGAAUGACAGAAAGUGUUUUUGAUGAUAAUAAUUUUAAAACAAAAAAGUACUUAACAUGCUUUUGGAACUCAAAAUCAAUUUCACCAAAGUAAUUGAGCUACAAGUCUCUUGCAUCGUGACUUCAAUAUUUUUUUGUUUUUUUGCAACUAUGAAUGACCAUUCGUGCGGGUUUGACAGCAUAUGUGGUGCGAGGUUUUACUAUUGUGGAGGUAGAGACAGAUGCAAAGGCAGUGACAUAUGUGGGGAGACUACGGAGAUGUUGGUAGAGGGAAUUGUUCGUGACAUUCGUGUGCUAGGUUUCUGUUUGUAGUCCAUUGUAUUUAGGUUCACCUCGAAAGUGUAACAAAGCCGCCCAUGAGGUGGCUUCUUAGGUUUUUAAAGUCUUUCAUUGGGAUGAUUGAGAGUCAAUUUUGUUGUAAAUGUUGAUGUUAAUUGUUGGAACAAAUAUGUUUUUAUUUAAAUAUUUAAAUAUAUUUAUGUUUUGUUUUACUACCAAUAUUAUAUACACAACAUUUUGCUUUAUUAUCAAUAUUAAAAGUCAAAUUAAUUUUGGCUUAAGGAGUUAUGCAAUCAAACCGUUUUGUUUUUAUUUCCGGUUUGAAUUUAUUCAUGUUUUGAUUUUGUCCCGUUGUGGCUUUUAUGAUUUGUCCGUUUUGAUUUGCAACGGUUUUGCAACCCCAAUUACCCCCUCAACGUCUCUUUAUAUACAUAAUAUAUAUAUACAUAAUAUAUAUAUACAUAAUAUAUAUAUAUAUAUACUUGUUAUGCGAAGGUUCUGUAGCUAACAGAGUAAGAAAAAAUAGUUUUACAUAUUAAUUUAAAAAGCAACAUAUCGAAAAGGUUUAGUUCGAAGGUUCUUCCGGUGGGCAAGGAAGAAUCUUAUUAGAAGAAGGUUCUGGGCUGUUUUAUCCUGGGGACGACGUGGUGUUUGUGAAUUGCUUGCACACUUUGGGCAGAGCCGCGAAACGUCUUAAAGAGAGCGACUUAGUCCGCGACUCAUCCCAAGAAUCAUUCACCACUCAAGGCUUUUACAUUUUUUCGGGUAACUUCGUUCCUUUCUAUUUCAGCUUACAACAUUAAUAAAGCUUGUUUUAAAGUGUUUUUAGAAUGACAGAAAAUGUUUUUGAUGAUAAUAUUUUUAAAACAAAAAAGCACUUAACAUACUUUUGGAACUCAAAAUCAAUUUCACCAAAGCGCUUUCAGUCAUUUAAAAACACUUUCAAAUAGUGUAUCUAUCCAUAUAUGAUAUUAAUGAGUCGGUUUAUAAUUUGGAAAACAAAUAUAUUAUAUAAUGGAAGUGUGGCUGAUGUGCUAAAUUGCGCAUGCAUAUAUUUUCCAAGAAAUAUAAAUAUUUUUCAGUUGUUCUGUUGAAUUGCAUACUACAUUUCCUCACAUGGACACUAAAUGCACAAACCAUAUCAGCACAAAAGAAAAGAAAAUUAAAUUUGAUUAGUUCAACCAAAAUGUUUCAAAUUCCUCUCGUGAAGUUCAAUAAGCUAAAUCUACGAUCCUUUGAUUAAUUAGACAAUUACACAGCUGCAUUUUUGAGUUUUCACAAUUAACAUUGCAAUGACGCUACAUGAUAAAGAUAAUAGAAGACAACUUUUUAGAUGUUUACAAAAAUAAAGAGCUAGGUUCUUACUGUAGAAGUUUGCAGUACUGUAAAUGGUUUUAUAUCAUUGUUUUCUCCAACUAAAAUUUGAACAUUGUAAUGAACAACUAUCAGUAUCUUUACAAUCAACAAAAUAACUCUAAAUUUCCACGUGAAAAACAAAAGGAAAAAUAAUUGAACAGAUACAAACGUGUUACUUGUAUGAAAUAAGUUUCUUAAUUAAAUUUUUAACUUCGAAUUGUAUCCUCACAAAAGAUUAAUGUUGAAAUUGAAAAAACUAGAAUUAUAUUUUCGUUAUCUAAACCAAUCCAGAAGAAGUAAUUAACUCUUAUUCCUCUCAUUUUUUUAAUUUUCUAACCUUUGGACAGAACUUUAAAUGUGGCAUAUUUCCAUUUAAAAGCGAAAUACAUCUUAGCAGAGCAAACUGAAGAAGAGGAUUCCAGAUUAGAAGUGAGAAGUGUAGAUUAUAUUUAAGUUUUUAAUAUUUAGUUACUUUCCUUUUUUAUUUUUGCAGUAUACAACUUGGAAGUUUUUAAUUAGUAUUUUGAAGUUUGGUACAUUUGGAUGAUGGAAAGAGUUUAACGGAACCCACGAGGCCAAUAAGUAUUUGCUACAGAUUUUGCCUUUAGAACAAACUUUAGUUUAUGCUAGUUGUCUUAUUAGUGGGUUCUAAAUACUAUAUUCGUUUACCCUUUAGUGCCUCUCCUCCUAAUUAUUUAUGGAAUUCAACCAACACAAAGUUUCUCCAGCUAAUCAAUUAUUUUCUUAAUAUUUCAAUAUAUAUGAACUCCUAAGAUUGAUGGAAACAUGAAUUUGACACGUAUAUAAAUUUGAAAACAGCAUUGAAAGAAACACUUUUUUUGUUUGUGGCCAACGAAAUGAAUAAAUCAAACGAAAACGAUAGGUAAGAUUAAACAAUAGUGUGUAACAAAAUAAAAAAAAGAGGCAGGUUUAUUCUUUCCCGUUUGAAAAUGAGAAACAGCAAUCGAAUAGCAUAUAUACAAGUUAAGUAGAAGGGCAGCUAGUGGAAAUAAUUUAAACAGAUUUGGUUUGAUGAAUGUUGAGUGUCUCCAUGAUACUCAACAACAGUGACAACUACAAAAAGCAGUACACGGCAGAUACAACUUGUAUGUGGAGAAUCAAUGAUUGUUCUUGCAUAUGAUUAAGCAACAACUAGUGCUUGCCAUGCAGAUAUUACGCUUGUAAUUAUAUUAAUUAAACUCACAAAAUUGACAUUUUUGUUGACAUUAUAUGGAGUAUGUGUCAUCAAAUAUAUUAAUUUUGUACAUCUAAAUAACAUAAUUUUUAACUAAUUGAUACGUUCCAUUAAGGUAAAGAGUUAUUAUUGAGUCUUUUUGUUUUGUUUCUGGCUUUGUUCAUGAUUAUAGUUGAUGAGUAGGAUCAGCACUACAACAUGAUGUUCCCAGUUUGGUUCUCAAUCUCCGAAAGGGAGGACUGGCGUGCCAAAGCCGCCAACUGAUCCCUUUUAAAAAAAAAAAAUUAAAACAAGAAAGAAUUGUUGGAGAGUUGACCUUUGUAAUUAGCUUAGUUACCUGUUUGAGUCAUUGUAAUCAGGAUGUAAUUAGGAUAGAUAUUAUUUGGUGUUUCGUUCCUUGGAAAUCAAUCUUGUACAAUAUAUAUUUCCCUCCUUGGUAAGAAGAAUAACAUCAGAAAAUUAACCCCCAAAAUAAGCCCUAAUUAGCAUGGUAUCAGAGCAGAUAUCCUAGGAUUUCUGCUCUGCCCGUUCCCUCAAGCAAACUCGGCCCUCCCAUGGAGAACCUACCACCACUCCACGAUGGAAACAAUUUCAUCCUAACCGAUCCCACCCCUAUACUAAACACUACAACCUUAAACACUACUACCCUAACUGACCCUACCAUGAAUCCUCCUAUUUCGAGUUCUUCAGACAUGCCUCCGGAGUCCUCAGGUAAUUGUGGUUAUACUUUUAAUAUGAAUAAUUGUCAUACUCAGUUUGGUUGGAUCAUUGACUUCGGUGCCACAGACCAUAUGAUAUGACCUAUGACCUCACUGAUUUAGCUUGUGAUAUUGUUCCACUUCGACGAAAUAUUACUAAUGCUAAUGGUGUCACCUCACCAGUAAUUGGCGUUGGCACUGUACACCUCACGACUACCCUCUCUUUGCCGCAUACACUACUUGUACCUUCACUAAAGCAUAAAUUGAUGUCUCUUGGCCAAGCUACUGAGCAAUUGAACUGUUGUGUACUAUUGUAUCCAAAGUUUUGUCUUAUUCAGGAUAUUCUCACCAAGGAGAUAAUUGGAUGUGGUACUAAGAGGGGGGAUCUCUAUUUUAUGGACGAUGUCAGUACAUGACGAGUCAAUCUCGCCCAAGGAGCCGUUGAUCACAAAAGGUGUCAGAUAUGGUUAUGGCAUCGUCGUUUGGGUCAUCCGUCUUUCAGUUAUUUACAGCAUAUGUUUCCGGAUUUAUUUGUUGGUUGUUCGGUUUUAGACUUUAAAUGUGAUACUUGCGUACUUGCCAAGAGUCAUCGUGUUUCUUAUCCGUUGAAUUCUAAUAAAAGUGCUAUUCCUUUUGGUCUUGUUCAUUCGGAUGUUUGGGGACCAUGUCCGAUUACUACUUCAUCUGGCAUUAGGUGGUUUGUAACGUUCAUAGAUGAUUGCACACGGAUGACAUGGUUAUACCUUCUUAAGCAUAAAAGUGAUGUGUUUCUAGUGUUUAAGACAUUCCACACCAUGGUUCAAACACAAUUUUCUACUAAAAUCCAGAUUUUGCGUUUUGAUAAUGGUGGUGAAUAUGUUAAUAAUGAUUUUACACAUUAUUUAACUAAUCACAGAAUACUUCACUAGACUACUUGUCCUCAGACUCCUCAACAUAAUGGGGUGGUUGAGCUCAAAAAUCGCCAUAUAUUAGAAACAGCUCGAUCGCUAUUGAUUGGGGCGAAUGUUCCCCGCUCCUCUGGGGAUGUUGCUCUUCAGACUGCCACUUACCUUAUCAACCGCAUGCCAUCCAAAGUAUUGAAUUUUCUUACACUUUUGCAAGUUCUUGCUACAUUCAUGCCUUUACCGUAUGUUUUGGUGCUCCCACCACGAGUUUUUGGAUGUGUUGCCUUUGUUCAUCUACAUAAAAAUCAACGGACAAAACUUGACCCAUGUGCUCUCUGUUGCGUUUUCAUAGAGUAUGGACUACAUCAGAAAGGGUACUGUUGCUACCACCCUCCUUCAUGUCAGAUGUAUACUAACAUGGAUGUUACUUUUUCUGAGUCUGAGAUGUAUUACUCUCUGGCUUAUUCUAACCAUCAGCUUCAGGAGGAGACACUGCAUGACGAGCAGGUUUGGACCAUGACUGCUACCACUGAUCUUUCGCUGCCACUAUUAGCCGAGCCAGUAGCCAAGCCCACAAUGGCUGAGUUGCCAGCCCAGCCAACAGAAGCAACAUUGUUGCCCACAGAACCAGCGGCAGGCACGGCAACAGUGCUGCCACUUGUCAAUCUUGAGGCUUCUACUAAUACUACUCCCUCUUGUCUCAGAAUAUAAUAUCGCCAGAUAACCAUACUCCAGAGAAUAUUCCUGAGGUAAGAUAUACUAUCCCUAUUGAUGUAUCCGAUGUUCCGAGUUAUCAGUUACCUUUCAGGCACAACCGGGGAAAGCCACCCAAUCGAUAUUCACCGGAAACAACGAAAGGCUCUAAAUAUCCCAUUGCCAACUAUGUGUCAUCAUAUAAAUUAUCAGAACCAGCAAAGCUUUUGUACAACAAAUAUCCAAUGAUAGCACACCAAGUUCAUUGAAGGAGGCAUUAUCUGAUGAUUGAUGGACCAAGGCAAUGGAGGAAGAAAUGGAUGCACUUCAGAAAAAUCAAACAUGGGAUUUAGUUUUGCUACCCCGAGGAAAGAAGAGAGUGGGAUGUCGAUGGGUGUACACCAUCAAGUACAAAGCUGAUGGGUCAAUUGAAUGUACAAAGCAUGAUUGGUGGCCAAGGGAUACACUCAGACGUAUAAUGUUGAUUAUACAGAAACAUUUGCUCCGGUAGCAAAGAUUAAUACGGUAAGAGUGUUACUUUUGUUGGCGGCUAACUUGGAUUGGCCAUUACAGCAAUUUGGUGUGAAAAAUGCUUUCUUACAUGGUAAUCUUAAAGAAGAAGUGUAGAUGGAUAUUCCACCUGGUUAUUCAUCGGUUUCACAACCCGUAAUGGUGUGUAAGUUGAAUAAGGCAUUGUAUGGAUUGAAACAAUCCCCUCGGGCAUGGCUUGGUAGAUUCUGGACGGCUAUGUGGAAGUAUGGGUUCAGACAGAGCAAUUCCAAUCAUACACUUUUCUUGAAACGUCGAAUGGGUAAAUUGACGGCACUUAUUAUUUAUGUGGAUGAUAUGAUUGUUACGGGUGAUGAUAAAGAUGAAAUCUCAAGCCUGAAAGAUUACUUAGCAACCGAGUUCGAGAUGAAAGAUCUUGGUGGAUUGAAAUAUUUCUUGGGUAUAGAAGUAGCUCGAUCUAAACAGGGUAUAUUUCUAUCUCAAAAAAGAUAUGUUCUUGACUUGUUAGCCGAAACCGGAAUGCUUGAUAGUAAAUCGGUUGACACCCCUAUAGUCCAAAAUCACCAUCUUGUCGUGCACCCUGAUCAAGUUCCCACUAACCAAGAUCGUUAUCAAAGGUUAGUUGAGAGGUUAAUUUAUUUAUCUCAUACCAGGCUUGAUAUUGCAUAUGCAGUAAGUGUUGUUAGUCAAUUUAUGCAUUCCUGAGUGAUACGCAUAUGGGUGCGGUUGACCGCAUUCUACGAUACCUAAAGUCCGCCCCGGGUAGAGGCAUCAUGUUUUCUAAGAAUGGUCAUUGCAGGAUAGAAGGUUAUACCGAUGCAAAUUGGGCAGGGAAUGUGGUCCACAUCGGGUUACUUUACAUUUGUGGGGGGAAAUUUAGUGACUUGGCAGAGUAAUAAAUAGAAAGUGGUUGCUUUAUCAAGUGCAGAGGCGGAAUACAGAGGUAUGGCAAAAGGACUAUGUGAAUUAUUAUGGCUUCAGAGGUUACUCGAAGAACUCGGGUGUCCUUCAAUGUCGGCUUCUAAUUUGUUUUGUGAUAAUAUAGCAGCGAUUGAUAUCUCAUAUAACCCAAUCCAGCAUGAUCGCACGAAACAUGUGGAAGUUGAUAGACACUUCAUUAAGAAGAAGUUGGAUGGGAAUAUUAUUCAAUUCUAGUUUGUAAAGUCAGAGGAUCAAUUAGCGGACAUCUUAACUAAAGCUGUUGCUAGUCAAGCGGUCUACAACUCUCUCGUCAAGUUUGGCAUGAACGACAUUUAUGCACCAACUUGAGGGGGAGUGUUGGAGAGUUGACCUUUGUAAUUAGCUUAGUUACCUGUUUAAGUCCUUGUAAUCAUGAUGUAAUUAGCAUAGAUAUUAUUUGGUGUUUCUUUCCUUGUAAAUCAAUCUUGUACAAUAUAUAUUUCCUUCAUUGGUGAGAAGAAUAACAUCAGAAAAUUAAACCCCAAAAUAAGCCCUAAUUAGCAAGAAUUAGGAAUUUGCUCGGAGCUUUUUUCUUUUCAAUUUAUAUUUUUAUAUUUUGUGAAUUAAAUGUGUCCUUUGAAUCAAUACCAACACAAAUACUUUUAAAAACAAUGAGAUUAUGAGUGGAAUGAAACCUGUUUGGGGAAUUUUCAGAACUAAGUGGGGUCACAAUUUUUGUGGAGGCGUCUAGAACUAAUAUGGUAAAAAGAUGCAAAUUGAGUACGUAUAAGCAGCCAAGAGAAUUAUUGAUUCCAUAAACUUCCGUUGAAAUACAGGCAUUUUAGAAAGUUGAAAUACAGGCAAUUUAGAAAGUUACGUGCAUGUGUAUAUCUGCAUAUUUUCUUGGGCAAAAAAUAUAAUAUGGUUAACAAAAGUAACUAAAAGUGAAUACAUUUUCCUUUUUGAUAACUCAUUAAUUUAUUUGAAUAUUAAGUGACGAAAGUUAAGCGAGAUUAGAUAUUCGACAAUGGUUGUGUGCCAGACACAUACCUUCUCAAAAAGAAGAGGACCAUUAUAACUAAAAAACCUCAUCGGUCCUUGCUCUACCUGUUUUUGAUAAGUUGUGAAAGUGUAUUUUAGGGUAUUUCAAAAAGGAUACAAAAAGCGAAGAAAUUAGUUGAAGUUCCACCAUAAAACCAAUUGACAAUAUGAGCAGUAGCCUAGCUUAUAUAUAAUCCUAUGCAAGGUCUCUCCUCUCAUUAGUGUUGGAUUUAUUAUGAACACUCUCUCUCACAUGUGGUGAAUUUUCAAGCCUAACACAUGGACAACACAAAUAGAGUAAUGUGGAACACUUGUGAGCGUUGGGCUUCACACCUACGAUAACUUGCUCUAAUACCAUGAAAGAAGUUGAGAUUUUACCAUAAAACUAAUCGACAAUCUAGAGAGUAACCCAACUUAUAAGCCUAGUAAAGUCCCAAUGCAAGGUUCUUCAUCUUCCCAUCAAUUUGAAAUUUAUUCACAAGAAAGUCAUUGUAUAUCUUUUUCUGAGAAAUGUUGCCUCUUUCACAUUAAUUAGUACCCCAUAGUGCUUGCUUAUAUCAAGAUGAAAAUUGUAGUAGAGGGUUGCAGAGACAUGCAUACGGUAGCUACAACAACUGUUACUAAUUGAUGUCUUUGGAUUUCAAAUUAGACUUGUGAUAUAUUGACUAGAAACUUUAAGACCUUAGGACUGAAACUCAUCAAAACUUUACUUAAAUUUGUCCUAAAAUAUCUCUAAACCUCCCAAAAUUUUCAAAUAUUGCACCAAAGUCCAGAAAUAAUAUUACUAAAAUUAUCAACGUCGUUGUUCCCAGAAACCAAUCGAAGUUUGGAGAAAUCCUGGAAAUUGAAAUCUCUUCACCCCCUUUCAGGGCAACCAGAUUUUCUUUUGAUAUUUUGAGAGAGAUUAUGUUGCAGAUAUUUCAGUAGCAUGCAUGUUCAAUUGUUCAUGGCUAUAUGUUAUUCACCACUAUAUAAAAAUUGCUAUGGCACAGAGUGGCAUUGGCAAGGUGCAAGUCAGUAGGGUCUUAUCAAUUUUAGAAAAACACUUGGUGGGUUCAAGCAAAUUCCUUGCUUAUGUCGUCAUUGUGGAUAAGUUUCAAAGUUUUGCUGCCAUCAUAAAAGUGUGUGUAUAUAUAUAUAUCUCCAGAGUCUACUAUUUAUAUAUAUUUUUAAUUAAUUUCCUUGAUUGAUUAAUUUAUCUGCUGGGAGAUAUUAUACCAAAUCCGAUUUGUGCGUGACAUUAAGAAUCCAGAAACUUGUCAACCAUUUGUGCGAGGAGAGAAUAUAUGUGUGGUAACCUUCCGUGAAAGCAGAUGAAAUAUUCAUAUAUGCAUGGCUGUGGGUGAUAUUCUUGCAAUUUGUCCACUUAUAUGUACAUGUACACACACACACACACACAUAUAUAUAUUGGGUGAUAUUCUUGCAAUUUGUCCACUUAUAUAUACAUGUACACACACAUACACACACAUAUACAUAUAUGUAUAUGCUGUGUGAGAGACCAAUGGAUAACAGAAAUUUAGUACAGAUUCUAUGGAUCGAGUUACUAUUUCAUGGAAUUUUAAGCGUACUUUAUGAAAUUGGUCGGAAAGAUACAAAUUUAAAGGGCUUGUAAGCUGAAUGCAUUGCCGACUAGGUAAUCAAACUUAAGUUUAAUGUCGAAUGAUAACUUUCUGUCAAUUGUACUAAGUAUUGAGACAAUUAUUGGUAUGUAUUUUAUGUAUUUAACAGACUAAAUCCAAGCAUCAUUGGUUGCUUGCUUGAAUAUUUUAUAUUACAAACCCACAAACCCACAAACUUUUCCCUUUUUUUUUUCUUUUGAAUGUACAUAUGAAAUUGAUACACUGAGAGCAAUAAGACUUGCAAAACUUAUCAAAUAGAUCAGUACUUUGCGGGUGCACUUAAUUAUCAUCUUGAUAGUGUUAUUAUUUUUAGGUGCCAAGAGAUGGCGAAAGAAUAGCCAUGGCAAUAGAAAAUGACAUCCAUUUACGAUGCAUGCAUCAUCUUCCAAUGUGGCCUUUAACUUUGUUACAAUGCACUCAGAUGGCAUAUUAGAAAUCAUAGGUUUAAAAAUAAGAAUGGAACUUUAAGAGUACUGUCUACAUAAUGGACAGACAAGUUUGAAGGAAACUGAUCUUUCUACAGUGUGUAGAUAGUAGUAACCAUACAUAUGCACAUAUGUAGAGAAGUUAGAAUCUGGGGACAAACGUUUUUAUGGAGCUCACUUCAUAAUAUAUUUCAAUAAUUCAACAGUCUAAUUAAUUUUUAUGUAUUACCUCAAGGAUCAUGUCUACCAAAAAUCAUCCAAAUCCAAAUCCGAAACCAAAUGAUUGUUUGAUUAAAUAUUUAGUGUUUCUUUGUAGAACCUUAUUCUUUCAUUUUCUUCACUACACAUGAAUGUCUUAAUGGUUUUAAAUUUGUCUUUUUUUUGCAAAGAUAAUCUAUGAACGAUGUACUAAAAUAUAAAUGAUUCGGAUUGUUGAAACAACAUUAUGAAGUGAGCUACAAAAUGUGUAUCAAAAAUGCGUGUCCUGUAUUUUAACGCACAUAUAUAUAUAUAUAUAUAUAUAUUGUUGUGGCCUAUAUUAACUGAGGGAUGUGGCAUAGAGAGAAAGAGAAAGAUGGAGAAUAGACUUGAGAAAUUGUGUGUGUUAAUUCCCUAGUCCUUGUGCCUUUAUUUAUAGUAAUAAGAAUGAGAGAAACUUGCUCUCCAAGUAAUACAAAGUCUAUUAGGAAAAAUCUUCUAUAUCCCAAAGGAUUCCUAAUCUAUCUCUACUUAGGAUUUACACAAUCACAAUAUGUAUUAGAGCAUAUGUCACAACACUCCCCCUCGAGUGUGCAAAUACUCAAGUAGAUGGCGCAUCAAAUCUUCAGGCAAAUGUACAAGUAGUUGAUGAAGUCGUCUUGUCUAGUCGGCACAAGUAACGAAUGUUAGUCUAAAAACAAACGGAAGAAUGAAUGGGUGAUAAAACUCAUAAAACCUCGCUAUGGAAAAACCCAAGGUGGGACAAAAGCCCAUAGUCAAAGGAGAAAAGUGAGAAGUUGCAUUAAGUCAAAACUAUACAUCUUCGGGACGCAAGUAGAACGUACACAAAUGACCAACCCAAGAUGGGUGCCUCAUCAAAACCUAGUCAAGUAGCAAAAACCAAAUGGGAAAAAUGCUCCUAAUCGGAGGAAAAAAGUACAUUAAGGUCAAGUAAGUAUACUUCUAGAUACUCCUUAUGAGUUUGACAAAACUUCCAAAUGAAACUACAAGCAUCGCAAAUGAGAAAGUUACGCAUACCAAUUCCUCAGACAAGCUUCUGGAAGGUAGACUUCAGCAGUGAUGUUGUAGAGGUCAACAAGGUUGUCUGGGAUUGGACUGCUAGACUUCAAUCUUCUAAUGCUUAUGUUGAUGUAGAUACAAUAUGCUUGGUGUUGACUUGUUGGAUGUAUCAUGAUCUGGUCGAUACAUGCGGCGUUAUCUUCAUGGAUCGUUGUUAGAACUCAACAACUAAUGAAAAUUAAAGAGAGUUUGAAUAUGCUCAACAAGAGUUCUUGACCAUAUCUCUCACGUGAUGAGAUAUAGUGAGUCUUGGAACGAUCCAAAGGUUUCGUAACUAAAGGUCUAUCUGGUUGACCUCCAAGAUAUUGCGGUGUUCCUUAAUGGUAAAGACUUAACCAUUUGGUAACGUACCUUUUGUGGUCAGACAUAUGGUUAGAUUCAACGAAUCCUACUAGGUAGGCAUCAUUCCAAAGAUCAAGAGGGUGUGAUCUAUUAUGAGAUGCAUAGGAAUAGAUAAGCCCAAAUCUGUAGUAAAGGAAAAACAUCUUUAACACCAAUUUGGUGGUGGCAUGUAAGCGCAAUGCUGCUUUAUGCCAAAAGAUUAUCAACACAUAAGAUGUUCGAUCUAGUGCAUUGAGCUAAGUACAACAAACACCAAUUGUACUUAGAUAUGGUUGCCUCACAUUCCAAUAUGUAACCUUAUGCUCCAUACCCUUUGUAAAGGUCUCAUUUGUAUCUAGCAUACAGACGAUCAGGGUAUACUCGGACAUAAAACCUUCUAGGUCUAGUUUGAGUGGUGGACCAGAAUUAGAAUUAGCUCGAAACUUCUAGUUAAGGUCAUGUCAAGUUUUCCCAAGAUCAUUCAUCUUAAAGUUCGACUUUAGGUGCAAGUCAGUUUUCUCAACUCUAGUAUUUUCAAAUUUUGUACACGCAGGGGCAUAUAUCCCUAACUGAUCAAUUAUUCAUUUAGACAGGUAUCCCGCAUCUGCUCGGAUAGUUCUACAUCCAUAAAGUGAAGGCUUUAUCAGAACCGAGAUGAUGUUCUUGUGGUCUAGAACUAUUUGAAUCAAUACAUGUAAGUUAUUUGAAAACUCCAUAUAGGUUCGUAACAGGAUCCCAGAUAUACUACAACCAUGUUUGUAAUGUUGCAAUUAAUCACGUGGCGUACGAGAGAAGCCUUGUGCCACAAGGCAUUAUUCGCACUAUUUCAUUCAUCUCAUUCGUCACAGAUUGAUUCUUUUAGUUAACCAAUCAGUUCUACGUUGAUAUUAAUCAACGAAAUGUGGUUCGUUAUUGUAGCUUUUCAUUUAUGUCGUUAGUAACCAUAUAAAUGAAACAUCAUCUAUGACAAUCUCUUUCCAAUUACAUAUCUCAUCCAAACUAGUAUACUGGACCAAGAACUUUAGGUCUUGGGAGUAAUCCGAAUUUAAUCUUAUGAGAUGAAAAGGAUUGAGACAUCGAUUGAAGGGCGGAUUUGUUCAUGCCACAUUCCUUCACUUUUGGGGAAGUGAAUCCUCGAACUGAGUGAUUUGCAACGCUUAUGGCAUAGGACAUAUUGAUUGGCUAAUCGCCAAUAUACUAGGGUUGGCCACAGUAAUGACGUUCCUGCUUUUGGGACAAAUGCGCAUCGUACAUCUGGUACACAUCUUUGCAGGCACAUUUACAGCUGGUAUAAGUGAUCUCGUCACUUUUGCUAGAUCAGAGGAAAUGUCCGGUUAUACUCUGAUGAUCUAGAUUGGGAUCAAGAUGAGACAUAAUGGGGAUGUCCACGAUAAUUCGAGUCAUUCUUUAGGAAUGUUGAUGUGUUUAUCUCCCCAUAACGAUGGGAAAAUUGUCUCAUAAAAGUGAUAAUUCGCCAAACGAGCAAUAAAGAGAUCGUCUGUCAAAGGUUUUAAGUAACGAAUAUUAGAAGGAGAAUCAUAACCGACAUAGACUCUCAUCCUUCCCUGAUGACCCUUUUUUUAUUUUGUAUGUAAGAGUGGCCCAAAAUGGUACAUAGAUUGCACAAUCAAAGACGCGCAAAUGCGAUAUUUCGGGUUCGUAUCUAGUAACCAACUGACACGCGCUUUAUAAGGUUGGGUCGUGGUGGGCCUUAGGCGGACCAACAUGGUUGUUUGUAAUAUUGCAUGGCCCCAAGCAGAGAUCGGUAACUUGGUACGUAUGACCAAUCGAUCGCUCAAUCAUUUGAAGACAUUUAAUGAAUGCUUCUGUUGGGCAUUCUGGGUAUGAACAUGGGGUACUUAAUGUUCAACUGCAAAACCCAACCGACAUGCAAUAUCCAUCGAAAGUUAAAGUUUUCGAUGUAAAUUCUCCAACUUAUCCAAUCAAAUAGAUUUGAUUACAUAAUCAGGGUGAUGAGCCUUGAGCUUGUUAAUCUGAUCCACCAGUGUGGAGAGUGCAGCCUGUGGACAUCAGCCACACAUGUGACCAAUGUGUAAAAGCAUAAACCAAUACUA